rnacentral:lncRNA from 1 species
UCAGUGUAAGUAAAUGAUGGAGAGUCCGAAAAGUGUGAGAAAUUUAGAGCUUAUUUGGUAGAGAAUCUAGAUUUUAUGUUUUAAAAUUUAGAUUUUGUGAUCCAAAUAUUACAAAUUUUGAAUAUAAUUUUUUUUAUGUUUUAAUUGUAUAAAGAAUUUAAAUUUUAUAUUUUAAAAAACAAAAUUAUAUUAAAUACAUUUAAGAUACUCAUAAAUACAUUCUCUCAUGUUAUAAAUAUAAUAUGUAUUAUAAAUUAUAUAAUAAUAAUUAUAUAAAUUUAUAGAUUAAAUUACAAAUUAUAAAAUAUAGUAUAACUACACUUUAAUCUUUUUGGUUUGAUAAAAUGGUAACGUUUAUAGGGGUAUUUAUGAAAGUUGUCAAAUCAUAACGAUUAUAUAUGAAUUUUUUUUAUAUAAACUAAACUCAAACUUUCUAUAAACCGUUCGGACUAAAAUUACAAUUUAACCAAUUUUUUAAAUGAAACACAUUUAAACAUUUUUUAAAAACUAUAAUCCAAAAUUUGAAUAUGUCCGCAUACACGAAAACAUUUUUGUUUUCGGAUUCUCUACAAUUCAUGUCCUAAGUUUUGAAGGAAAAUUAAAAUAAAAAUAGUUUUUAAUUUCAGUUUAUUUGAUUCAAAUAUGUUAAUUAUGUUGGUGUAAUAUGAUAAAUAAUGUAGCUUUUAAAAUAGAUUUUAAAACUUAAUUCAAUGACACUUGUUCUUGUGGACGAAAGGUCUCACCUUCAAAUUUCCAUCAUAGCAUUUAUUCCAAUACCUUUGCAAAAAAAUUUUUGUAAGCUUUUAAAAUUAAAAUCUAAUAAAUAAAAAAAAGUGUAAGAAGGGAAAAAUAUAUGAGGAGAGAGAAUGUGAUAAUUUUAAUUUUGUAAAAGAAGAAAAAAAGAAAAAAAGAAAAAAAGAAAAAAGGCUUUUAGGCUGAGCCAGAGACUCUUCCCUUUCCACCAAUUGUAGAGAGAGAGAAAAUAGAAAAAGAAAAAAAAGAAAGGAAGGAAAUAUAGAGAGAGAGAAAGAAGAAAGAGCACUUGUCCAUUCUCUUCCUCAUCACACAGACUCAGAUUUUGCUUCAACCUCAUACUUGGCACUUCUCUUCUUCUUUCUUCAGCAACAAUACUUUCAUCAUCAUCAAAAUCAUCAUCAAAAUCAAUCAACAAAUUCCCCAAUGCAACUUCCUUCAAUCAAUCUCUCACUCACAACAACGCAUCAAUCUCUCUAACAAUCUUCCUUCUCCUCCUCUUCCUCUUCUUCUUCAUCUUCAUCUUCAUCUUCCUCCCCCUCCUCCUCCUCCUCCUCCAUGGCUUCCUUACCCGUCUCUUCCCCUUUCUGUACUUGGCUUGUAGCCGCUUGCAUGUCCGCUACUUGCUUCAAAGACCAUUCCCUCAAUGCUUCAUCCAUCCCUCAUUCUUCCUCCUCCUCCUCCUCCUCCUCUUCCAAGAGAUCGAUAUCCACCUCUAGACGGAAACACUCUUUCUCUAAAUGUUUUAGUAUUACUUCUCAAUUCAAUACUGGAUUGGUUUCCUCUUCACCUCGAUUCAAUAUUCACGACCUUCUCCUCGACGAUUACUACUCUAACUCUACUACUUAUCCUCUACAAUACAAUCCUUUCUCUUUACUUUUUCCACCUACCUCUCUUCCUCUUCACAGCCGCCGCCGGAGACGUACGAAUCGGGCUUUACGUUCAGGUGAUUCAUUCUGUUUUUUUGAAUCUGUUUCCGCCUUUUCGUUUUUACUUCGAAAUGGAACUGGAAAUGGAACAGAAUCUUUGAUUUAUUUAAUUGCUGUCUUGGAGGAGGGAGUGAUUGGAUUAAUUAAGGUAGUUCUUGGUGAGAAUCUUGCUUUUUGGUUUGAUUCAGAUUUAUUUUCUGCUUUCUUUUUUUCGAGUUCAUCGGGAGAUAAUGAGUGUGUUGAAUUAAGUUGCAUUUAUGUUUUUCCACCGCUGCUGAAUCUAUUAAUUACGUUGCUAUGGUGUAAUCUUUGUUAUUUUUGUUUCUGACUCAACUCUUCAUGCCCAUGCCCAUACCUAUUCCUUUUUAUUUAUUUAUUUUAUUUAUUCUUUUUAAAAAAAUGUUUUAUUUUGAGUCACACGAAGUGUUGUCUUUUGCAAUGUUUCAUUUUGGUGAUUGUCAUGCAGUGUUAUCUUUCUCUCUACCAUUUAGAGAUCUUGGUUUAUGCAAAUUUUCAUUUCUCAAAAACUGGCUUUAUUAUAUUUUUGAGUUGUUUCAACCCAAAAAACCUAUAUUCUUUUGGGUUGUGUGAACACAUGAUUAAUUUGUCCUCAACAUAAACAGUCUUGUUAAACUCAGCUUGGCCAUUAACUAAUUCUGGAGUUUGUAUAUGAUAUCUAUCAUCAAUGCGUUGAAGCCUGUGGUCGUUACUGCAAGUAUGAAGUUUCCAUGAUCUUUAAAAGUUGGUUUGAAUUCUGCACAUCGUUUAGAUAUGUUCUGUUGGGUUCUGAAUUCCUUGGACAUGAAAAAUUUUGUUUUGUAAAAACAGGGCAGUGUAAAAAACAGAAAGAACACUGAGCCUGGUUAUUGUUUUGUCAUUUUAUUUAAAACUCCAGGUGAGACUGUCGCUAUAGCUGUUCAUCCAGCUGAAGAGGUGGGAAGCAAAAAGAAACACCAUACAAAACAAAGAAGAGUAGUUGUCACUGGGAUGGGUGUGGUGACGCCUUUGGGGCAUGAUCUUGACGUCUUCUACAAGAAUUUGCUUGAGGGUGUCAGCGGAAUUAGUGAAAUAGAGGCGUUUGAUUGCUCACAGUUUCCCACAGUAAAUAUACCUUCUUGUAGCAAGUUCUUGAAACUGGUGUGAUCUGUUUGCAGUUCGUCUGUCUGAAUUCUAAUUUUUUUUUUUCUUCAGAGAAUUGCUGGAGAGAUUAAAACUUUCUCUACUGAUGGAUGGGUUGCACCAAAAUUCUCUAAGCGGAUGGAUAAAUUCAUGCUUUACAUGCUUAUUGCUGGCAAGAAAGCCCUAGAGGAUGGUGGAUUUACAAAAGAGCUUGCAGAAGAGUUGGAUAAAACUAAAUGUGGAGUACUGAUUGGUUCAGCAAUGGGAGGCAUGAAGGUAAUUCCUAUAUCGAUACCUGGGGAGUUGUUUGGAGAGUAAUAUUACCAAUCUGCGAUUUCUACCUCCCUCACAUUGGAAAAAAGAUUACUUGUAAAUUGUAACCUUAAAGUUUCAGUGUCUUGAUUCUUCUACUUAUGACUUCUACUAAUAUGCAUAACAAUCAGCAAAAUGAAACAUUUCCUUUUUUGUAUUAAUUUAUUGUUUCUUUUUAAUUGCCAAUGUGCUACUUUGAUUUUUUUUUUUUUUCAUUUAUCACUUUUAUUGUUAUUAUUUAUCAAAACUUCUUCCGAUUUUCUUAUAUUGAAUAGGUCUUUAAUGAUGCAAUUGAAGCGUUGCGAAUUUCAUACAAGAAGAUGAAUCCUUUUUGUGUUCCAUUUGCAACGACAAACAUGGGGUCUGCCAUGCUAGCUAUGGAUCUGGUUAGUGAAUCCUUUUAUGGACAUGGUAAAUUAGGAAAGAAAAAAGAAAAGAAAAAAGAGAAGAAACUCUUAUAAGGUGUUGGAGCUAUUGAUUCUUAACAUUACUGUGAAAUAGUUAUUUUGAAAAUGUAGGGAUGGAUGGGCCCAAACUAUUCAAUUUCUACUGCUUGUGCUACGAGCAACUUUUGCAUACUAAAUGCUGCUAAUCACAUAAUUAGAGGCGAAGCUGUAAGUAAUCACUUUCUUAGAAACUAAAGAGUGGAUUUAUCUAGUUUCCAUCCUUUUCUCUUUCUCUUCGUAUACAACUCACUUGAUUACUUGUGUUUUUACCGUAGUUUUUCCAGUAUCCCAACAAGGCUAUUACCUGAUUAAAGUGCUUUUCAAUAUAUGUAUUUUUUUUCUUGUGAAGUUUGACUAUAUAACGAAGUAUGUCUGAAAAUUUAAAAAACACUUUCAAGUGCCUUGGAGGAAGGUAGUUGAUAGGCUCUGAAGAGUAUUUGGAAAAUAUGGGAGAUUACAGAUUACUGCAUGCUUGAAGGGCUUCAAGCUCUACAAGCCAAGGUGUAGAGUAGAAACACUGUAGUCCUACCAAAUUUACAGCACACAGUUCUCCUCUCUUCCUUUCUUUCUCUACCUGCAUGCUGAAAACCUCUUGUUUGUUCUUUUUUAACUAUCUACAUAUAAUGUAGGCUAUCAUUUGUUCUUUUUUAACUAUCUACAUAUACAUUUGUUCUUUUUUAACUAUCUACAUAUAAUAUAGGCUAUCAUUCCCUUGUAUCCAAAACAGUCCUUACUUAGCAGAAUAUGACCUUUGCUAUUAUUCACUCUCCUACAUAAACAAGCAAAUGAGUAGCUGGCUUUCAUAUGCAAAUGAGUACUUCUUCCCCAAAAAAAGUGCUUACUAGACAAGUGUUUCAUGUUAGUACCCUAAACAGUUUUCCCAAGUCAACCAAAAUGUUCCAUGUGCUUAUUCUAUUCUUGUUGCAUGUAAGAAUAAUAUUCUGGUAGCUAUAUAUUUUAAUAAAGAAGUUUAAAUGGAGACACAAGCUUAGUUUUAGAAAAAAGUAAUAUAGAAAAGCAACAAUUUAAAUGUCAGAGUUGUUGCUAUAGUAUCUGAUUUGUUUUCAUAUGCAGGAUGUAAUGCUCUGCGGAGGAUCAGAUGCAGCAAUCAUACCCAUUGGUAUUUUUCUAUUUAUUAUGUUAAUCAAGUUCAACUCUUUUUGCCUGAGAUAUUUGAUGUGAAUCUAUUUAAUUUUACUGUUGCUAGGUUUGGGAGGUUUUGUUGCUUGCAAUACACUUUCUCAAAGAAACAGUGAUCCUACCAAAGCUUCACGGCCUUGGGAUAUUGUAAUGUCAGCUUCAUUUUUUUUUUAAUUUUUUACUCUGAUUAUCUGAAUCAUAGUUUUUCAGUUAACAAAAACUUUGCCUAUGAAUAAAUAAAAUAUCAGCAAUGAAGAUGGAAUAUCUUAAACCUGGGUUAAUUUUCUUAUCUAAAAAUCUUAAUUUUAACUUGCAAAAAGGUGGAAUAAGGAGUUACAGGACUUGGUAUUUUUUCGUCAUAGGAAAAUAUAAUAAUUUCUGUUUUUUGUGGUUCUAUAUGUUGUGUCUCUGAAGAAUGAACAAAACAGAAGUAGAAUGGUGUAUAUACUUUCUUGGAACAUUAGAACUUUCUUACAUAAAGCAUUGGUCAAAAGUCGCCCAUACUUGGUUUCUGAAAUCAUAAACCUGAUGUGCUUGUUAUUUCCAUUUUGAUGCUUAACAUCUUUGUUUUAUACAGAAUCGUGAUGGAUUUGUCAUGGGGGAGGGAGCUGGAGUUUUGCUUCUAGAAGAAUUGGAGCACGCGAAGGUAUGGUCAGUGUUAUUUUUGUAACUAUCAUAUAUCAUUUCAUAUGGAUCUUUUUCCCUCAGCCUCUAGUUUAAUGAAGAGCAACUCCACAUAUUUUACUGGAGCAUCCUCCUGUCCAAGGCUUUGCAGCACUAUUCAUCUUUGCCUCAUUUUAUUUUUUUCAACGUCAUCUCAUUCAUAAUGUUUCGUAAUAUUUGUGAACUUUAUGCCUCUUUUUGUGUAAAAUAUCUUAGAUAAUUUGUUAUUUCCUGAUUCCACAAUUGCAGCAACGAGGAGCCCAAAUCUAUGCAGAAUUUCUUGGUGGAAGCUUCACUUGCGAUGCAUAUCAUGUGACAGAACCACACCCUGAUGGUAAUCCUCUAUCAUUAAACAAUAAAUUGGUGGAUUCAUUUUUUUCAAUUUUUUGAAUAUUAUUUAUUUUUUAUUACUAUGUUUAGUUCGUCAACUAUGGGGUGGGGAAUAUAGACCGCUUCCUUAACUAGUUGAGCUUGCUUAAGUUGGCAAAAUUAAUUGGAAUAUUUUUACAGUUUUAAAUUAUGGAAUUCCACCACGUUGAAGGAUCCUUAUUAUUUUCCCCAAGCAGUUCACUUUUCUACGAUAUAAUAUGGUACUGGGCUCCAUGAUCUUCUAAAAAAAUUGUUAGAAUCUAUACAGGAGCAUGCGAGGAAGUCUUUUAUUAUUUGUAAUUGAAGGUAAUUUUCAAAUGAACUAUUAAGUUUGAGAGAAAAAAGAGUCCAUCAUUAAGGAUUUAAUUUUUAACUCCAUUGUUAAUCAACAUCAAUAUGAUAUGUAAAUCUUAAAUAAUAAUGAUAUUGAAAUCUUAUAAAUACGAUUAAGCAUUUUUUUUACUUGAGUAUGUAAAAUUUACUUCAACUUCAAUGGUAAAGAGAAUAAAAAUAUGUUUAAGAUACAUACAUCUUCUUGCUUUCUGAUAUAACUUUGGCAACUUUUUAAAUUAUGAUAGACAUUUUUUUUGAGUGAUUGGAUAUGGAGCAGAAUGCAUAGAAUUUAAACUAAAUUUUGGUGGUUAUAUGAGAAAUUUUCUGUACCACAUUUCGUGGGAGUAGAGUAUCAGACUAUUUAUUUAUUAUGGACUAGAGAGUUACCAUUGAGUUAUUGUGUUGUUUUUCCUUCUCGCAAAGAAUUUUUCUGUUCCUCUCAAACUUGAAGCCUAGAUCGAUGUUUGGGAUUGUAUGUGUAAACCAGCUGCGGUGGGAGUUAACUGGUCUUGAAAAGUUUGAUUGUUUUUUACCCUAAAUACUUUUCAUUGGAUUAAACAAAUAUCAAAUAACUGGAAUUGAGUUUCUUACUAAUAUCAUCAAAUCUCCAUCCAACAUGUUUCAUAAUGUUUUAAAAAAUAUUAGUCGAAUGAUGUGUUUUUCAAUUUUGGACACUACAACUUUUGGUCAAUGCUGAUACUACACUUUAUUGUACUUCUUAACUGCGUGGUGUUUGACAUUUUUUACCAAUUUUUUUUUAUCUUUUCCCAGAGUGAUCUCAGAUUUUACAUUUAAAAAAGAACUGUUCAAAGGUUGUAAAGGUUUGUAAAGCAUGUGGUCUGUUCUAAGGUCAUAAAGCUUUGUAAUGCAUGUGGUCUGUUCAAAGGUCAUAAAGGUUUUACUUGUAAUAGCAAUGACAUAGAUCUUUUCUACACAACACCAUUCUCAACGAAUAUCAUUAUUUUUCUUGAUAUUUCACAGUUAUGAUUCUUAUGAUAAAUGCAUUCUUCUUGAUUAAUGAAUUACGAGUUUAGUAGUGUGCAGAACCUUAACGGACUACUUAUUCUAGUAGAUUUAUUUAUGGUUUAAUGGAGUUUGUAAAUCAUGAAAACCAUUAAAGCUAACAUGCAAUUUCCUGAGAUCAAGUAUCCAAAUUAUUUUGUAAAGAGAGAUUUAUUCUUACCGAGAGAGAGACAAAGUAGAGAGCCAACUCUUAGGGUUUUGCCAUUGUCGUGGAGCCUUUUGCACACAUAUCUGAGGCAAAAUGUGAUGGUUGUUCUUACGCCAUUGAUCACAUUAGUCUGAUAAAGUCAUCUAUGCAAGGUGCACCAGAAGAGAGGUUCAUGCGAAGGUGGAAGUAAUAAGAUGAAGAGGUGGUGGAAGAGGAAGAUUGUUUUAAGUGACAGUAUGGUUGUUCAUACUAUGGUUGCAAUAGUGACAGGCAUAUAACGAAGGAUUGCUUUAAGUGCAUGUAGAUGGGCAUGGAGACGGGCUUACUUUAAGUGCAUGGAGACGGGCAUAUAAUGAAGGAUUGCUACCUGCAAGAUGGUGCAGAUACUAUGGUCGCAAUAGUGGACACUGCAUAAGUUGCAGUGAGUGCGGACACUUUGCCUGUGGGUCCAAAGAUUGGCUGUUUAUCUUGCAAAUUAGUGACUUGCAUCGACUUCUGUUGCUUCUUGGGCUGUCUUAAUCAGUUUCCUUCUCUUUUGGUCACAGUUUUUGCUGGAUAUGUAAAAUGAUCAUUAAUAGGACUGGGGGUAGCUUCUCAAUAGACUUAUCUAUAGUUUUCCUUCAUUGUUCUCUGGGUGUAUAUGUUUGAAAGAGAUUUUUAUCAGGGAUCAUUUAUAAAUAGAUGAUUAAGGAGGGAGAAAACUUCCUCCAUUCAUUGUUCUUAAUUGUCGAUCCAAGAAUUUUGAAUACGAUGCUGGAUUUGAAUGGGAAAAUGGGAGGGCAUAAGUGAGGGAGAGACCUCCAUGAUUGAGCAGAAGAGAGAAGCAAUCCGGUCCCUUUCUAUUUGUUCUUUUCUAGGUUUUCUUUGGUGUGGAUAAAUGGUCAUUUGUUUUCUUUAUGAUAAUUCUAUUGGAGCUGGAUCACUAGAAAAUAGAAAGUCUAUUACAGGCUCUACCAUUACAGAAAAAGUUUUAGGUGUGCAAAACGUGCUGGAGGCAGAGUUGAGUCAGACGAGGGGGGAGAUGCAACAGUUUGUGGUGAAUAACACAGGGAGUGUGAUGAAGAAAGUUGGAGGGAUUAGGAUAGUGUCGGAGCUGAUAAGUAACAUUGCAUAGUUGUGUAGGACAAAGAGAGUAUGAUGCAGGUUUAUGUCUUUCGAUCUUUUAGAGGAAGUGAGGAAUGGAAUAGAAGUUCGACAUUUGGGAAUGUGUAUCUUCCAUGGGGUAAAUCCAAUUAGGUGGCUAUGAAAGUUAAUUCACCACUAACAAGUUGACAGAGAAGGAACCACCAGAAGCCAACUAUAUGGAAGGAUCUCAUGGGUUGGUCCCAUUAGUGUUGCACUCAAUGCUAGUAUGAAAAGCCCAUGAUCUUCUAUAGCCAAACUAUGUAGGUUUGUCUUUUCAGAAGACAUCUUUUGCUGCUCAAUUCUCAAGACUCUGAUCAGCCCACUGGUAGCCAUGAUCUUUACGGUCUAAUAUAAGAAUUUGAUGGAAGUUAACUGAUGGCACCGAGAGGGUUGGUAAUUUCCAACCCUAUUCUUUGAUGCAGAUAAAAGAUGUCUUCUUAACAAGCCUCUGUGUGUUUCUUCAUUAAGUUCCUUUGUAGCUCUCUCAUUUGUGGACAGGCCAUUUCCCUAAUAUGCUUUGUUAUUUGAUUUGACAAUCCAAAUACUGUAAAAAACUUCAGGUUUCCUUUUGUUCACCAGGGGCCCUGUGCUCUCUUUGGGACCUUUGGUUGUAAAGAAUGAAAAAAGUUUCUGAAUAUUUUUCCAGAGCUGUAGCUUGAAAUUUAUGCUUGGUAACUUUAUAUUUCUCCCUCUUGCAGUAAAAAGAUUCUAAUUGUAUAUGUAAUUGCUACAUAGCUAACGCCCUGAUCACUUGGGGAGGCUUCUUGUAACUCUUUGGUCAAGUUCCUUGGCUUUGCCCUUUGGGUACAUUUCAUUCUAGUAUUAUCCAACGAAAUUUUGUCUCUAUCUUGGUUCAAAACCCAAGACUUCUUUCUUUCUUUCUUUAUUUAUUUAUGACUAAGAAACCUAGCUUCCAUUGAGAAAAAAGAAUUGACAAGGGCAUUCAAAAAACAAGUCCACAAAAGGAGUGUUCUACAGGAAAAUACUUCAAUCCAAAAGAAUAAAACCAAGGUGAUAAUUACAGAAAAGACGCAUUCGAUCUUAUAACCUAGACACAUUAGGUUCCAUAAAACCUUCCCACCUCCUUCAAAGACCUCUAAAAAAUCCUACACCCAAGUGAUGAAACAGUGGAAAGCAUUAUUUUCUUUGGGCUCCUUAAUUCUUGAGAAGUGCAUGUAUCCGCUCAAAAACUAUUUUGUUACCUUUGUGAGAAGGAAAGGGCAUCAAAUGAAUGUGUUUUUUAUUGUCUGAAACCAGGGAGACCUUGAGAAAGGCGAAGUGUCUAGCGAAGGGUGUCUUUAUUGCAAAGGUUGGUAACCACUUGACUUCGUGUGUUUGAUCCUCAGUUGAAUGAAUCCCUACAUGUGUUGGUUAAGAGGCCACAAAAUCUUCUUUACGAUUCUUUCUAGCCUAAGGUAUUCUGCUUGAGCAGUAAUGAGAUAGAAGGCAAGUAGGGCCUAGGUUGGUCUGUUGAUGUCGCACCAUGACUUUCUCUUGGGAGUGCAGGUGAGAUUUGAAAGAGAAAUUUUUUAAAGGACAGCUCUCACUAGUGUGUUUUCUGUUUUUGGAGGUGUCUAGCAUGUACAUUAAGUUUGUGUAACAUAUGUUUGUUAUACGUGUUCCUUAAUCUCAGGCAGAGGUUUGCUUAUCUCAUUUGCUUCAUGAAUUUAAAUCACUUUUUAUAUUAAAUAUGAACCUUUACAAAAUAUAAAUUAAAUCCUCACUUCACACAGAAAUACAAAUUAUUCAAACCUGGAUUUUAUUAUAUAUUCCUCACAUAAUCCAACACCAAGCAUUCAAACCUCAAGUUUAAUAAACCCAAAUUUAUUAAAAUCAUGAUCUGGAGUUCUAACAUCUUGUAUUAUGGUUUAAACAGGGGCUGGAGUUAUUCUCUGCAUGGAGAAGGCAUUAGCUCAGUCUGGAAUAUCUAAGGAAGAUGUGAAUUACGUAAAUGCACAUGCAACAUCUUCACUGGCUGAAGACGUCAAAGAAUAUCAAGCUCUUGUACAUUGUUUUGGCAAGAACCGUGGGGUAUUUAACCAUCACAGACAAUUCUUGCUUAUAUCUAACAUAUGAGUUUCUGCAUGCUCAACAUAGCAAUGAUUUUUGCAGUUAAGAGUGAACUCCACGAAGUCUAUGGUUGGCCACUUACUAGGGGCCGCUGGUGCUGUUGAGGCUGUUGCCACCAUACAGGUAAGAUUUAUCAAACAUGAUCAUUGAAAUUGAAUAACGGAAACUCGUCAAAUGUAGUUUCUUCUAACCAUCACAUUAUCCAUAUCAUGAACAAUACAUAUCUGAGCUAUGGAAUGAAAGAAGUCAGAAUUUUUCAUGAGUAUUCAUGCUGAAGUAUAGAGUGUUUCGAUUCAGCCCACUUACAGUCUUUAUCAUAGUGCUAUUUAUCUGAAUGCUUCAAGGGCCAUUCUUUCCAAGGCUUGAAUAGAAAUUGGGAGAGCCUAAUUGGUCCUUUUUAGUCUAUCUUGUUUUGUACCACUCAGGAAUUUUUUGACUUUUGAGACUAUUAUUAUGUUUUGUUUUGCAGAGCACUAGUCUCUUUUCAUUUCCAAGUUCAUUCAUGAUAUGCAUUCCUGAUUUUAUAAAUGAUUUUACCUUGUCAUCAUGAGUAUCAAAGAUAUUUUCACUACAUCAAUGAAAAAUUCUUGUUUCCAUUUCAAAAGAACAAAAUGAGUAUUAAAGAUAUCGUUUACAUUUACAUUUAAGUUGCUGAUGUUAGACUACUUGCUGGUACAGGCCAUAAGAACCGGCUGGAUCCAUCCAAAUGUUAACUUAGAAAACCCAGAUAAAGGAGUGGUAUGUUGCUUUGUUGUGAGGAUCGGUUUUUCAUAUUUUCAUGGUCUAUUGCAUGAUUAUGGAAUUUUUUUUUAUUUCCUUUACCUUCUUAACAUACUACUUCAAUCCCAACAAAAUGAACUACAGGACACAAGUAUACUUGUGGGUCCAAAGAAAGAAAGAUUGGAAAUCAAGGUCGCUCUGUCUAACUCCUUUGGCUUUGGCGGCCACAAUUCAUCUAUCCUAUUUGCCCCCUACAAGUGAGAAACACUUCAACUGAAAUGGGAGUCGUUCAGCCUUAUGUGUACAAGGUACCUUAUUUUCUUUCCCCUUCCCCCCUCCUUAUUUUCAUCUCAUUCUUUGAAAGAAAGAGUAUAUGCUUUUUUCCCCACAAGUGGGGGGAUUUGAACCUCUGAACUCAUGUUGAAAGUAUACCUCUAAACCACUUGAGGUAUGAGAAUGCAGGUUUGCAAUAAUGUUCAAAAUUGGUUAAUUUAGUGUUUUAAAAAGCCCUCCCGGGAGCGGUGAGGUUCAUUUAGGGUUUAGGGUUGCCUUCAAAGGGUGAGUCUCAUAAAAUAAGGCGCACAUCUUUUGUGAUGAUUAGGUUUUUCCUUCUUUAUUUCACUAAUAAAUAAAAAAUUUAUUAAGCCAAAAUGCAAAAUUUAUUGUGUUCAGGAUCCCCCCCAUAUUCUCACUUCAACUAUGUUUUCUAUUCUUGCAUUGUGCUUUAGAAAACACUAGGGCCAAAUCAACUUCGUUUUUCUUUUCUCCUUUUGUUCUUUUCCUUUUCAAUUGAGCUUUUCGUACACUGUCUGAAUGUUAUUGUUUUGCAGUUGCUGACUGUUGAGGGGAUAUUCGCCGUUGUCCAUUGAUCGUUUCAUAAGACACACAGCAACGCAAAUCGGUUGGCCAUUCAAUCGCUUGUGAUCGAGCAGGAUAAAGGCCAAUGAUCGUCGUCUGGGUAAACAUUAGAACAUUUUCCAAACCAGUUGUGUAGUACUAUGUUGAUUUUGACAAAUUAAGCUUAGCUUCUACAGCAUUGAUGAUAAACAAGACCCAAAAAAACAAAAAAACAAAAACAAAACCAAUCCCUUUUGAUCUGCAAUAGAUGGAACCGCUAAUUGAAGAGGUGUUUUGAUUGUCCUAAUCUUGCAUUAUAUAACAUCUUUGAGGCUAAAACAAUUCCCCUCCCCCUCCCCUCCCCCCCCCCCCCCCGGAGACCAACUCAGUUUCAUAUUAAGCCAUUAAAAGCUUCACCUCCCCAGCAGCACCAGUCCCUUACUCAGUUUGUUUGAGUUUGACAAUGGUCGUGAGAGGUGAGAAUCGACUCAUCAAACUUUUGAGCGUAUCUGAGCUCUUUAUUCAUUGAGCUAUGCUUGGAUUAGAUUAUCCUUGUCCUCGUUCUUAUUCAUAGGUCUACUUAUAAUUUGUGUUCUUUAGACAAGUACUUUUAAUUCUCUUCAUUAGGUGCUUGUUCUUUUAAGAAAAGAGUUGAUUUCGUGCUAUGUUAGUUGAGUUAUAUAUUCAUUUUAACAAGUUUCCUUUUUUUUUAUUAAACUACCUCAAAACAAUGUAUAAGUGGGGGAUUCAAAAAAAAAAAAAAAAGAAAAAAUUGGUCCCACAUGUCUUACAAUUUUAAUCUAAAACUUCCCUUAAACGUGUAUCUUUCAAUGUAGUAGAGUUUGGUUCACUUGUUUGGCCAACUCAUUGUGGCCUCCCAAUGUUAUUAACACCAUCCCUAACUAUACUUUCAACUUAUUAACACUGACUUCAACAACACCAUCUCUUUUGUGGGAUUCACUAAUUUUCUCAUUCUUCUUCUUCCUUCUCUCUCUUCAGUUUUUUUCUUUCUUUCUAAUUUUUCAAUGGUUAUUAUUAGGUAUUUGUACUAUUAGCUAUGUAUAAAAAAUGUUUUUGACAAAAACCUCUUGCUUCCUCUUGUUGUAACAUAGCAAAUAAGAUGCCCUUAGGAGUGAUUCUAACAUGAUUAAAAAACAUUGUGAAACGUGUUUCCAAUCCUUUAAAAUUAACUUUGUUGAUAUGAAAAUUACAUUUAAGUGUAAAAUUUAAUACUAAAUUAAUUUUGAGAUGUUAGAAACAUAUUCUUAGAGUAAUUGAAUGACAUCCGUGAUUUUAAUUAUUUUGAAAUCAUUUUAAUAAAUAAGUCUUCUAAAUACAUUGAUCAAAAAGUUUCAAAUAAAAAGAUUUUUAGAAGAAUAAUAUGUGAUAUUUUGUAAAUAUGACCGUUAACUCUUCCACCAAUGUUGAUUUUACACUUACUCUUGAGGAGCAAAAAAUGAAAUAUUUGUGUUUGAAGUUGAUUUCUAUCUAUUGGGUCUUUUGAAAGUCUCAGAAGUGAUAUUUUAUGAUAACAGUAAGGAAAAAUUAUCUUUUUAGACUUCACAUUUAGGUAAAUACGUGUGUUCGGUUCGUGAGUUUUUAAAAUGUAUCAUUUUUAAUCCCUAAGUUUAUAAGGAUAAGUCACUUAGAUUUGUGAGUUUUAAAAAUGUACCAUUUUAGUCAAAGGUCCCAAAGGUAUUUUUAUUUGAUUUUUUAAAAAUAAUGAUAUGGUAUUUAAAAUAAAAAAAUAGUUUGAGUGAAUAUGAUUUUUAGAAGUUAUUCUACUAAUUUAAAAUAUCAUGAUUAUUUAAAAUAAAAGUAUAAAGUUAUUUCAAGGCAUCUUAAACGUAUUUAAAAAUUUUAGGGACUAAAUUAUAUAUCUUUUAAAAUUCGAGAACUAAAUGGGUCCAUUUUUACAAACUUGAGAACUAAUAAAAAUACAUUUUUAAAGCUUAUGAAUCAAACACAUAUUUUCAUAACUUAAAGACUAAAAUGAUAAUUUUUUCUAAAAUUAACUAAAAAAACCAAUGUGGCAAUUAAUAGAUUGUUGAAAAUGAGAUAAUAUGAUUUUCCUGUUACUUUCGUUAACAACUAGAUAACACAAAAAACUUUGUUAACCCAGUUUGGUGAACCUACCUAUGUCUAAAGCGCUUUUAUACAAAUUUUAUUAAGAUUCAAAUGAGUUAUAAAUAUAAACUAUAAAUUAUCAAGCUCCCUUGUAGAAGUAUAACUGAUCCUAUAUCAAAUUACUAAGUCUUCUUUAAAUCUCUUAUCUCGGAUACAUCUUGAGUUGUCUAUGAAGAUAUCAAGCAAUCUUCAUAUAUAUAUAUAUAUAUAUAUAAUAUCUAAAAAGGUAAUAACUUAUCUUUGCAAAGAUUCUUCGCGAAUUGUAAUUUGGAAUAGAAAUACUCUCAAUGAAAAAUACCAUCUCCUUUUAUGAUUGAGAGAAAGAUAAAAAAGAAUGAAGCACUAUAAACUGACAGAAGAGAUGACCAAUAGAUUUGAAUUUUCUUUCUGAAAGAUAAAAGAUGUUUUAUAAAAGAUCUUAAAGAACAUCUAAAGAUAAAAGAUCUUUUAUCUUUUUUAGAUAAAAAGAAAAAAAUCACUCAGGAAGACUUUUUUUUUUUUUUAAUAAAGAGGUAUUUUAUCUUUUAUUUUUGUUAAAAAUGUGGGACUUUUGAAAGUAUUGUGUUCUAAUUGAUUUCCAUCACUCGGAAGCAUGUAACCUAACACAAUCUUUAUUAUUUAAUUAUUACAUUUAGAUUUAACUCUCACAUUACCUUUUUCUUUUAUUUAGACAAAUAACUGUGAAUCAAUAUAAUUUUAAUCAGUAAAGUAAUAACUUGGAGUACUAUAAUUAAGAUGAUUUCUAAUUGAUUAUGACUACAGACCAAUGAAAACUAAGAUGAUUUCUAAUUGAUUAUGAUUAUGAUUAUGAAGCCAAAUAACCGAUAAUGAAGUUGAGUUGUUGAUAUUGUGGUUGAAGAAAAAGUUUUAAGCACUAACAAUUAUGGUUGAAUAAGCCCAAACAAAUUUUCAACCCUCUUGUUAGGUGUUUGUGUUAUGCUUUAAGUGAUGCACCCAACAUCAUAGAUGUUUUCCCAUCGGUAGUUGAGUUCCUAAGAUGAUAUGAUCAUUCUAUGCAUAAACACUUAAUCUCAUAAAUCUCUUUUUCUAUUGAAUUCUUCUAUCCAUCAUCUUCUACCCUAUCGUCUUCAUCCACAACUUCAUGAAACCAAGCCUGUACCGUUGUCUUCAAUCUCUUAGUUACAACAUCAUCAAUCCAACCCAACCCAACCCGAUCUCUAAGUUCAAAUAAUUGAAAUUUUUAUGGUUUGAAUUUAUUCAAGGUUUCACCUAAAAUACUCAAACCAACUCCAACUUAUUUUUAAUGGACAUUUUCAAAAUUAACAAUAAAAAAAAAAUGAAACUAUUUAUCAAAUAUAAUAAAAUUUAUUAAAUUCUCCUUUUUAAAGUUUUUUUUCCAUUAUUUACAAAUAAUAUCAAUCAUUUUUUUUGCUUCAUUUUUUAACUUUUGCUAUCUUUAUUUUAAUUUCCAAUUUAUAAUUUUUUUUGGAUAACUUGUUUUGCAACUUCUAAAAAUAAUUUUUUAAAAUAAACAUUUCUACAUUUUAAAAUAUAGCAAAAAAAAAUUAAAACUAUAUACAAAAUAUAGAAAAAUCAAUCCCAUUCUCUCUAAUUCAUUUGAUUUUUUUUACUUUAAUCUUAACUAAUGUAAAUAAAAAUACUUUCAUAAUCUUUUACGCUUUUUAGAAAAAGAUAAAUAAAUAAACAAUUUGAGUAUCAUAGACAACUUAACCCAAAUUUUUAAUGAUGGGAUUACGUUGAUUAUUUAAUAAGAUUUAUUUGAAUUAAAAAAUUAGAAAAAUCCGAAGAAUUGAAUAAAUCAAAAGAAAUAUUCAACCCAACCAACCAACAUCACUCCUUACAUGUUUCCUCAAUGAACUAACAAAUUGAUAAUCCAAGAACCAUUUAAAAUUGUAUUUCUAACUUGAAAUACUAAGAUGUUAAUUUAAAACUUCCAACGAUCUACAUACAUCUCAUGUUAAAAUAAUGGAAAGGACUUUGUCAAAGCCAAUCCCUUUUUAUCUCUUUUAUGCCAUGUCCUUUUAUCUUUAUGUUUUUUAUAAAUUUUCAUUUUAUAUUUUAUCUAGUGGACUUGACUUUUCGAGUAAAAUCUUAGGUGUCUUCGUGCAUUUAUGUUGAUAGAAUGCAACUCUUUAAAAUAUGAUGUAUUUGUUCGAGGUAGAGAUGUGUUACAUCAAUAAAUUAGUUUUUUUAACGUUUAUGUGAAGUGAAUGUGUAAAAGAAAGACAAAAUAAAUUGCUACGGAUAAAAACAGUUUUAUCACAAUGAAUUACUAUUAUGGAUUAAAAAAAUGAGACGAUUUACAAAAUCUAGAAAAAGAAUUAUCAGAUAAAUUUAGUAAAUAGUUUUAAUAUCUUGGUGUUUUUAAAAACUAUUUAAUCAAAAACUUAGAGAAAAUAUAAAAAAGUAAAUCAAAUGAAAGUAAUAAUUAAUGCAAUCAAACACUACAUCAUUUCAAGUUUAAAAAUAUUAGAAUAAAACUUAUUACAUUAUACAAAUUACACAAACUUAUUACAUUAUACAAAUUACACAAACUUAUUACAUUAUACAAAUUACACUAGUGAAAUAUUUACAUAUUGAUUCGAUAAUUUAAUUACAAGAACAAGUGUUCUUACUUUAAGCUAGACAGUUUUUUUAUGAACGAUAAUAUAAAAACAUUAACAUAUUAUCUAACUUUUAAUCUUAUUUAUUAUAUAUUUGCACUAUAGCACACAUAUUUCUUGACCAAAUAUUCAAAAGUUACAAUAUUACUAUGCAUUUGACUAUAUAUUCAAAAGUUACAAUAUUACUGCUCUUCAUUGUAAAUCAUCCUCAAAGUAGAAAUACCUCAAAAUUUCAUAUAAAAUUAAGACGUACAACUACAACUAUGUAGCAGUUGAAUCGAAUGAAUAAAUUAAUCCACAAUAUAUCAUAUCAUAUAGUACACAAAGCUCCAAGCAAAACUGUGACCCAUCAAUGGAACCCUUCUUCUUCAUCAACCAAAACUUAAAAAAUAUACAGCAAACUCAUCUCAUUCUGUAAAGACAAAUUUAUAAAAAUGUGUAUUCUUCUCAACCAAUUUGUUUAGCCUUUGCCUUUCUUUCUACUUCGCCUUCUUCUUGCUACCUUUGUUGUGACCUUUCUUAAUCUUAGAUCCUUUACUUGACAAAAUACUUGACGCACUCUUGCCUUCAAGCUUCUUCGUCAUAUUUACCACACUAACCAUUCCUUUCCGAGCAGCGGCUCUAUGUUCCGGUCGACGGCUCAUCAUCUUCCGAUCAAGAGGCCAAUACGCGUAAGGCUCAAGUUUAUCCUUUCUCUUAACAUCGCCUCCAGCCUUCUUGCUAGCAUACUCGGUACCGGUGUAAGCCCAACCAGAGUCGGAUGUUCUUCUCCGCUUCUGAUUUUUCUUGGAGGAACCAACUGACAAGUGACUCCUAACUUCACUCCUUUCAUCUAAAUCUGGGUUGGAAGCUUUUCUUUUGAAAUUUGCCUCAUCAUCAUCCUCAAUUAUUAAGCGCCCUUCGUCAUCCAUCUUCAGCUCGCCAUCUGACAAAACUGUUUUCCGCUUGAGAUGCAAUGAUGAUUGAAGAGCAUGUCUCGUUUUUUGUUGAUCAAGCAAGUCAAGAGGCUCGUCUUCCAUUUGUCCAGGCAAGCGUUCAAGUAAGCUCAUGGUUGAUCGGCUCUUGGGACUGAAGGAGUUCAAAAAUUCAGAUUGCAAUAAACAGUCUAGACAAAUGAGACAUACAUCUCUACAUUAAACAAGGAAUGGAAAUGGAAAAGGAAACGGACCGUUUAGAUGUCUUUGAUCUGAGGUGUGAGGAAGCCUUUGAUGGUCGACUUUUUCUACCAUCCACAUAUUCUGAAUCACUUUCCCCCAAGUAUUCUCCACCACUAUCUUCAGUCUCAUCAUCACUCACCUCCGAAAAAAUUCGUGUAUGAUUCCAUUUACUCAUCCUGAAAGUAAACCAAUAGUCACAAGAAGAAAAAAGUUGUAAAAUGCGCAAAAUUUUUAGUGUGUUUAAAAACAAUCUGAGCAUUUGUGAAGAAACGCCAAUCGGAAUGCAGUACAUAAAAGCCAUCAAAUCGUAUAUCUUGUAACACACAAAAAUGUUCUCAGACCGCCACUCAUUCAUUUCCCCACCCCACCACCGCUUAAUAAAGGUUAAAAGAAACAAUAGGUUAUAGGAGGAAAAAGAAUUUGAUCUGAUCAAUCUCAUGAGUACGCUUGAAUGACUAGUAAUUUCCAGCCACAAUCAAUAUAUUUCUCGAUGUUAAAUUCCAAGUCCGGACUUCCAACAACUAUUCAUAUAUCAACAAGCACAUGCAAAAUGGAAAACAUAACCCAUUAGAUACCUGGAUGUUGUUGCUUUAGACGCAAUAGACCUAGGCCCCUCAGAUUUAAGUUUCUUUUCUUUCCGUUCUCUUAUCUGGCAUGCCAAAACUGUUCGUUAGUAAGAAUAAGAGCAUACGCAAUCUUUCUUUUUGUUCUGCAUAAGCCUUUAUGUUUGUCAAUCUAACACUAAGUUUACAACCGACCUUCCUGAUGUUGGUAAGAAGUUUCAUGUGUUCUUCAGGCAUCACACCCUUGAUUGCAUCCAAGCCACAUUUUCUAACAAGCAUUUCAAGUAACUGCUUAACCUGGAAAAUUAACAAAUGAAAAAUGUAGCUUUUGGACAGUCGGAAAGCAAGAGAACAAUUUCAGAAUUAAGUCAAAGAAUAACCUUAGCUUUGAAAUGGUUUUUGGGGCCAUCUUGCCACUUCAGCAAGCUUUCCACCAAACUCGUCAAGUGCAUAUGCAACACUUCAGCUUUUGAUUUGGCCACCAAAACCUUUAAGAAUCCCAGAUUGGCCUGCAGUAAAUGAGAGUAUAAGUAAACCUAAAGAGAAGAUCAAAAUAGAUAUAAACACAACGGAGGAAGGACGAGCUAACUUUGAUUAUUUCUCUAUUCUUUCUCUGGAGAAGUAAAUAAGUAGAUGGGAGCAAAUUGCAAGCUGCUGAAACUAGAUCAGAGAACUCGUAAGCCAAGCGAGCUAAGCCUUUCAUUGCAGCACUGAUCAUAUGAGGAGUCUCACCACCAAGACCUCCAGCUACCUGGAAAUAUUAAUAUUUAUUCUUUCUGGCCUUUAUAACAAUUGAUAUUGAGUCAAUUUAGCAAAAUGGACAGGGGGAGGAAGGGUCGUGGUGGGGAGGAUAACCCAUUAAUGUUGUUCAAAUGAGAAAUAACUAAACUAAUGACUCGGAAAAAAAAUUGAAGUACCAUGUUAAAAAGAUGAUACAGAUAUUCCAUCUUUCCACCUUUGUUAUCAUCCAAACAUGCAUGACCAAUCUGAACAAGAAUAUCAUAAGCUCUGUUUCUUGUUUUCUUAUUAACCUGAAAGACAUGCGUGAGAAUAUUAGCACUUUGAACAAAACAUUCAUGAAACAACAGUACAUGAGAGCUAAGAACAACCCGAGUAACAUGUUCCAGAUCUGUCAUUAUCCGUAAGUAUGAAGAAAAUAUCUGGACUACAAUGAUGUAGAAAGCAUACUGAAAGCUCAUACUCGUUUCAACUUAUGUGGCCCAGUACAAAUGGCUGUACUAAAGACAUUAACCAAUUUCAGAUGCCAUUUGGCUUCUUUUUGUCGGCUUUUGUUUGCCCUUGCAUUCUUUCAAUUUAUUCACAAUGAAAGCCAAGUUUUCUCAUCAAAAGAGUUUCAGACACCACACAACCACUAGAAUGAACUUAUAUGUUGAUAUAACAAUCUGAAGGCAAGCAAACAUUCCUUGAUAAUUUGUGCCACCAAGAAAUUUAUAAAGAAGCAUUACACGCAACUGAAUACAACAAAGAUAAUACAGUGUUUAGCCCAAGUUCAGGACCCCUGAAUCUUAUUUUCAGUUGCAAAAGAAAUUGAGUGGACAUGGUACAAACUAAGAAGCAGAAAACAAUUAGAAAGAAUAAUUAAAAUGCAUUGGGCAUUUUGUAUUUCAGUUUGUUUUGACGCAAAUGAAGCUUCCUACAACCUUACAAUGACCAUUUCAAUAAAGAACUACAAUUCUUUGAUAAAAUAAAGUCAUUAACAAAUUUUAAAAGGCAAGAAGUCUAUCAACGAAAAAAAUUAAUACAACUUGAGUAUGAAUUUUGUCUAUCUUUUCGAAAAGAAGAUAAAAGGAAUAUCUCGAAAAUGAUUAAUCACUAAAGUACUCCGACACAAUAGGUAAAACAAAAAAAAAUGCAAUCGAGUCUAAAAUCAUAGUCUUCAUGCAAUUGAGUCUAAAACCAUCAUGACUUGAUCUAGUUGUAAAAAAGGAAAACUCAGUCUAAAUAACUAACUAAGAGGUCAAGGGCUCAAUCCAUGGCGGCCACCUACCUAAAAAUUAAUUUCCUACUGGUUUCCUUGACACCCAAAUGUUGUAGGAUUAGAUGGGUUGAUCCAUGAAAUUAGUCGAUGUGCACGUAAGCUAUCUCAAACAUUCACAGAUAUUAAAAAAAAAUCAGUCUUUCAUUCAUUAACUUUAUCUUCAAGAAAGAUGACUCUGGCCGACCACAAAUGCCUUAAAAAUAAGUAAUGCCAAGUUUCACAAUUAACAAAUUAUUCCAUCUCUAGCUUCUACCAAUGCCCCUACAAAAUCCCUAGGUAGGUAAUUUUCAAUCUGGGAAGUGAAAAACAAUGGAGAAAAUAUGGGAAGAUGGGCAAUGUCAGCACUACUGACUCCCCAGCAUAUCGUUCAAGUUAAUUUUCAAUCUUCAGCACUCCAAACAAAAAAGUGAUUUUUAAAUUAAAUUUUAGACUUUCAGGUGAUCAUACAACAAGACCAGUCUAAAAGAAAACAACAAUUCCGUAUAUUAUUAAAGAAAACAAAGAAGUAUUUCCAAAAGAAGUGAAGGAAUCAAAUAUAUCAAAUUAGACUUGGUCUCAGAAAAAGAUAACCAUAGUGUGCACCACAGAUAUAAAUUUCCUAUUGACAUGGCAACUGCUCAUAUAUUUAAAUAGUUUAUAAACUCUUAGUCGUGAUAAAAUACCAACUCAAAUUAUUCUAACGCCAUCAAAUUGAAGAAAAAUACUAGAAAACGGCAGAACACAUACAAAACCAUAUAAUUCAAUUAAAAGUGAAAGCAAGGAAAUAUUAUAACAGGAAAGAAAAGAUAGAAUACCUCUUUGAGGGCAAGUAUUAUUUCUGUCAAAAACGAACUAAUGAUGUCAUGCCGCCUGGACCCUGAAUCCUCCUGAGGUAAUAAAAAGUAACAAAUUUGAAAUCACAACUGGUGGAGAAAUGUAUUAGCAGGCCAUAACGCAUACUCUUCUACAAGAAUAGAAUGUCUACUAUACUUACCUUUGCAACUUGGACAAUUAGAAAGUACAGACAAUCGAGUCUGUGACGUUUGGCAGAAAAGUGGCAUAAAGGUAACACUUCAAUCAUAAGUGUAAGCAAUUCAUCAAACUUUGUGGAAAGGAACUCAUCAGACGUCUGAUAAUACAAAUGAAAACCAUAGAGAUACAUCAAUUGCCAAUCCUAAAAUCAUUAAAAAAAUCGUUGAAUGUUACAUGAGACACCAUAUUCAUUAACCAAUACGGUCAACUAACCAAACAAGUUCCAAUAAAAUGCUAAGCUUGUAUGCAAUCCAGUAUAAAAAAUGCGAAAGUAAUUAUUUAUUCAAAAAUAAUUGAGAAAGUUGUAAUAGUAAGGGUUGUCAGCACAACAAAUACCUUGAGAAUAGCUGAGAGAACUUUAUAUGCCUUCUUCUGUAUCAAACCAUCACAAUCCUACAAUUCAGAGAUGUGUAAAAUAUGUAAGAAACUUUAUAAUAUAUAAGAACACUUAGACUUCUACCAAAAACAUUAUCGAAACAGAAAAGAGCCAGGAUUAUGGCGUUUGGUCUACUAAACUGCUCCCUAAUCAUGCAAAGAGAAAUCCCCAACAAGUGCUUGCUACCUUCGACUUGCCCUCUAUGCCUAAAGGACAGUGAGGAUUUAUUACAUCUAUUUAUAUUAUGCCCCUACUCCUUUUAUUGCUGGAGAAAUAUUUUCUCUAUCUUUAAAGUGGAUUGGGCAUUCCACGGAUCCUUAAGUUCCAAUGUUUUUUAGUUGUUGAAGAGCCCUUUGUUGCCAAAGAAACUAAAGCUAAUUUGGAUAAACAUGGGAAGAGUUCUAAUAAACUGUAUGGGUGUGUCCCCUAAUCCUAUGUUUCUAACUUUAUUUUUAGGCUUCUCUACUGUUCUCAUUGUAUAAUUCUCUUGUGCUAUGGGUUUUAUAUUAAUGAAGAAGCUUGUCUCUGUUUCAAAAAAAAGAAACAGUAAAGAGCCAACACCUGUUCUUUCAAUGCAGAUUUUACAGCAACGAAUAAAACGUCGAUCUCUUUAGAAUUCAGUCCAGGCAGAAAUGAUACGGCCAAGUCAUACAUUUGGGCCCUGCACUCGAGGUGAAAAACUUGUCAGGCACUUAAAGGUAGCAAAACUUCAAUCCAUUGAGCCUGUAAAAUAAGCAACCCCAACCCCCUCCCCCCAAAGAAAAAAUCCUCCAAAAGUUUGAAGGAAGCAUACCUCAUGAAAGAGGAUGAAUUUGCAUUCGUGGAAUCAUCAAUCUGCAUGGAAUUGGAAACUUUUGGUUCUACUUUUGCAGCCUGCUGAGUCAGUUUUAAAAGCUUCCUCAUUGUCUUCCCGAAGAGAUUUGACACGACACUUUUAUCUGAUAUUGAAGAAAUUUCACCAAUUGUGGACUGCAAAUAGUUCAAACAGAACUUAUAUUGAAAUAUAUAGAAUAUACAAAAUACCCUAGCCCAUAUGAAACAAAAGAAAUCCAAAGACAUAGAAGAAGCGGAAGUCCUUAAAAGACAUGGAUGAAGUGCAAACAUACACAAGACAACUAGCAGUAACUACCACAAUAUGCUUAUGAACCAACAACUGAAGUAACCUAACUGAUAACAAAGUCAACCUAUCACAAAAGCACAAGUUUUCAUUUUUCAACCAAUAGAGGCAUACCUGCAAAUAACCACCAUCUUUUGUAGACUUUAGAAAGAUGUCUGACAAAGCAGACAAUAACUCAGGAGAAGAGGACUUAAGAACAGUCAGGUUAGUUUCCGCCACCUUUUGAGUAUAACGAGACAUAGCAAGCUUUCUAGCCAUAUCCACUUCAAGAUCAGACUCAUCAUUCUUUCCUUCAAGCACUCUCUUAUUCUGUUGGAUAAGAAUCUGCAGACUUGAGCAUAUUAUGCCUCGAACAUCAGGCUCCUCGUUAAGCGCAAUGCAUAAAGCUUUUUGAAGAUCCUUAAAGCUUUCAGCAGUAUCCAAAGGAUAAUUGCAAAAUGAAGGCAGCAAAGACCAAAACGAGUAAACAAGCGAAUCCAUACUCCUCAAUGAAAAGAUCAUGCCCUGUUGCUCAAGCUGCAAGAGAUGAAAGAUAUGAGACUACAUUUCACAACUAAAAGGCUAAUUCCUUAGACAAGAAAAUUCUAUACCUUUUGUGACUUCUGCUUGAUUUCUCCUAUCAUACCCAAAAUGGUCUUCGUGAAAUAGCUCAAAUGAGCACCAACAGUAUAUUGCUUCAAUAUUGGAAGAAGCCAAAUAUUAAUCUGUGAUAGGUUUUCUGUAUCCAAAUUAAAAGGUAUAAGUUCCAAGAAACUUUGAGGUCCCAUCGCACCAAGAGCUGAUCCAAGGCAUUCAUGCAACUGAGUCAUGGAAGAUGCAUUAGUUAAGAGUAACAUAGAAGAAUGAAUAGAUAAAUAAAAUGCACAAAAGAAAUCCGUUCCCAGAAAGGCCAAACCAACAACUAAACACCCAGUAAAAUUACACUCCAAAAGGAGGCUGCAGACAACCACAGACAACAUAAUUAUGGCCUUCUACCACUGAUUAUUCUGAAAACUCUAUCAAUGAUUUGAGAUAAUCACCAAAAGUUCUCAUGGACAAAACUAGGAUUAUAGAAAACAUGGCACCAAAUGUCCGAACAACAUCAUUGUCACACCAACUGGAACAUCCUUUUUAAGCUCACUUGUUCAUUUGCGCAAGUUUUAUUGUUAUGGUAUUUGGCUUGACCUCUAUUUGUGAAAAUCCAUUAAACUUUCAUCUUCUUAAUGAGAGUUGGUUCUCAUUAAAAAUAAAAUAAAUAAAUAAAUAACAUACAUAAAAACUAGGAAGCACAUAUACCGACAUGUGACACGACGACUUGCCAUUUUUCAAAAAAAGUAAUACAGACACGUCGGACACAAUUGGUGAAAUUUCAAUUAUUGACAUCAUGGAUAUAAACAUAUUCUGAAAUAUUCCAAUUAAAAACAUCAAAAUAACAAGUUUAGAGCCAUAAGACAUAACAAGUUUUAGUAGUUUGUUCAACACAACAAAAGGCACAAAACUACAAAAUAAAAUCAGAAACUGGUGGUGAGAGGAUCGGCAGCGACCGAUGAGCAAGUCAGGGCAGAGAGGGUGGAGAGAAAUGUGUGAAAAAAGAUUUUAAUAGAUAAAAUAAAUAAAUAAAUAACCAAAUAAUGGUUGGGCCAGGGUAAUGGGCUAUUCUAACAUUUUCUUAGUUUUUUUCCAGCCGUGUCAGGGCCGUGUCCGUAACUAAAAAUAAUAAUAAAAUGGUGUGUUGGUGUUGGAAACGUGUGACACAGACACUUGGUCAUCUUAGGAGUGUCGGUGCUUCUUAGCAUAAAAUCUGUUUAUGAGUCUAGAGAAAGAGAAGAACAUAUCAAGGACGUAAUUCUCAAAUAAUCCAUUAAUAAUUCGAAUAUUUCAUAAACAUGAUGUAGCAAAUAGUAAAUUUAAAUAUUUGUGAACCGAUUAUCAUAUGAGUGGAUUGUGGUAAGCAGCAUAGAAUGUAGCAAAUAAAAGUACAAAUAAGGGAUACCUUUCCCCUUUUCAACAUAAGUGACACAUAGACUGAGGAAGAAAACAUGUAUUAAAACAAUACAGAUGGAAGUCAGACAUUGUGGCCACCAGACCCAUACCUACCCCCGCCCAAAAGAACCAGAAAAUAAGAUGGAAAAAAAAAAGAUAAAACUGGACCAAUACUCCCAUUUGGAUUCUAAACUAUGAAUGUUAAACAAUAAAAGCUACAAGAAUCUGUGACAAAAGCUAAUAGCCAAUAUGUAAUUCUUUGCCAUCCAAAAUCCAGAAAAGAAUACCUCUUUCCGGAAGGGGAAAUCUUCAUCUCGCAAUUUCUGCAUUUUUGCUAGGCUAAUAAGGGCUCCUUUAAGAAAGUGAGAGGAAUAUUUCCCUGAAUAAUAAUGAACCAAGACAACAAACCACACAAAUGAAAUGAUGAUAAUAAUCAUAACAUGUUCAAAUGUUAAGUGAAGAGGAAAUUAAAUUACAUCAAGUAGUUUAAGAAUACCUAGUUUAUCAAACAUGGCCGACACAACUUGAAAAGCCAAGUCAAAAACAGCAGUGUAAUGAUAAUCAAGUAAACUUUCAAUAAUAGCACAUAGUUUUUCUAUGACUGUUGGCCCAGGCCUCCUUGCCUCCAUAUUUCCCGUAGUCACACCCUCUCUGAUCAAGUCUUCAUUGAUGCAAGCACAUAUCAGAUUUUUCAUAGCAUCCUGGGCAGCACGGAUUGCCUCCUCAUGAUCACAUAGCAUAAUAUCUGUCAAUCCACGUUACAAAUUAAUUUCAUCUUUUUCCAUAGACAAUUAGUAUGAACUUGGGAAUGGGAGAAUCCAAGUGCAUCCAAAUUAACUUCCAAUCAGAACUAAACUUGAAAAGCAAAGAUCAAACCUUUGAGUGCAUUGAAAGUAACAGGGAGCUUAACUACACAAAUCUGCCUAUUAAUUUUGUAAACUUUUUCCAUCCCGACAUUAAGCAGACGAGCUGUGAAAGCCAGGCCAUCUGCAGAUGUUUCACUCGUAGAGAAAGAUACAGCCAUGGAGCACAACAAAUCAAGCAGCACUUCAGCAGAAACAUCAACAGUUGGGUGGAGACAGAGUGAGUUCAAACUAUCCGUAAUACGCCUAGUAACAACAGGUUGGUGCAGCUCCAAAAGAGUUUUAUAGUAUUUAAGUAUGUUAGUAAUAUACUUCAUUGACAUGAGAGGCAGACACUCCCUCAAAGCCUCCAAAAUAAAUAGAACCUCCUGAGCUCCUUUAGGUCCUUCAGGAGCCUUGGGGGUUGACCCACCAGCAAGCAAAAGAGAUUUCUCAAAAACAUUGGCGACCCCUUCACUAGCAGAUGGGAGCAAUGGUGUUCCCUGCAGUUUUAACAAGACAUCCCGAAGACAAAUGUGUGAUUGCCUUCUAACCUGUUCAACUACACGCAAUUAAUAGUUCGUUCAUAGAGAAAACAUUCAAAAUCCCAUUCUUAUACAUUGAAUAUCCAAAUUCAUACAUGGCCUAAAAUUAAAAUAGGUCAGAACUUCUAAAUUCGAUAUUAAAUAACUCAACUCCACCCCAUGUUCGUUAUAGAAGUUUGUGAAUUAUCAAUAAACUCCAUCUACCCCUCUUUUGCCCACUUACCAAAGAAACUCUAUCUUCCACCCCUUUGCACAUUUAUCGAUAAAAUCCAACUCAACACUGGAAACACAGACUUCUAACAAAUAUGCAACCCAAAUACAAUUUUUCUAACUCCAAUACUCAGACUAAAGAACUUAACUUAGCACCCGAAGCACCAUAUGGUAUUUGAAGUACAAACAUUUCAUUAAAAAAAAAAAAAGACUGGUGUUAGAAAUCACCUUAGGACGCGAAUCAAUGACGAACCCAAGAAUAAACCCGAACAAAUUAGAAACAUCCGACCAAUUGACAGCAUUCCUAACAAUCACCAAAUGCGAAACACACUUCAAUCCAAAAGUAGCGGCACCGGGGGUCAAGGAAGGGACACGAAGAACGCGAAUAAGGAGAUAAGAUAAAAAGUCCUUCUUCUUAUUCAAAAUGGGAGAGGAAAUUCGGGGGAGAAGCAGAGACAGAAUGGUGAGUAAAGCCUCGAGAAGGUGAGGGGAAGGCUCAGGCUCGGAAGAGAUGCGGUCAAGAGAAGAGCAGGUGGCACCGAAGUAGGCAAGUGGAGUGGAAGGAAGAGACUGGUCUCUGAGCUCCUGAGCCAUGGCGCCAAUGACGGCGCAAAGAUGCUGAUGUUCUUCGUUGGUGGAAUCGCUGAAGCGAAAGAGAAUGGAGUUGCAGAAGUCAUCGUUGGAUUCGAAAUCGAACGAAGCUUCCAUCUCAAGGCCUUCCAUGGCCAUGAUCGGUGGAUUGAAGGUGAAGAAGAUUAAACCCUAGGGUGCGGGCAAAGAAGACAAGGCAGUGCCAGCCAGGGUUUUAGGUGAAAAUUAUAGGAAAUCAAAGGAACCGGCGAACCGAAUCGGAUUUUUUCACUCGGGCCGGUUUAUGAAUAAUUUGUGGGUUUUUUCGAAAACGCAAGAAAUUCAAGGGUAGCUAAAUAGACAAUAGUUUUUUUUUCUCCAAAUGUUUUACAUUAUCUAAAUAACAAAUCACUAGUUACCAGUUCUUUUAAAACGUUCUAUUAUUUGAGAGAUCAUCCGUCAUAUAAUUGUUUUAAAUUUAAAUUAUGACUAUUUAAAAAUAGAUGUUUUUGUAGUUUUCAUAGUUAAAGACAUCUUGAAAUAAAACAAAUUUUUUUGUUUAAAAAAGAAGUUUAAAAUUAAGGGCAGUCAGAUUUCACCAAUCAUCGUCGUUUUAAAAAUAAGUUAUCUCUUUUAAAUUGAGAGUGUUCUGUAAACAUUUUCUUCUUUAGUUAGUCCAAACGUCUUAUAACUAGCUUUUAUUCUAAAUAUACAAUUAUCUAGUUCGUUGUUUUCCGUGAAAUAAAACAAUAUUUAAAAAUACAUUUUAAAAAACAAAAUUUUGUGGAAUAAUCCCCUGUGAUUAGACAUCAAUUAGCAGAUGACAACACACUCAAGUAUCUUUUUCUCAAUACGUUUUGUAUAUAUUUAGCCAACAAUACAUAUAGAAAAAAGAAACAGAUGCAUUACAUUCCAUUUAAUCAUAAUUUAUCGCACUUCAAACUCUUCUUAUAUUAUGGUCGUCGAGAUGCAUGAAUGAUGGUACCACAAACUCUACUCUACUGCCGUGAAACCUCCGCCAUUUGUCACUGUUACCGCCACCCCCAACAUCUUCCUUCCGGUGGGGUUUCCACCGUCGAGACGAUUAAUCAUAAACAGAGCAUUACUAGUAACUUUAGCCACUUUCAAAAUUCUCCUCUUCACAUCCAAUUUCACUUCCCCAUCCACUUCUUUAAACCCAUCAAGACAAGUUUCUUCAUUCGUUAACGCCGCACUAACCCACGUCUUCGCAUUCCCCAUCUCCAGCCGGAACUUCCGCCGGUCGUCGCCGCACGGGAGGUGCCGGAGAACUCCCAAUGUGUUGCUCAGUUCCUCUACAGAGUCCCCAAUCUGAUCCACGCAGUCAUCCACCGCCGCUCGCUGCUGCCUUGACGCCUGUCGGAGGCUGUCGGAGAGAUACUCGGAGAGGUUUUGGGCGAGGGAGAGGCUGACGGAGAUGGUGGCUUGAGCAAGGUCUCGUGGGGUUUUGACGGCGCCAGCGUAGGAGGAGAGGGUUCGGAUGCAGAGAGUUGGGUAACUUGCUUGAAGACAAGAAGAAUGGAUAAGAUCUUGGGAGAUGGCGCCUCGUCCGCCGUGUGCGGCGGAGAGAGAGAGUGAGAAGAGGAGGAGGAGGAGAGAGAGGACAGUCAUGGUGAAGUGUUGGAAAAAAUUGAAUUGAAAAAGUGGGAGAUCAAGAGGAGAAUUUCUAGGACUAUAGGUUAUGGAAAACAUUAAUAAAUGUGCCUAUCAUAAUUUGGUUGGCAGCUUCUAGUAAUCCAAUUAUACAUGUCUCUGAAAUAAACUCAGCAGUAAGAAUGGACGAGAGUAAUUUUAUUAUUAGAGAGAAAAAUAAAAUGACGGUAGACAUACUAAUACUACUUUUUUGCUUAUCCCAAUUCCAAUAAAUAACAAAACUUUGAAUUUCAACUCGUUGAUUGGACCAUCAAACUUUCAAUAUCAUUAGAUUAGAUGUUAACAUAGUUAAGAAAGUUUUGACAAAUGCCAAAAUGAACUUUAGUACGUACCAAGAAGUUAAUAUGUUUGUUAAUUAUAUUAUAUUUAAAUGGGUACUCUAACAUUAUAAGACUUCAUAUUUUUGUUAACUAUAUAAUAAAAAUAUUGAUAUAUGAGGAAAGAAAGAGACAUGAGGGGAGCAAUCUCUGAGUGACCCAUAACUCCAUAUGCUCCCACCAUAAUAAAUAAUGGCAUAUGCAUCCAUAUGUCAUAUGCCCCAUCCUCUCUUCAGUUUUCACUUUAUUCUCUCUCUUCUAAAUCUUUUUUCAAUUUUAGGUAUAAUCAUUUCAACAUCUUACACAUUUUUAGUUUCUAAUCCUAUAUUUCGAUUAGAGAUGGUUCCUAAUGCUUAGUCUCCUUUAUUAUGAUUUUCAAUCCACUCGUAUAUAUUAAUACGAACUUAAAUUUACGUGGAAAGUUAAUAAUGCAAAUUUAAAACGAUAGUGUUAAAAGUGAACUUAGCUAAAUGAUAAUUGACAUGAUUUUCAUAUUUAAAAGUCAUAAGUUCAAAUGAUUAUAUACCCUCGUAAUUGCCGUACUUCAGAAGGAAAAAAGUUAAAACAAUAGUAUUUAUAUUGAACUAACAUGAAGUGUUUUUUUAACUGUUUGAUGUGGUAGAUACAUAGGGGAGAAGAAAUUGUACCAUUUAUAAGAAGGUAUUUCAUAAGUUGCUUCAAACAAGAAAAGUAUGUUGAAUAUAUGCUUCUUGAUUUUAAUAUUCAAUUGUUCGACCUACUUCUGUCAUCUAUUGUAUAGCGCGUAAAAGGAACAUUGACAAAUAUAACAAUUAUGUCCAAAAUAUUAACAAAUAUAAUGUAACACCAAAAAUUUGUAAAUAUCAAAUUUUAGAUUUAGCUUCUAGAGUUUAUCAAAUCUAAAUCAUGUUACUAAUAGAAGUCUAUCGGUGAUAAAGUCUAUUUAAAUUAUAUAAUUAAGUCGAUCAAUCAUAGAGGAUAUCAGUACUAAUAAAUUUUGUUAUAUUUGUAAUUUUUUUAAAAUGUUCCUAAAUUCAAACUAAAUAAAAAAAAUGUAGUAUGUUACCUUAUUCACAUGACAUAUACACUAUAACGACUUUUUAAUCACUCACAAAAUCAAUUUCGAAAAAAAUGUGAGUUGUAAAAUAAAUUGGUUUAGGAUAAUGAGACUUGGAAUCAACUCGUAAAAAAUAUAUAUUUUAAGUGUUUACUAAUUUAUCUCUCAUUUGUAAGAUUCCUAAAGUUACAAAAACGUCCCAAAUGUCAUUACUAUACUUUCACGGUUGCAACUUCUCUUUGUCGACCACCUCUCACUACCACCUUUGUCGGCCAAUUUCGACUUUCUUCUCCUAUUAUCGUCACCAAUCAAUUUCAACAACCAUUAUUAUUUCAAAUCAUUAGUUUAAUAUAGUAUUUUAUAGUCAUUAUUUACGAUAUUUAAGGUUAAUAAAAUACUUUUAGUGUAUAACAAAUCAGAUAAGCUUGUAAAAAAAAUAUCUACGAGAAUAUAUAAGUGGUGAAAGACACAUGACUUUUCUUACUAUUGUUUCAAUUUUUUUUCUUUUUAAAGUGUUUAAGUGAAAAUAAUUUUUGAAGAAUAAUAUUUUUCUAUGUUAAUCGAAACAUACUCUUAGUUUGGCUACAUAAACAUUGUAAUCCGCUAUCACUAUUUUUAAUUAUUUGGUUUAUUUACCACAUGAUUCAUAUCAAAUAAUCAGCGAUCAGUUUGUUAACCAAAAGGCUUGAACUAGGAUAGAGUUUCAUUUAUCACGUUCGGUAACCAUUUAUAUAGUUGAUAGAAAGUUAUAUGCAACCGAUAUACCCAUGAUUUUAAUUGUCAUUGUGAAAGUUGUUUCUUUUAAUUCUAUUUUGAUAUAUAUGGAAUUGUUUUUAUUUGAUUUGUUGGAUUUUGAUGGUCUUAUUUGGAGUAUUAGCAUUAGUUUUCUUUUUUUUUUCAAAUAAUCUUGAUGUAUAUAUCUUUAAUUACAUUAAUUAUGUCUAACAAAUAUAAAUUCUAUACAAAAUUAAUUUAUUAUACUUCGAUCAAAUGUUGAUAUGAUUAUUUUUAAUAACAUGCAGUGAGUAACGUUAAUUUGGUAUAUCAAUAGCAGCAAGAGAUGAAAGAUAUGAGACUACAUUUAACAUAUGAGUAUACUGAUACAAUAGAUUUUUAUAAGGAGAAAAGAAGAUACGAAGUAUAUAUGUGUUGUUAAGAAUAAUGAUCGUUAAAGUUAAAUUAUAACAUUGAGAUUUUAAGUAUAUCGAUAUUAUAUAUCCAUAAUAUUUCAUCAUUAAUUUGUUUAAAAUGUUCUAAUUUACACUAAAAAUUGUUUAAGUAAAUCGAUGUAUUGAUAUUUUAAGUUGAAACUUUACAAUAAAAAUUAAUAUGACGCGAUAAGUUAACCAAACAUUCAAAUGUGGAUAGAUCGGGUAAUCGAGGCAAAGAAUUCAUCACAGUUUGGCCAUUUGGGGAGAAAACAUUAUUAUAUAUGGUUAAGUCCCAUGUGGACAAUUAUUGCAUCCAUUACUUAUAUUGUGAAAGGAACAAUAUCAUUCUAAGUAGAUAGUGGGUAUAUAUCCCAACUAUAUAUAUAUGCUUUACAAAAUAUAUUCUUUAUUAUUCUUCAUAUAUAUGGACACAAGUCCAUGUGCACUUAUUCUAAGGCUUUGCUUGUUGGAAUGAACAAAAUUAAAGUUGCAAGAAGAAAAAAAAAACCCUUUCACAUUUAGUUCAUGAGAACACGAAAACAUUAAUAAUUGAUCUUUCGGUAAAGUUAGGGUUUAAAGUGAUCACGAUCUAUCGAUGCCUAUCAUAUCACUAUAAAAUUUUGCUAAUGUAGUGGUGAAAAAUGAUAAAUUUAACUAGGAUUUGAUAGUUUUCAAAAACUUAUUUUUUCUUUUGAAAUUUGACAAAUAAUUCAACCAUUUGGCUUAAAAAUAUGCAAAACUAUUGUAACAAAUUGAUCAUUAAUGAAACAAAACUUGAUUUUCAAAACCUAUAAUUAAAAAUUAAAGUAUCUCAUUUGGUAACCAUUUGGUCUUUUGUUUUUGUUUUUGAAAAUUAAGUAUGUAUAGUUUAUCAAUGGUUGAUUUUAAAAAAUCAAGUCCAAUUUUAGCAAUUCUUAACAAAGAUAUUAUAGUCUCUCUUUUUUUUUUUUUAUGAUCAUGGUUUAUCGUUGGAAAUUAAAAUUUCUUAUUUAUUAAAACAAAUAAUCCUUGGUUUCUAAUUAUCCUCUUAGAGUACAAUAUCUAUAAUCAACCAUUCGAUUUCUUAGUGAAAAUGACUUGCAUCAUUAUGAGAGAAUUUUAUAAAGGAAAAACAACAUACAUGGAAGAUAUGAAGAAGUUGCCAUUCGAUUGAGUUUAUUAAAGAUAUGUGGUAAUGUCCAACACAUGGUUUUUCUAUUACAUAAAAUAUAUAGGUAGGUGACAAAUGUAAAUGUAGCUCAAUAGGUUCAUACAUAGUUCUAAGAUGAAUAGGUUCUAAUUCGUUUUACCCUUAUAUUAAUACACUUACAAUCACUUAUGUCAAUUUUUAUUAACUAAUUUGAAGUAUCAUGAGUUUCAAACGUGGUGAAAAAUAGUGAAAUUUUAAUUAAUUAUAAUUUGUUUAGUUCUACACUAACAUUGAAGACGAAAAAUAAGUAUUAAGUGAAAAUUUGAAAUUCAAAGUUGUGUAAAUAUUGAAAUUUAAUAACCAAAUUGAAAUAAAAUUAAUAGUAAAAUUAUAAUAUUUCACAACUUAGGGACCGAAUAAAAAUCAAACUCAAAACUUAAAUAAAAGCUAGAACGGAAAGCUCACCCAUCAAAAUAGAUGUUUUUUAUCUAAUUUUAAAUAGCCUCUAAUUAUAUUUUUGUUUGAAAAUUUGUUUAAGGAAAAGUUUGCCAAUGUACAUUCAAUAUAUAGACAAGUUGGGUAAUGGGGUUGUUCUCAUUUUACCAUUUAUGCCUCAAUCUAUUUAUUUAUUUUAUGAUUCAUUUAAGUUUUUUUUAGUACAGCGGUUUCACAUCAAUCUUAAACUUAGAACUUAGAAGUUUGAUUAUUCUACAUUUAGAAAAAAAAAUAUUCUCAUAUAAAGUUUAAUUUCUAUUAAAAUUAGCAAAUCAUUACCAAACUCUUAGAAUAGCUUUCUUUUCAAUAGCGGUUGAAUUAAAACAAUUAUAUUUAUAUAAAUUGGAGGUUUAAUUUGAAGAAAUCAUUCAGAGUGAAGCAAUUUGUCAAGUUUUAAAUUAAAGUAUAAGAGUAAAGUUUUGUUACUAGUUACUUAAUUAUUAUUUCUGAAAUAAAUUAUUGUGUGGAUUGUAAUUAUAUUUUAUUAUUUAAAAAAGGAAAAAAGAAAUUGGGCUAGAGAGAGGGAGAGGGCCCAUUAGGGUUAGUUAAUGGGUUGUUGUUGCAAUGUUUAUGAUUUCAAGAUAUAUCAACUACUACAAAAGGUUGGUGUACUUUAUCGAUACUAACAUUCAAUUUUUCAAUCACUCUAAAUUAAAAUAUUACAAUUUUUUCUUUCUAUAUCCCAUCCCUAAACUAUAUCCACUCCAUUAAUUCUACAUAAUUAUCGAUAAAAUGUCCAUGUGAUAGUACACAUAUUACAAAUUAUAUCUAAAUUAAUAAAAAAAAAAAUUAGAAUUUUAAAACACGUUAAAGUGUAUAUGUUGUCAUAAAUAUCUAUUCAUGAUCUGCAUAUUAUUGUAGAACUUUUGAAAAUGUGAAAAUAUAUAUCGAGAUGUUUUGACGAAAAAUUAAUAUCACAAUUUUAUCCUACAUAUGUAUCUGUACCUUUUUUUAAAAAAAAAUCAUAUACUAAUUUUCAUAAUUCUCCAAGAAUGUUUAUAAUUUUAACCACUUUUUGUAAUUGAAAUAAUAUGUAUAAGCUUGAUUAAAAAAACAAACGAAAAUCUAAAAUAAAAUUGAAUUAGUUAUGAAAAUUACUUAAUUAUUUUUUGACAGGGAAUUUUUUUUGAUUAAAUAGCUAAAACUUGUUAAACUAUAAAAUUACAAAUUAAUUAAAUAUAGUAGUAAGGAUUGCCAUAUUAAUUAAAUAUUCAAAUAUAGCAAGCCUCUCUAUGCUUUAUAGAUUAAAAAAAUUAAACUUCUAAAAGUAUAACAAUAUAUAUGAGAUAGAUUACCGUCUAUAUUUAUCAUGAAACAUAUAGACAGACACAGGUAACAAUGUCUAUGUUAACCUAUCGCGAUCCAUCAUAUAUAGACUAUGAUAUUCUUUUAUACUUUAUAAAUAUUUUGAUUCAUUUUACUAUAUUUGAAAAUAAUCUUCAUCUUAAUUAAUUAAGUUAGAGUAUAUACAUGAUACAAAAAUAGUAUAUUACUAAUUAAUGUAUUUUAAUAUUUUAAAGCAUUCUCUAUAUAUUUAUUUUAAUGAAAAAAUAUUUUUGGUCUCUCUAACCUAUAAUUAACCAUAAUAUUACUAUUCACUUUUUACUAUUUAUUACAAUAUUUAUUAUUUUCUACUCAUUUACUUUUUUUUUAUUUGUUGUAAUAUUUUUUAUCAUUAAUUACACGGACUACAAUAAUUUAAACGGCCUCAAACACAAAAUCUUAAGGGAACUACCGUAAAUAAGAUACCUACCCUAUGAUAAUCACUAACUAUGAUCCAAACGUCUCUAAAAUUAUCGUGGAAAUGUUUUGGUUUUUCUGAAGGUUUGGCGACCUAGUUCUUCUAACUAAAUUUGAAAAAUAUGACUAACCUACUCUAUCGGUACUAAAAAAAUUGUAAUUUUUUUAUUAAAUUAAAUGUUAAAGAAGUUUUAUUUACUUAAAAUUUCGUGGACUCAAUCCGUUUAAAUUUUGAUGGUUCAUAAAGUGUAUCAAUUUAAACCAUCACUUAAUUAUAUUCUAUAUUUGGAUGUACAUCGUCAAAAACUUAUAAUUUUAUCAAUUAAACCCUUAAAUUUUAAUUUUAUACAAAUUGUUAGUUUAUGUAUUAAUUCUAAUCAUCAAUUUUGUUGAUAUGAUAUUUGAAGAAGUAUCCAACCAUACAUUUAAGAACUAAAUACAUUAAUAAUUUUCAAAUAUAUUCGUAAUAAUAAAUUUCAAAUUGAUUCAUUUAUAUAAUACUUAAAAUUUAAAAACGGCUUAAUCGAACAAAAAAAACUAAAUAUUUUAUCACAAUAUUUUUACUAGUUUAAAUUGAAAUUCUUCCUUACGAGCAACACAACCAAAACUUUAAGGUAGUCUUCAAAAUCAAUAAUUCAACACAAUCAAAUUUUAUCUAUAUCGUAUAACUAUUUUAAAAUUUUACGUUAUGAUGUCACGUAUUACAAUCUUGAUCCCGCUACGACCCGAACCUAACUUUUUUUUCUUUUUUUCUUUUUUUGCCAAUUUACUACAAACACCACCACUCCCCAAAAAAGAACUACCCAUCCUCUCAACACCAAAAUUACCAAACACGUAUUGACUUUAAAUAAUGAUUUUAAAAAAUACGAAUUUCCCAUUUUACCCUUUUGUUCAUAAAGAACUACAAUAACGCCCUCUCUCUUCUCUUAUUUUAUCCCAACCCCAAAAAACCGAAACACAAGGAGAUUUUCGGGAGAGAAUGUUCCGGCCGACCGUUGCUUCAUCUUUUCCGGCGACGGUGGCGUUCGCAAUGGGGGUGAUGCUCCAACUCAUUAUACUAAUAAUUAUUCCGUCCACCGUCGUCGUUGAAGCUCACACAAAAACAAUUCCGGCAGAUUCAUCGAAGCUCGACGAAUGGAUCGGACACAACAUGAAAGAAUACAACGAUCGUAAGACGAACGAGACAGGAAUCAAGGCGCUGGACCGGCGGCUGGCGGAGGCGGAGGAUUGUGUUCAAUUAAUCACCGUUAGAAAAGACGGACGAGGAAAUUUCUCGACGAUCACUGAAGCGAUCGAUAGCAUUCCGUCAGGAAAUCGGCGGCGAGUGGUGGUGUGGAUCGGAGGUGGGGUUUAUAGAGAGAAAAUUACGAUCGAUGCUUCGAAGCCGUUUGUGACUUUGUAUGGACAGAAAGGAAAACGGCCAAUGAUAACGUUCGACGGUACAGCGUCGGAGUUUGGUACCGUUAAGAGCGCGACGGUGGCGGUGGAAUCGGAUUAUUUCGUUGCCGUCAAUCUUACGUUUGUGGUGAGUACUUCUUCUUCUUCUUCUCAAUUUUGUGGGGUACGUUUUGUAAAUAGUAAUAAUUAUGGGGCUAUAAGUUUUUGGUAACGUAGGAUGUGCACGAGUUUUCCAUUUUUCCUUUUUCAAAUUUAAAUUUUACUAAACAAACAAAUAUGACUCAUGCAAUUCACCCGUCAUCAAAAUUAUUCCAUAUCAUGCCAUUCCUCAUGCGUACAAAACAUGAUUUUCUUCACCUUCAAAUCUUGACUAUAUAUAUAUGUGAAAAUUAUUGUUUAAUAAGACUCUUACGCAAUAAAUGGUUUAAGGUGGACAAAAGUUUUACGUGAAGAUUAUUUUUAAAUAUAACAAAAUGAAUUAAAAUAUUUUCAAAUUUAAUAAAAUACAACGAUAUUUUAUUAUAAUGAUAAAUAAUUUUUGUAUAUAAUAAUUUCUACGAUAAAUAAAUUCAUGUGUUUGGUAUAUAAUUAGUUUGGGAUAGGGUAUGUUUAUUCAAAUAUGGGACGAAAUUUAUAAUUUGACAUUUUCGAUAGAGAUAAAGAGGAUUUAAACUACAUAUCUUUUUAUUUGCUAAUUAUGCAUAUUUGAUACAUACAUAUGUUAGAGCAUACUCAUUUUGUCUUUAAUUAUCAUAUCUAUUUUGUAGUCCAUAUGUAAAAAUGGUGCUGCUUUCCAUUUAAAAGAAUGUGCAAUGAGUUAAUUGAUCUGCACGACUUUAAUUUGUUUAGUAUUUACCAAAGUUCGUUUCUUAGAAUUGGAAAAGUGGAUGUGUAUAGAAAAGGUAAUUGAAAGAAGACUUUGUUGAAAAAUCCCUCAUGAUUAUUAGAAAAAUAUAAGAGCUAGUUGCAUUUUAAAAUUAAUUACGUUCCUUAUAAAUGCCUAGUUUAGAUGUUGCUUCUUUGGAGUCAAUUCACUAUUUCUAGGUAUGUUGAAUCUUAGUUUUUAGACCGAAAAUACAUUUGGACUUCUUGAACACAUUGAUAUACCAUAUUAGAUAAACGCUAGAUUUUUAUCUUAAAAAUGAUCAACUAACAAUAGAAGAAGUACCUUGUGUAUUUAUUAAAGAGAUUAUUAUGAAGUUGGCUUGAUCUUCAACAAUUAUAACAAGUUUGAAAAGGACACAUGAAAGAACCGAUAUCACAUUCGGAUAAGUAUAGUUAAAAAAAGAUGUCUAAAAGAACUAAAAUACAUGUACAAAAAAGUGAGCUUUUCUUUCGAGAGACCAAAUCAUAAGCAUUCCAAACUUAACCAUGUUUAAUUUUGGAGCAACUAUGUGUUUCAAGAUAAGUAAGGAUUACGUACUCAAGUCGCAAGGUAAAUACGAGAGUAAUUAGGUACUGAAUCUUGGCACGCACGAGUCAUUACACUAAUGAUCUUUUGUACUUUUUGAAAAAGAAAAAGGUGAGAAUUGGUAAGAAACCAUAUAUAUAACAUUAUAUUAGUAAAAAGUGAUAAUUUAUAUUGAUGAAGAAAUGAAGUUUGGUUGUAAAUUUGUUGUGCAGAAUUCAGCUCCAAUGCCAGAACUAGGAGGAACGGGAGGGCAAGCAGUAGCAAUGAGGAUAUCUGGUGAUAAGGCAGCAUUCCAUGGGUGUCAUUUCAUAGGCUUUCAAGACACUUUAUGUGAUGACAGAGGCAGACAUUUUUUCAAGGACUGUUACGUCCAAGGCACUGUGGACUUCAUCUUUGGAAAUGGCAAAUCUCUCUACUUGGUAUGUUAUACAACCGCUUUUUAUACUUUGAAAUAAAUUUUUUUAAAAAAUAACCCGGUAGAAUAUUCGUAAACUUACACCACAGGAUACUUAGUGAUCAACUAAAUAGAAAUUUGGACGAGGAAUUAAGUCAACUUUAGGAGAAGAAAACGUCCAAAUUGGUAACACUCUUGGGUUCACCAAACUUUAAGCCCAAUUGAUAAUCAUCUAGUUUUCUUAUUUUAUUUAAUUUUCAAAAUUAAAUCUAUUAAAGCACUUCCUUUCCCUUCUAAAUCUAUUAUCUAUUUUUUCUUUUAUCAAUUUUUAGAAAAACCGCACAAACACUUAAGUGACAAUUAUUUGUUCAUAAUUUUUUUUAAUGUAUGAGAAAGAAGCGUCUCAAAUUUAGAUCUAGUAAUUAAAAAAGGAUGUUGCUCCCAGAGAUUGAGAGAGAGUAAGAAUUGGUUCUUGUUCGCACCGUCUUAAAAGAGUUGGUGGGUCUCCCCACUAAAAACAUCAAUUUUAUACUUUAUUAAUUUUUUACCUCAUAAAUUUUAGAUGUUAGAAACUCUCCCACUUCAUAACACUAUGGAUUUCACAAUUCCAUUCCUUGUCCUUGUCCUAAAUAUUCGAGAGUAUGUCUCUGAAUCUACGUAAACCAUUGUGGGAGGCUACUUGAUUAAUUUAAUAAUUUAUCGUCCUAUAAUGAAUUAGGGAGGCGACUAGUUUGUCGUACGAAAGUUGAUAUAUAUCAAAACAUUAAAGACUAAAGCAUCCAUAUAUAUUUAGCUAUAUGAGUUUUGUGUCUGUUUGAAAGAAAAGUCAUUUCUUCAUCCGUACAGAAAACCACAAUAAACUCAGUAGCAGAAGGGACAGGAGUGAUAACAGCUCAAGCAAGGGAAGAUGCCACAGAUGAAAGUGGUUUCACAUUCGCAUAUUGCAACAUAACAGGAACAGGAGACACUUAUUUAGGAAGAGCUUGGAAAGAGAGAACUCGUGUUGUUUUUGCUUACACAUACAUGGGAACUCUCAUCAACACAGAAGGAUGGUCUGAUAAAAUGCAUGGAAGCCAACCUAGAAAGUGAGCAAUCUAACAGAAAAAAUCACACAAAUGAUCUUAUUUAUAGUAUAUAUUCGAACGAGCAAACUAAUUAUUAUUUUGAUCAAUGUUUAACUCCUUGAAUACAGGAGUAUGUACUACGGCGAGUACAAAUGCAAGGGACCUGGCGCGACUCCGUCUGGUCGAGUGAAGUAUGCUAGAAUACUCUCGGAUGUAGAAGCGAAGGCGUUUUUGAGUAUGACAUACAUUCAUGGAAACAAAUGGCUUCUACCACCCCCUGAUCUUUCUCUCUCCCCCUCUAAACCCAAUAUCUUCCAUUAAAAUUGAAUCAAAAUUACUUGAAUUGAAAAUGCUUAAUCAAAAUGGAAGUUAAAAUACUAUCCCAAACUGUGCUCAAAACCAUAAAGUAAUUGCUAUAGUGAUAAUUAGAAAUUAAAGGAAAGGCCAAGGUAGCAAGGCUGUGCUGUGCCUACAAAACUUUAUCCCCAUCAUAUUUCCCCAUUUAAAUGUCUCUCUCUUUAAUUCACAUAGAAUGAAUCCCCCCUUUUUUAGUUUGUCCAAAAGCUUUAGUUGAUUGUGGUAUUAAACUGAUCAACAAUGUUGCUGUUGUUUUUGUGUAAACUCUUUUUGCUUUCCAACACUAGUAGUUGUGGGUGGUGAAAUUUUUUGAAAUAUACAACCUAAUGUGGUUUUAAAUUCUUGUAUUAUCAUUGCAUUGAAAAAGGUUACUUAAAUAGAUCACUAUGCAUGCUUUGGUGCAUUGGGAUGGAGUGGAAACAAUCAAAUCUUCAACAACGACUAUGGGGAUAUUGUUCUAUUGAUUAACAUUUGGUUGCUACUUUGGUCGACACAAACUCUCCCUUUUUUGUUAAUUGUUCUUAUUCUUUUAUUGACCUUAAACUAGCACUUGUGCAAUGUAACUCAUUUGUUCGAUGGUAUGUAGUACUUUACAUACCUACUUAUUAUGAAGUAUAUUCUUUCAGAAGAAAAAAGAAUCAUCAAACUGAUCUUGCUUAACUACUCAUUAACUGGGAUGCUAGAUUAUUGGAUAUCUUUCUACAAAGUUUCUUAAAUUUGUGGUAUUGUUUGUUUCGUGAUACUCAUUUUUUUAAGUUGUAAUUAUAUUACCUUCGACAUUUUAUAAACAUUUCAAAAUUUAAAAACUUAUUAGAACGUUGGACAAAAAUAGUUUUAUCAUCCUUAUCAUAUUGAUGUUUUACUAUAAAUUCUUUAUACUUUUAAUAUAUAGUUUUAUUAUUUAAUUCUUUUUAGAAAGAAGCCCUAUCAAUUGAUAUAUGGUAUAUAGUCUAAAAGAAAAAGAACAAAAAAAAAAAAAAAAAUUAUAAUCCAAAUCAUAUAUAGUAGAGUGAUUUUUGUAGUGAAAGAUCUCAUGGAAGGGUGGAACACUAGAACUAUUAUAAUAGGUAGCAAAUUUAGAGAUAAUAAUGAAGUGUAUAAUAAUAUUUUUUUAAAAAAAUUGUACUGUUUUACAAUAUAAUCAAUCAUUAAAUAGUCUUCUAGAUAUCAUUGAUAGAUUUGGAUUAAAUUUGUUAUGUGUAUAAUUUUAUCAAAAUAUUGCUAUAUAUUAUGCUAAAAUAUACUUUGAAUCUAAUUAUUAUAUUUAUUCAGAGAAUCUAUCAAUUAAAAUAUGGAGGUGAUUCUAAACAAAGUUGUUAUAUUUUCAAUAGUUCAUCCUUUAAAAUCAUGAAAAGUAGUAAGAUUAUUAUUUUUAUUAUUAUAUUCCUAAGCAACAAUAAUUGAUACAUUAAUGUCAUAAUUGUUGGACAUAUUUGUGUAUGACCCUUUUAAAAAACCAAAACAUCAAGGAGUAAAAUUAAACAUAUUGCAUAAAGAUAUAUAUAUAUAUAUAUUUAGUGUUAAAACAAUAUGAUAGAUAGGUUUAAUUUAUUUUGUUGUUGGCAUUGUUGAUGUUGUUGUAGUCUUGACUUCCAUAAGGAGAGAAAGCUUCAGAAAACCAAGAGUUCUUCCUCCAUGGGUUCCAACCCAUUUCCUCACAAAUUUGGUCACUAUGAUUGAUACUAUAAGUUGAAAUGCAAUGCCUUUUGUAGAACCUUGUGCUUCUCUUCAUCACUUCCAUCUCUUUAUUUAUCUGUUCCACCAUUUUUUGUGUCUCCGGUAGCUUGAAUUUCUCGUCCACCAGUCGGGCCAGCCAUAUGCUCCGAAGCUCCGACGUGUGGAGGUUCGCUACGCUCUCUAGGUACCCCACGAAUGCCAUGUUUGGUAUCAUUGGAUUGAUCGUACCUCUGUCCAUAUAUGUCGUAAAGCAUAAAUGAUCAUAGAAUCAUAAUAUUUAAAGUUAAAAUUAUAAGAAAAAAUAUCUCACCGGUACAAGGGUAUCAUGCCGGAAGGGUACUGGAGAAAUGUACGGAAGGGCUGAGGGAAAAUGUCGGUCAGCUUUUUCUUGCCGUCGAAGCCGGUGGCCAUAAUAACGACGUCGAACUCCGAUCUAGAGCCGUCGUCGAACUCAAUCCCCCCAUUCCAAAACCACCACUUGGACGCCCUUUUUAUGACGAUCUUACCCUCGUCGGCUUGCCGGAAAAAGUUCUCCGGCAUAAUUGCCAUCUGGCAGGACGCAUAGUCCUCCAGAAAUGGAUGAUCUGGCUUUAACCCAUACUUUUCCAAUGGCAUUUUCCACGUCAGAUAUGAUUCUAUAAAUUUCGAAACUCCAUGUCUCUGCCAAAUUACAAUUUUAACCAACCACAAAUAUAAUUAACUUUUAUAUGUAUUUGUCUAAACUUUAAUUUUAUAUAAAAUCUAUUUUAGGGCAUUUUUAAAUAUAUUUAUAAACAUGGCAUAUAUUUAUAAAAUAUAGCAAAGUUUUAAUAAUUUCUUCUUUUUUUUUUUUCCUUAAUUGAGCUUCAUAACUUUAAUUUGUGUUAAAAUAAUUCUUCUAUUUUAGAAAUGUUCAGUAUGUCCUUUUUUUACCUACUGAUCCACUUCGUUUUUUUUUUUAAAAAAAAAUCUCUUUUAACUUUAAAUGACAUAUUCAAUUUUUUUUAUUAUUAUUUUAGACAUUAAUUCAACUAUUAAAUGUAAAGUUUCAACUUUACCUCAAAUGAGAUCACAAGUACUUUUUAAUAUUGAUGUGUGUUAUAGUAUAGAUUCAUCAAUUUUGCUUUUGAAAAAAAGUUGAAUAGGUGGAAAGAUGAAUUAAAAGCACCCAAUCAACCUCAUUAGAUAUAUUUAAAAGUUUAUGGAUCAAAUAAACAUAGCUCAAAAAUCAAAUCUCUAAUUUUAACUUUAGAAUAACAUAUUGUUAUUUUGUCAAAUGAAAAAAAAAAAUUAAACACACCCUUGCAACAUUUGACAUAGUACAUAAAUCACAUUGAUGGAUUUAAUAUAGACCGAGAAGUUUCAAACCUCGGUCAACAAAAUUUUUAAAUUGGCGAGCCUAUAGCUAACUAAGAUGAGAAUAAAAAUAUAUCUAAUCAUUAUUACUUUUAAUUACCUAAAAGUUAAGGUGGGACUAUAAUAAAAUAGAAAAAGAGAAUAUCGUUUCUGUGUCUCGAAUUUUUUAUUAAAAUUUAUAUAAUUUAACCAUAAUUGACAUGUAUUUUGUUUUAUAAAAUCAUACGUUUCGAUUUAUUACGUAUUUAUUGUACUUAAUUAGAAACCGAGUUAUAUAAAAAAAAAAGGGGAGAUGAGUGUAAUUAUAAAAUUUACCAUGGGAGAUAAGAAGAGGCCAAUAAGAGUCUUAAGGAAGGUCUGGUUAGGUCUUUCAUGGAGGAAUUGAGAAGAUCUCGUGGAGAAGAAGAAGAAGAAUGGCAAACCCCAAACCCAAUAGUGAGGCACUGUCCAGUGUAACCCUCUCACCACCAUUGUACAUCCCUUUCCUUCUUCACCUUCAAUUUUUCUCCCACACAAACACAUUAUAAAUAUAUACACUUUUUUCCAUAAUAAACCAUCCCUAACAAAUAUUUAAUUUGAUUCAAACUAUCUUAAUUAAUUCAUGAUGUGAAGUUGUAAAGUCAAUUAUAAAGAGAAUAUCAAAGUUUGGUCAAUUAGUCAAAGGGCCACCAAAGUGCUUUUAAUUAAACUGAUUUUCUGUUCUUUUUUUUUUUUUCUGGUUGAUAUUUUCAAUUUUCCAAUGGUUUUUUAUUUUAGUCUUUUUAUGUAUUUAGAAAAAGAGAACUAAGGGUUUUAUAAUAAUAAAUAAAAGAAAUGUUUGGUAUGACUUUUUGAAAGGAUUCAGAAAUGCUUUAAUUCAUUGAACUUUUUAUAUAAUUUGGUCAAAUCAUUUUCUUGAAAAAAUCACAAAAUAAUUAGUGGAUGUUUGUAAGUAUCUCAAUUAGGUUUAUAUCUGGUUAAAUAAUUUUAAAGUAAUGUAAAGUUAUUAUUUAUUAUUAGCACAUAUUCUAGAAUUACUUACUUUUAACUUUUCAAUUAAUCAUUUUAACACAACCAUAUUAAUGUAAUAACUAUUUUUAUGUUUUUAUAAUAUUGAGUUUUAAAAGAUAUGUCCAACAGGUUAUACGUGCUUCAUUUUAAAUAACAAUUAUCGAAACUAGUAAAAUUUUCAUUAAUAAAAAAAAUCAUUACACAUUUUUUUAAUAAAAAAGUAUUAUGAGUAGAAAAAAAUUUUAAAACUAUUUACAUAAUAUAAUAAAAAAGCUCCAAUAAAUUAGAGUUGGAUGGAUGACUUUUUUUAUAUUUUGUAAAUAGUUUUGAUAAUUUGUUAUUUUGAAAAAUGUUUCUUUUCCUUACGUUUUAGUUUUAUUAUAUAUUUAUUUUCUAGAAAUUGGACGGAAAUAAUUUUUUAGGAGUUUUGUAUUGGAAAAUAUUAAAAAAUUAAGAUAUGAAAUACAUUUGUUUAAAUAUUAAAAAAAUAGUCAAAAUAAAAAUAAAUAAUUGUUAAACUUUAGUAAGGAUGGAUUCGAGAUGAUUGAAAGAAAGAAUCAAAUAGUCACAUUUCUACGUGAAUUAUUUUAAGUCAAACAGUCAUAUUUUUAAAAUAAAUUAUUUUAAAUAAUAAACUUUAUAAAAAUAUUUAUGAAUAGAAGUAUUUUAAAAAAAAUAGUAAAAUAAAUUAAAAUAUUUACGACCUAUAACAAAAUUUUGGAUUAUAUCAACAAUAAAAAAUUAUAGAUUUAUAUCACUGUCUAUCAAGUCUAUUAAUGUCACUGAUUGAAGCAUAUCCGUCUCUAUCAAUGUCUAUUACCGAUAGAAUCUAAACAUUUUGUUAUUUGUUGUAAAUAUUUUGUCAAAUUUGUCACUUUUGACAAUAUUCCUUAGAGAUAUAGCAAAGUAUUACAAAUCUAUCUAAGAGAUAGAUCACGAUAGAACAAAGUAGACUAUAUAGGUUUUUAUGAUAUAGAGAUAGACACAUAUAAUAGUGUAUCUUGAUCAAUAAAUUAUAAAAUUUUGUCAUAUUUUUUAAAAUAGCCUAAAAAAAUAAAGGUGGAAAUAAAAUGACAAUCAAUUCUCUUUUUAACACUAUCAAAUAAAAGUAAUACUACCUUGAUUUGCUUGGGCACAUUCAACGGCCAAAUCAAUGGCUGAUUUCUUGUAGCCGAUGAUUGCAACUCUCUUACCCUUAAGCAACUCAUUUGUUUCUUCCUUCCCAAGUUUGCAAUAAUCUAGAGAAUGCAUCACCUUCCCCGCGAAUAUCUCUGGCCCUUUGCCGCUCGGGAACUCCGGUAGCUUUGGGAUAUCACCAUACUUUCCGAUGCACAUCACCACCAUCUCCACUUCAUACAACUGCAUGCAUCACAUUCAAAUAAGUGUUCUAUAACUUUUUUCUCCUUAUAUUCUUUAUUAUUUCAUACAUUUUAUGAGAGAUUUGAACCUAUUUCCUAAAUAAACAUUUUAUCUAUUGAUAUAUAAUGACCUUUGAUAGUGAAUCUUGUUAAUAUAGAAAAGAUAAAUUGUUUAGGGUUAUUAUUUCUUGAUUUUUUUUUCAACUUCUGAGAACAUUUGCAUUCAUAUAGUUAGAUUUUGAGAUGAGAGGGUAUAGUUAGUUUUAAACAAUAAAAAAAUAAAAGAAAUAAUAUGAUCAUGAAACAACGUAUAAAUUUUGAAAAGGUGAAUAAAAAAUUAUAUAUUAUUGUUAUUUUAUAAUGUAUGAGGUGAUUCUCAAAUAUAUAUACCUUAAAACAUUACAUUUUUUUAAAAAAAAUUAAGUUGAGCUAUAUGCUUAUAGAAAAGAAAGUUUAUGAAUAAAAUAUUGUUUCAAACAUUUUAUUGUUUUUAUAAGAAAAAUAACAAAAGAAAAAAAAUGCCAUAUUGCUCUUUUUAUUUUCUAAACAAAAGUGGAAAUAAGAGUUAGAAAACAGACUAAAGUUUCUAAAAACAACCAUAUAGUUUCCACAAUCAAAACACCAUGACUUUGAGAAAAACUCCCAAGUCUCUUUUAGCUCAUUCAAUGUUCUAAGUUUCUAAGACACCAAAUUUUAAAAACAAAGAUGUGUAUACAUUUAAUAAUGUACUUAAGUUCUUUUAUAUAUAAAAAAAAAUCCAACAAAAUUGAUAAAGAGAAUUAAGAAAUCUCAAGUUAUUCGUUACCUGAAUGGUUUCAGACAGAGUAUCCAUAACAGAAAUCUCCCAAGCUGGUCGACCGGAAAGCAAUGGUCCAAACUUGCCAGAGUUUCCAUUGCCGAUGAAUCGAACACCAACAACCUUCGAAUUGAAUUGAAUGAAGCGACGAAGAUCAAAAUGACGAGCAUAGGAAUUCAAAUACUCCAAAAUUUCGAGAUGAGAAGGAAAAUCAACUCUAUCUCUAUUUGGCCAGGGAAAAUCAGCAAAUUCAUAAUCCGAACGAAACGAUUGAAGUUUUGUAGAAUCAUAUGAACAAUGCUUCCAAACACCACCAAUGUAAUCGGAAGCCUCAAACACGAUUGGCUCAUGGUGAGCCAACUGCUUCGCAGCAGCAAUACCACUAACUCCAGCACCGACAAUGGCGAUUUUUGAGAGAAUUGGAGCCAUCGUUAGGGUUUUGAAUGAGUUUUGUUUGAAUAUGGGAUGUGAUUUGGAAAUGAAGACGAUGGAGUUUGUUUAUAUAGGCAUUUGGAGGCACGUGACAACCAUGUGAUAAUUUUCAAUACAUACAUUAUAUAUAUAUUAGUGAAGUAUAAAUUGGGAUUCAACCUUGAAGAACUUUCCUUAAUUUGAUUCAGUAUUUCAACUUUCCUUUUGGGCCUCAUUUCAUAUGAUCUGUAUUAAUUGAAUUUAUUUUCACAUUCACACACCAAUAUAUUUUUGAAUACAUAUAUACAUGUGUACACAUUGUGUAUGUAUGUGACAGUAUAAUUCAUAGCUCAAGAAUUAAUCAUAGGUCUUAUAUAUUUAUAAUAUUCAAUAGUUUAAAUGGUCAACACAUACAUAUUAAUUAGUAUGGAUUGGAGUCGUUGUUUCUAAUUUUGGUUUUAAUUAAUAUAUUUUUAAUAGUCAAAAUUAAAAAUAGGUUAAACUAUAAGUUUAGAUUUUUAACUUUCCAGUUGGAUUGUUAAGGUUUUUUUUUAUAAAAAAAACUCAUCCUCACCUAGCUCUAAAUUAUCUCUAAUUUAGUUGAAUAAUUUUUAUUCUAAAUUCCUUUUCUUAGCUUUGAGAAGAUCAUUCAAGUGUCUUAGUUGUUACUUGCCAUACUAAUUAAAUCUAUCUUUUUUUUAAAUUAUGACACCUUAAGAAAAGCCCUCAUAAAACUUUAAAAGUAUUUAAUAUCUACUCAAUUAUAUUAUUAUUCAACCUUUUGGAUACUUGAAUGAACGUUUAAUGUCGAAUAAUAGAUUCAAAUUUUGAUUUUGUGUCUUUUGUUAUAAUCAUCAAAAUUUUAGAACUUUGUCAAAAAGAAUUUAAUAAAUACAAAAUUGAAACAUUAUUGAAGAAUAAUUAUAAUUUAUUCAUAAUUUAAAGUUAAAAGAGAGAUGCAUGUGAUAACUAUAUGGUCAUGGAUAAAAUUUACUCUCUCUUAUUGAGGGGAAUUGAAGACUUUUACCACCUACACUAUUUUUCACUAUUUGGUCGAUAUAUGACUCUUAAGUUAAUACUAAGUUGGUUAAAGUAACAUGUAUUAUUAAGACUUUGGAAAUAGCUUUGGGAAUUUACUCAACAAACAUAAAUAAUCAAAUUCUAUUUUCUUUUGGUAAACACCAUAUUUUAUAAUGAUAAAAGGAUAGGGAUAGUCAGAAGUGAACAAAAAAAAAAAAAAAGAAGUUUAUAGGCAUGUCUAUAUUUGUUUUUUAGUAAAUAAAUGUACUUGUAAAUUCUUUUGAUUAAAGAGAACAUAUAAAUGCACAUUUCUGUGUACAAUGUAAGAUAUUAAGCAAAAAUAACAUAUAAUUAUAUAAAAAAAAUCCCUAUAAUAUGUGAUAUAGGUACGAAGAUUGUGUAGGGUGUUCAUGUUUGUAGUUUAUAGAGGGAAGAACGUUAAUUAGUAUAAUUUAAAUGAAUUUUUUAAUACGUGUAGUUUUGAUGAAUUAUUUACACAACCAUAUAUAGACUGCAUUAUAGAUUAAUAAAGUACAAGAAUUAAAUCGUUAUCAAUUAAAGUUAAGGAACUCCAAUGGUAAUUUUCAUGAAAAUUUACGAGAGAAGAGAUGCAUGAACCUAUGACCAAAAAUAAUUUAUAAAUGGAAACAAAAUGGCCUAAUUAAUGGAAAGAUAGGAACAUGUCUAGAAAUCUCUAGGAAAACAACUAUGAAUUUGAAUUGAAAUUUAAGAUCCCAAAAUUCCACGUGCUCUUCAAAACCCUAAAACCCUUUGGUAAAUUUGGUCCAAAUUUUUAAUUUAAUGCAAACCCUAAAUUCAUGCAUGGAAACCCUAAAAGAAUUGAACACUCCAUUGUGUUUUGAACCACUCUCUUAAAAGUUUGCUGAUGUGACCAAAAUAUGGCCAUAAAAAAUCUCAAUAUUAACUUAAAUUUGAAUUUAGAAAAUAUGUUAUGGUAAGUCGAAAUUUUAAGUUAUUUAGUAUGAAACUUAUUUUUAUCUUUUCUUACCCUUAUUCGAAUUCAUAAUCCACUUUGAAUUCAAAGGGUCUAGUCUGUUUUUGGAAUUUGGUCUAUAUUAUUUUCGGUCCAAAUCUAACCUCUAGCAAAAUUUAUUAUUAUUAAAGAUUUUCUAUUUUUUAUACUCUUUGAAGAGACUUGACUUGACUUGGUUGUUUGGUUAAUUUUAACGUUAGACUUAAUUUAGUUAAAUUAAACUUUAGAGUUUAAACAACUUAGGUAUUAUUAUUUAGUUAAUACUUUUUCAAAACUAACUUUAAAAAGAUCUAAUGGAUGAAUAAUUAAUAAAUUAAUCUUUCAACUUAAAAAACACUGAAAGAGAUGUGGAUGAAGUCAUUCCAAAUGCCCUAAGUAAUUCAUAAACUAAUCUAUGAAAGUACCAUAAAAAGCAAACAUCAAACAUGACCAAAGGAGAGAGUUUAUUUCCACAAAAGAACACUUUUCUCCAGGGGUGUGUUCAUAUUAUAACUUUUUAUGUUCAAUUUUGAAAAAUAUUCAAAGUAGCUUAAGUUAUUUUAAAUCAUUUUAAGGGUACACAGACUUCCAACCUUUUAGUUGAAAAUAAGUGGCCAUGAAUAACAUUUUGGGUUGAACUAUAAAUCUAGCAUUUGAAUCUUCAAGUUUAUAUAACUUUUAAAUCCAUGUGUUAGACCUAUAUAACAAAUUCAAACUUUUAAAAGUUAAUUAGUUUACUUGCUAAAAAGGUGGAUUUUGUACAUAAUAAAUUGAAUUUGAAAAUUAAUUAAGUCUUUCUUUAAUAUUUUACAACAAUUUACAUAUUUUUUUUUAAAAGUACAAGUGUUGAAUUAGUUAGAAAUAAAAAAAGAAAAAGUUUUUAAUAACUAUAUAGAUAUUUUCAAAAUAAAAAUAAAAAUAUAGAUGACAAAUUUAUAAAUGGAAGAAAGUAUUUAUGGACUAAAACUUUCAAAUCAAUCGAUAAUAAAAAGAAGAAGAAGAAAAAAACGACAUGGUUGAUUUUAAAUGAAGACUCAAUUAUCAAGUAAAAAAUAAAUGUUUUACUAAGUUAUCAAAUCUUUAAUCUCAAGCUCGUUAGUAUAAGUUAUCAAAUAUAUUCUUAAUCGUAAGGUAGUCGUUAGUAUAAGCUAUCUUGAAGAAGUUGAUAUUACAUUUUAUAUAAAACUAAGCAAUUAAAUUUGGUUGGAAAAUAUAAUAUUUAAAGAGCUGAAAAAAUAUUUUGGAAUGGGUUUGAAUGAACUCUUGAUUGAUUAUGUUCUAAGCUAAAAAUACGACCGUUGAUUUUACUUUUUUUUUUCUAAUUAUAAAUUGACAAUUUAAAAUUUACUCUAACUUAAAAUUCACGAAAUUGCACCUGAAUUAUUCAAUUUCCAUUUGACCUAAUUAAUUACUAUUAUUAUAACAAUAAUCCAAUCUAAUUUCGUACCAUAAUACCCAAAAUUUAAGUGUAUAUACCUUUUUCUCAAUUUUACCAUAAUUUUAAAAAAAAAGUAUUGACAGUUGUGAUGAGAAAUUGAACCACAAAUUUCUUAAUCAUUAACACGUAUUAUAUUGUUAGUUGAAUUAUACUCAUUUUUACACUUACUUAAAAUAGUUCAUCUUCUUUAAAGUUUGAUAUCCUAAAAUUUAAGAAGCUUUGAUAAUUUAUUUAAAUUUUGUAUGAAGAUCAUUUGAUCUUGAACUACAUUAUAUUGCUUAAAUUUUGACACGAUGUGAAUGAAAUGAGUACGUACAACUAGAGUAAAAAAUAAAACUUUUACUAUUGACUUAUUCAAACAUCAAAGAUACGAUUCUCCAAAUUGUAAAGAAAUGAACAUUUUAAAGAUUUCCACAAACUAACUUAAAAUAUUUUAAAAUUUAACUUGAAAUUUAUUUAGAUUGAACAAGUUUCAAUUUCAAUCCAGAGGUUUAUGAAACAUGUAGAUAAAUGAUUUAAGGUUAAAUUACAAGUUUAGAUCAUUUUAAUUUGUAUAUAAAAUAUCGACCCUUAAUCUUAUGAAGUGUCUUAAAAAAUAAUGACUAAAUUUACGACUUCGUGUCUACCUAAUUAGUUAGUGUUAUUGACAUUUUCAAAAGUUCCAAGAAUCAACUAGUAAAAAAGAUAUCAAGUUUGAUUUUAAUUUAUGUCUACAUAUAGUCUCACAUUUUCAAUCUUAUGUCUGACAUGUUUACGAAAUAAUUAAUUCUUUUCAUACGUCAACAAUAUUUAGACAUAAAAUUGAAAUUUAUACUAACCAUGUGAAUACAACACUAAAAUCAAUUUUUUUUUUUUUUUUUUUUUGUAGGAAAUGAAGAAACACAGCUGAAAAUUUCAAAACUAAACUUAUAAUUCAACCAAAUUUAAAAAUUAAAAUAAUAUUUUGAAGGUUCAAAAUAGAUGAUAGAAAGUUCAUAAGAGAUGAUUGUACAUUUUCUCAUGUCAAAUUUGGUGAGCUAUAAGAUGAUUAGAAAAAAGGUGACUUGAAAGGUAUGACAUUAAUGUGUAGUAUAUAUGGGACACCAACUAAAGAAGUUUAACAUGAACACGGUACGAUCGUGUUCGGUUUAAUUUCAAAAAUAAGACACUUUUACAAAAGAUAUAUAUAUUUGACAAUCAAUAAAAAUAGUUUAUAAACCAUUUUCAAACUGCACUCUUCGAGUGAUUUUUAUAUUCGAAAGAGUUUAAAUACAAAAUGUUUUAUUUCAAAAUCACUUGUUUUUUCUCUAGUAAGAAAAACAUGCCCAAAUUUAAUUAGAUUAAAAAACGAGGUCAUGAUAGCAAUAGAAAAUUCAUCAUUUUCCUCUCACGAAUCAUCAUUUUGUAUCAUUUUCUAAUAAAAUGUCGUCGAGAUUAAAAGUUUAGUUUGAAAUGGUUGGAUUUGAACAAGUUGUUUAUAGCAUUUCGUAAAUAAAUAUUAAAUUAUUGUAUUUUAAAUAUAAUAAUAAUAACUAAAAUAAGAAAUAAUAUUUUAAAUGACUGUUCGUACGAGGUUUUCAAAGAAACGUGUUUCGUAGAGUUGAACUUGUGUUGAUUAUAAUGUGAAGUGAUUCGUUCUUUAGUAUUUGAUCCUCUAAUUAUUCUCUCUCAGUUGGAGUCUUGGAAUUAGAAAGCUUAUAUUUACAUGUGAACUUAGUCUUCGCGAGAAUGGUUGACUUUAUAAGUUAGAGAGUUUUUUUAUUCUUAGGAGAAUUCUUUCUAGACCUCUAUUUAACAUUUGAAAUUUUUUAUCUCCUUUCAAAUGAAGAGAACUUCUUUAUUUAUAAAGUCAUGAUAUAGUAGGCUUUGUGGACUUGAAAUUUUUUAUUUCCAAAAUUUCUCGUUCAACAAUGACAAAACUGUUAAAAAUACUGACAAAUAUAACAAAAUUUCAUAGUCUAUAAAUGAUAAAUAAUGAAAGACAUAUAGAAACAUUUAUCAAUGUCUAUCGACAUCUGUCAAUAAUAAAUGAUGUAAUCUAUCAGUAUCUAUAAAUAUCUAUCAACGAUAUUAUGUUAUAUCUAUAAAUAUUUUAGUUCAUUUUAUUAUAUUUAAAAAUAGUCUAAAAAUAAAAGAUUUUUUUUUUAAAUAGUAGAUUUUACAAAAUAUUUACAACUUAUAGUAAAUUCCAUCACUGAUAGUCGUUAUAUGUGAUAGAAGAUAUAAAUAUUUUAACUUAUUUUGAUAUUUUAAUUUUACAAUAAUUAGGUCUUUCAAGAUCAAACCAAGGUUGGAUUUGUAUACCAAAAAUAGGACACUUUAAUUUCCACUUUCACAAUCUAUAUAUUAUCUUCCGUCAUUUUUCUUAAUUCUUAAAUAUAAAUUAGAGACAUGGACAUUAUUGAACCCAAAUUCUUUUAGUCCUUGAAUACAUACAAAUGUCAUUUGAGCUAAAACCUCGUUAAUUCCAUUUAAAAUGCAUCUUUAGUUUAUUACAAUCAUUAAUAUUAUAUUGGUAUGAAGUAGAAAUUUGUCUAUUUGUAUCAGAAUUAAACUUGUAAUUUGACCAAAAAAAAUUAUACGAAUAUUAUUAUAAUUUAGAAAAAUUAAAUUAAAUAAAGUUUAAAUACUACUAAAUUAGUUUGAAGGUUUAUUUCCUCAACUAUUAAACUUUUUUUAUUCCAUAUAUAUCGACAUGCAUAGGCUCGAGUUUUAUUUAUUUUACACUAUAGUUGUUUUUGCUUAUUAGUUAUUACUUCAUUUGGGUAUGGGAAGAAAGCAUACAGUGAAAAGUUAUAAUCAAUCCACUAAGAAUAUUUGAGUUCUUAUUAAUAUAAUAAUUAAGAUACAACAAUAUAUAUUUUGCUGAAUUGUUAGUGAUUUUCCAAGUAAUUUUCAUACUACUUUAUAUUUAUAAUUUCUUUUGUUCAUGUUAUGAAAACAUGUGUGCUCUAUAUUAAAGCAAGACUAGAAAUUACUUGGAAUUUCCUUGAAUUUAGUCAAUGUCACGUUUUAAAAAAGAGAACGCUAAAAUUAAUCGCUAUUUAAUUUGGUUUGUGAUAUGAAAAUUCGGUGGAACGAUAAAAUUUAGAAUACUAUUUUGGUUUUUGUACUUUGAAAUUUGUUUAAUUUUAGUCACUUAGUAAAUAGUAAAUCUUAAAUAUAGUCUUUCAAAAUUAAUUUUUAUUGAAAUUGAUUAAAUAAUCGCCGUAAUUUUCGUGCAAAGAUGAAUGUAUUUUUAACCGUUAUAGUAAAAAUUAAAUGUCGAUAAAAUAUAAGUAAUGAAAAAAAUCUACAAUGGAAUGAACUAAAUUUAAGAUUCAUGGCAAGUUUUGAAACUAAAUUAAAAUUGAACAUCGAAAAAACUCUAAAAGAUAAGAAAAAUGAUAUUUUUGGUUUAUUUUGCUAUAUUAAGAAUAGAUAUUUUUUUUCAUUUUUUAUUUUUUAUUUUUUAAAAAUAAGAAAGGGGGUCUAAGAAAAAUGGAAAAGAAAUCCAAUCAAAAUGAAAUAAUUCCAACGUGGUUAUUUAUAUGCAAGACACCAAAAUGAAAUAAUUCCACCAAAUUUCAAUAUUUUUCCACCUUUUAAUUUCUAUCAAUCAUUUUUUAUUUAUUUAUUUAAUAUUUGAGUUUUUUUUUAUGGUUAAAUUUACGGUGGGUAUAUAUUUGAACUCUAUUUAUAAGGUAUCUAGAGAACAAUCUUAGAAUUUUAUAAUUUGUCUAUUUAAAUUUUGGUAAUCUUCAACACUUUAAAAAUAAAACAAUUUUAUGGUGAUUUACAAAAAAUAGGUGAAACAAUAAAAUAAUAUCAUCCCGCUGUGACUAUGCAAGAAUAGCUAACAUAACAAAACGAACAACUAAUACAGAAGACUUUGAUAACUCAGUUCGACAAAUACGACAUAUAUUUGGAGAGUUUUUUUUUUGUUCAAAUAAGAAAUAUUAUUUAGAUUCAAAAUUCAUAACUUAUCACUAAAGUUACAUUAACAAGUUAUCACCAUAACUUAAAAUAAACUCAACUCCUCCUGAGGGUAAACUUGAAUCUCCUCGAAGACGAAUCUAGACUCUUCUGAAUUCAUUGACUGUAGUACAAUUAUCUCAACCUUCAUUUAUGUUUUUUAUCAAUCGAUACUCUGUCAAACCAAUCGAUAUUCUAUCAAAUCAUUUGACGAUUUUUAAUAAUUUGUCAUAAUGAAGAAGGUAACCAGUAUACCUUCGUAUAGAUUCUUCACAAAAAAAUAUAAAUUUAUGAACAUGAGCCGUGAAGAAUAAAUUUUAUGUUCAGAACUUCUGCAUUUUAAAGAACAAAGAAAGAAGAAGUUCUUUACGACAAAAUAUUCCUAAAUAUGAAGAACACUUAAAAAAGAUCUUUUAACUUCGCUAAUUUUAUAUUUAUCAAAUAAUCUAAAGAUUUAUAUUAUAAUAGUAGAGAUUUUUCCUUAAUUGUUUACCAGUUGUGAAUUGAUUAUAUUUAAAAUUUAAUUAUUAUGACUCAGUGAAUAAUUACUUUUGUAUAUUUAGGUUUAUUUCAAAAAUAAUAAUUUUGUAUGCUAUUAUUUAUUUUUGAUAAGAGAUAAAGAGAAAAUAGAAAAGCUGGAGAGGAAUAGAAAAAUACAUUAGCCAUCACAUGAGUAGGAAAAUUUUGAUGAAAGAAAAAAGUGAGAAAAUUUAAAGAGUCAAUAAAGCUAGCAAGAGACGUGUUAUAAAAAAAUAAGUAAAAUUCGAGAAAGAAAUCGACGUGAGUAUAUUUAGUUAGGUUAUAACACUAUACAUGUGUCUUAACAAUCAUAUUUCGUUCUCUAGCUUGUUGAAUUUUAAAACAAAAAAAUUAGAUUGAGAAAAUCUAUAACAAAAAAGUCUUGGAAGAAGAAAAGUUAGGAGAAAUAUGACAAAUUUAUAGUUAGCUAAUCUAAUCGAUCAUCUUAAUUAUUAAUGGAAAGAUUACUAACAUUACAAAACUUAAACAACUUUAAUCUAAGCAAUUCAAUCAAAACAAUAUAUUAUAAGAAUUGUAAGAUAAUUAAACUAUAUUUCAAUUAAGUAGGUUGGACGAUAUAUAUUUUUGUAGUUUUUCCUUUUAUAAGGUCAAUGAUCGAUCAAAAAGAGGUGUUUUUUUUCAAGAAAAUUGAUGAAAAUGUAAUAAUUAAUUGUGUAUAUACUAAAACCAUUGAUCAAGAGUGUCAUUAUUUGCUUAAUAAAAAUGUCAUUGCUUCUUUUAAAGUGAAAAAGUUCAACUUUGAUCGAUACGGUAUUUGAAACUGAAAUAUAACAAGAUAUUCAAGAGAAUACAUGAUUACGUAAAGUUGUGGAACGAGUACACACCAAGCAGUCAACGUUGGCUAAUGUUUUUUCGGUAGUCACAUUGUCAUCCAACUUCCAACGAACGGAGUUAUUACCUACCGACUAUCACCAUUUUUUAUCGAUUGUGGCCAACUACUCCCGACUACCGUCUCCAACAACUAUUUUAUGAUACCACCCAUGACGGCCAACUUUUAUAUAAAAACAAUUUUAAAAGCAAAUGAAAGAAAAUACAUUAUAUAACUAAUUAAUUAAAUAAAUUUUGAAAGUCAUUUCGUAAGUAUUUGAAAAUCGUUUUUAAAAGUUUGUAACCAAACAAAAAUUUGAUUGUUAAAAGAUCACUUUUACAAAGUCAAUUACAUAAAUCUCUUCUUCUAAAAAUCACUACUUCAACUAUCGCUCUCAAACAAGCUAAUCUAAUUUUUAGUACUACUUCCCCUACUUUAUAGGGUCGUGAUCGGGUAGGUUCUUGGAACAGGAGAGGGGGUUUUGUCUUUUAGUUGUUGUUAUUAUUAAGCUUGGACUAACAAUUUUUAAUAAUCAAAAUAAAGUUGGAGAAAACAAUCACAAAUUGUUCAAUUUGAGAUGUAAUUAAACCACUAACAUAUAGAAACAAAAAGGCAUGCAAAUUGACUAAUGACAAAUAUUACACUUCUUGCACCUUUCCUUUUUACCCCAACAACCACAUAAUUUACAAAACAAUUCAAAGCUCCCCUACAUUUUUAGCACAAUUAUUCAUUACCCUUUUUUUUAAUAACUAUUUUACGUUGUCAGACCCUAUCAAUAAUAAAUACUGAUAAACAAUUAUAAAAGUCUAUCAAAUCUAUUAUAAAUAUUUUUUAAAUCUUCUUCUUAGAUGAAUAUAUAUUUAAUCGUAAAUAUUGUUCAAUGAAAAACUAUAUUUAAAAAAGAAAAAAUUGUUCCUUACAUAAAUAUGUCUACAAUCUAUUGAUUUUUUUUCCUUUUUAAUGUAUUACAUUUAUAACUCUACAACAAAUGAUAUAUGGAGAAUCAUGUUUCUCCCCUUAGCCUCUUUAGAUGGUAUAGAUAUAUAUAUAUAUGUUGUUAUAAUGGAUGAGAAGAAGUACUUAUUUGUAGGAGCAUUAAUAUGAGAAUGUCGUGGAUGUCAAAAGAACAAUAUUCACAAUCAUCCAUAAUGUAUGGAUUUAGCUUUCAAAGUACUUUCUGUGAACUCAUCUGGAAUAAUUUAGAUCUACUCAUUAUAAAAUGGUAUUCUUCUUGAUUUAAGAUGAUGGUUCAAGUAGCCAAUGACAUCUACAAGAGUUCCUAUAUCUACUGUAUCGGCUAAAUUAGCCUUUAGUAUUGGAGGAUCGAACACGAAUGUUAGAUUCUUUUCAAAGUUCAUUAGCUCAUCAAUCUGUCGAGGCACUUAUUUGUACUCGAAAUUGACUUCAAUCUAAACUUUUGGAUGAUAUAAUUGAAGAAAUUGAUUAAUAUAAUGUUAUCGUAGUAUAGUAUAAGCAAUAUCAACAUUGAUAGUGAGAAGAAGUGUCCAUAAAUGUUUUCAUUAUAUAUUAUAUAUAUAUUGCUAUUCACGAGUGAUCUUCUGAUUACUCUUCGAUUACAAUCAUAUUUGCUAAAUUUGUAAUAUGAAAAAGAGGUAGUUUUUUCUUUAAAAAAAUUGUGUUAUCUAAUCCAAUUUUCUUAAACGUAAAUAAAAAAAAAAAAAUUGUUAAAGAAGUUAAGUGAAAACUUUGAAGAGUUUAAAGGUUGGGCUUGAAUGGCGACAUUUGUUAUUUUUUAUUUGUAAAAGGGUCCCAAAACAAUUUUUUUCUAAAAAUUGGACCCAUCUUGCAGAAUUGAAAAUUUAAGGGGCCUAUUUUUGUAAAUCAAUUACCAACCUCGAUCGAUCCAAGGAUACACAAAUCUACGUGAGAUUUUGUUAAUUGGCUUUGAGAUGAAACUUAAAUCAUAUAUGAUCAAUAUUUUUCUUGUAAUCUUCUGUUAAUAAAGUUAACACAUCGUUGAUAAUUCAUGUAAAUCUUAGAUAGCCCAAUUUUGAUUGUAUACGCUUUUCUUAUUUGUUUUCCUGAGAUGAAACUAUCAGUCAACAUAACUUGAUGCUAUAAUUUGUCUGAAUAGGUUCUAUUUAAAUAUAGCAAAAGAAAUGAAAAGAGAAUAAUACUCAAAUUGAUGAGGAGUUCAGAACACCCGAAUGUUACAACAACAUCAGAUAAUUCAAACCUUUCAAAAGAAAGCAAUGACAAAACAAUAAACUCUCAUUUGCAUUAUUCACAUUUGUAGCUAGGAAGCAUCAACAUAUCUCUUUUUUUAUUAACUUCUGUGGUGGAAAUCAGAGAACGACAAACUACUUCCUCUAUAAGUAAUUUACUGAUGCUCCCUUCUUUCAUUUCCCUUCCAACGUUUCUCACUCAUCCACAGCCGGUGGCACAGAAUCAGCCUACAAACAUUUCCACAUUAAUCAAUAUAAACUUCCAACUAUUCCAUUUUAGCUUAAAGAUUUUCUUAAGAUGUGUUCACUUACCAGCUUGCGGUACUUGAGGGCGUAAAACAUUUCCAGAUAACGGCGGCUCUCGAGGCGGUCGAGGUUGGAUACAUGCUUCCAGAAUCCGUAAACUCCAGUUAGUGUUAGCAGCCUCUCCGAAUAGAUCUGCCAUGUGUACCUGCAUUUGUACAGUUGAUGAACAUUGUAAGAAUUUCAUAAGAUCAAGUAAUUGAAGAUUGAUUCAGGUGGAAGUUUCAAGUGAUUACUUCUCGUAAAUACGCUUGAGGCCUGCUUGGGAGAUUUCAUCCCAAUGUGUUGGGUCUUCCUUGCUCUUCUCGAAGAAGUCGACAAGGAUUUCAGCAGCACGGUCACCACGGUAUGGAUCGAUGUGGAAGCCAGAUUUGCCGUCGACGAUAAUCUCUGCAGGGCCUCCAUUGCAAGUGGCAAAGGUAGGCAAUCCACAGGUCAUGGCCUCCACAACUGUCAAACCAAAAGCUUCGUAUACGGCAGGCUGCACGAAAGCUCCCUUUGUGUCUGCGAUGUAUCGGUAGAGUUCACCAUUUCUUACUCGGUUCAUCUGUGCAGAAAUCCAUCUAAAUUGGCCAUUCAGGUUGUAGGUCUUUAUUAGGUUAUACAUCUUUUCCAUCUCAGCCUUCUCUUCAUUGUCCUUGGACUCCUUCCUCCGGUCUCCAGCCACAACCACUAGGUUAACUAACUCCCUAAGACGAUCGUUUUUGCCGUACCACUCGACAAGUCCAGUUAUGUUCUUAACACGAUCCAAUCUCGCCAUUGUGAAUAUGAUUGGCUUGGACCGAUCUUUCAAUACACACAAGUGUUCCUCAUUCUCAACUUCACUAUAAAGAAGCUCCUCAAUUUCAGGGUGGAAGGCAGUUAGCCUUUUCUCGGUCUCUGUGUAGGGAAAGUAGAUGCUCAUGUCUGCUCCAGGUGAAACUAUGUUGAACUUGGGAUCAAAUACAUUGAUUCCAUGGACCACCCGGUAGAGCCCCGGAAGAGUGAAAGCUGUGUGACUCUCGUAUUGUCCAACUGUAUCUUUGCUGAGAACCAAAAGAAUUUACGUGUAAGAUAACAAACACAAACCAUCCACAUAUGAUUACCAUGAAAAACAAGCUAAAACGUCUUACCUGCCGGCAAUCUCUUGGAAGGUACUCGUGAUAAUGAAAUCGGUAUGGUUCAUGGCAAUAAGAUCGGCUGUGAAUUGGCUUGAGAAGUGAUACUUAUCAUCAAAUGUCUUCCAAUAAAUAUCUGAAUCAGGAUAUUUGGUUUUUUCCAAGGCGUGAGCGAUAGUACACUGCAGAAGAAAAAAGAGACAAACAAACAAGAUCAUGAGCCUUUACCAAAAACAUCAUGAAAAAAUGAGACUACAGAUAUGUCACAAACCUGUGUAACUCCCAGUUUGUGUGCCAGUAAUGAUGCAACAAUAUUACCGUCGCUGUAGUUUCCAAUGAUCAGGUCUGGCUUUCCCUGCAACUCUUUGGUAAGUUCCUGUGCAACAUCCUGACAAAAACAAGGACAGUUUACUUCAGUAUACAAUCGAUGAGGCGUGCACAAGGGAUAUCCAAUAAAUGACAACAGGAGCGACGGAUCACCUCAGUGUAAGUCUCUAGGUAAGGCCAGACUUCAAAUCUUGAGAUCCACUUUCGGACUAUUCCUUUCUCAUUUCUGAAUGGAACUCGAAGAAUGUGAGAGUGUUCUGUCCCAAAUACUUUUUCGAGACGCUGGGUGCAGGUGGUUCCUACUGCAUCUGGAAGGAGUCUGGUGAUCUGGUUAUGAACAGAAACAAAAACAAACUUUCAAACAUCGGAUCGACAGCAAGAUAUUUAUUGUGGGAAAAAAACGAAAUCUUGACAUUACAAUGAGAAUUCGAGGAGUUAUGUCCAAUCCCUGCUGCUUUAUACGUUGAAGCAUCUCAUGCUCCAAAGCACGAACUUGAUCCAAGAUGUAAACCACCUUCAUCAAAGGAGAUAAACAAACACGUCAAUUUAGAUCAACAAAGAAUAGACAACAUUUUCCCUUUGUCUGAACAAAGCUAACCUGGCCACCGGUGUCAGGGUAACCCAAGACAUUAUCUUGUGCGAAGUAACCGUGGGGUGAAAGGAUGACAACAUUAAAGACCAUGGGGAUUCUACCAAGGAAUUUCUCGAAGGUGCAAGGAUCGGGGGCCUCAAGGAGAUCCAAAAGAAGUUGGAUCAUUUCGAGAACACGCUCGGCAGUGUCACCCCACCCUCUCUCUAGGCCAAUCUCCUGGAACUUGUUUGCAAACUCGGAGUAGGGUGUUUCGGGUGCAAGUGUUACAAGAUACUCUUCCGCCUUCCUUAGCACAUGUUGGAAGGCAUCCAGAGUCUGAAUUCUAUCAUUCAACAUCAUUGUCUGCAUUAAAACACACACACAUACCCAUGUCAUUGCUGGAAAUAGUUUAAGGCUGAAUCAAUAGAUAAAGAAUGUGAAGUGAAUUACCUUUCCCUUGUAGCAGUGAACUCUAAGGAAGUCCAGCAAUGGCUGCAUGCUCUCUUUACCAUGGAAUAGCUUUGCAGAGAGAUGACGGUUGAGGAACUCAACACCAUUGCCAAUGGAUUUAGAGAGAGUGGGCCGAGGAAAGGAAGCAUUAAAUGGCUCAAAAUCAAGCUCAAGAACAAAGUUGCCGUUCGAACUGGCAUUACAAUGGUCAAAAAGUGAUAAGAUAUCAGAACCCAACCAGCUUUUUUGCAACCCAAAAGAACAUAAACUUUUGUUAACUUUACCUUCCAUCUACAAGUUCUUCUUUGAAGCGCAAAUAUUCAGAAGCUUGAAGCUCUUCGACAACCAGUGCGUGGACAUUGACUUUAAUGUAUUCCCAAACACCUGGCCUUGGACGGACAGCAAGAGCAACCCAUGGGGGCAAAACUAUGGAUUCCUGCACCAUGCAACAAAAUUCAAACUUGGGAAGAUAACACAGAGGUGAAGUUUCACAUCACUGCAGAAAAAAGUAAAGCUUAAUAUAGUUUCAAAAGAGAUUAUUCUUAUCACCUGAGUUGAUCUCAGGACUUCCCCAAAUGCCCCAUCAGCUAGUUUCCUUCGGUUCUCUUCAGGAAUUGUUUCAAACUCAGCGAUCAGUUCAUGAUGUUGCAGGAUGCCUUUUCCUUUUGCUUCAAUCCUAAAAACAAAUCAAAGUUAUUUAGUGUUCAAUGAUCUUAACUCUCUAGUUUUAUCUGCCAUUUUAACACUUGGCAGACCAUGAUCCAGAAAAAAUAUAUAUAAAAGCAGAGGAUCUAAAUAAAAUACUUUGAGAGGAGACCAAGGAUUUCGUUUCUUUGAGCAAUUAAAGUUUCAUCCAAGCGCUCCCGGAGGCUAUGAAUACGGUUGAGAACUCGUUCUGCCAUGGCUAUCUUCUUGGAGGGUGCACAGAGUUUUCAGAAAAAUCUUAGUUAGCUUCAGCUGCAAGAGAGUAUAUUAAAAUAUGUAAACAAUCCGUCCAUUUUAUCCAAAUCAAACUUUACCCAAAAAUGCAAUUGGAUUAAUUACACAAACUAAUUGUCAAAACAUCUACAACUAAUAUCUGGAUUAAAAAUUCCUAAAACCACCCAACUGGACCCUACCAAACACUGACAAAAUUUUCAAAAUUUGUGUCUUGAUUUAGCAGGAAGGCAAAUGGAAGAGAGAGUUCCACAGUCUUAAAUUGGAAAUACAGAAAUGAGAAUAAAAUCACUAAAGGACCAUGGAAGCUCAGACACUGUUUUGAAAAGUUGCAUGCUCUGUUUAUACUUUUUCUCCCUCCUCCUUUACACACAAUUGAAAAGUCAAUAAUCUGGACCAACCCAUAUUUUAGAAUUCCAAAUCAGAAAAAAGAAGGUAGAAAAUGGACAAAACAUUUCAAGUCAUCACUGUGCAUGACAUUAAUGGGGAGAAAACGGAGAUAAGAAAGACAAAGAGAUCAAACUAUUUGACCGUAUGGAACAAAUCCCAGUUUGAAUUCUCCUCUCUAUUGAAUAAAAUUAGAUGAUGAUCUAUGUUUGGUAAAGUAGAUUUGAAAAUGGGAACAAUUGUCAAACGUUUCAAAACAGAGCAAGAAGAACAAGAGAAACACAUGGAGCUCACAAAUUACAAGUGGAAUGAGACACAAUAAAUACAAGGAGAGACAGAGGAAGCAUUUGUCAAUCUCUUUAAAGUCUACAAAACUUUUAACAUCUGACCCACAAAAAUUAGAGUGAUUAAGCAAAAUCAUCAUCAGGGUAUGCAAAGUUAACACUCACUCAUCAUCUACAUUUGAACGUAGAUUAAAUACAAAGAAUUAACUUCUAACCCACAAAAAUUAGAGUGAGUAUCAGCAAAAUCAUCAUCAGGGUAUGCUAGAUUAACAUCCAAUCAUCACCCACAUUUGAACAUAGAUUAAAUACAAAGAAUCAAACAAGAGAAAUAAAAACUGGGAUCGACUACAAAAAAAAGCCCUGGGAUCAUUCUCGAUUGGAAAAUGGGGGAAAAAGAGGAUCGUAUGGAGAAUGGAUGAAAAGGAAAAAAGAGGGGAAAGAGAGUGGACGGACCUUAGGAGGAAAUGUAUAGGGGGAAUGAAGAAUGGAAUGAUGAGAAGAGAGGAAGAGGAGAGGGAAUUUAUAUUGAGAAUGGAAGAAAGAGUUUGGGGAUUGUUGCUGAAUGAUGAUGAUCACCAUGGAUGCGGUGGGUAAAGGAAAUGGGUGCUUGAAUUUCCGUGAAAAUGCUAUUAUUACUGCCAUUACCUUCCUGUGGUUUUCUUCUUCCUGUCGCAAAACCGCUUUUGUUCUUCCUACAUUCUUUAUUUCCACUCUCCUCUUCUUCCUCUUGUCAUCUAGCUUUGGAUAUAUUUUUUUUUUAGAAUCCAACUUCUGAUAUCGAAAUUAAUUAUUUAGGCUUUGUUUACUCUCGUUCAUCUUAAAUUUUCAGGUUAAUGAAAUAAUGUUAGUUGUUCUAGUCAAAAUUUAUUAAUAAACAAGUUAAAUGUUUAUAUCGUCCAUUCAAAUUUUAGUUAAAUGUUUAUAUCGUCUAUUGAAAUUUUAGUCGAUGUAAAAUUAAGACCAUCCUUACAAUAAUAUUCUCGUACACGACCUUCUUUCUCCCUCUAAUCGCAUUCAAUUAAUUCAAUAAGCAAUCUUACAUAUUAGGAUUUUCCUUUUAUAUCAAUCUUCUCUGUGUUUGCACUCGAAAGUAUCUCUCUUACGUCUGUUGCUCUAAACUUUCAAUCAAAUCGAUCACAAAUUCUUGGUCUCUGUCAUUUGGUUCCACUUCGAUUGACAUAUCAAGUUAGAAUUUCCUAGAAGAAGAUAAUUUAAAGUGUCAUCGAGUUUGAGCACAAAACCAUGAAAGUGCCACCUGAGUUGAUAAUUUAAAGUACGUUGAUCAAGCUUUCGGAAGAACAGAAUACGCGAUCAAACAUUUAUUAUUAACUACACCGAGCAGAGGACUAAUUUUCUUCUCGACGUCUUCUUUUCCGUUUACUAAUUCGAAUCUUAUUAGCUAGUUGACAAUCUUGAAAAUUCAUUAAUUUCAACCUAUCUCAGAUUCACUGUCGUACGAUGAAACUCAUUAAUGAUGUUGAUAACGUUUUAAGAGAAUAUAUAGUAUAGAUACGUUAUUUUAAAUAACUUUUUCUUCCUAAUAAAAUGACAGUGCAUUUCUUGAAAAAUGGGUUUUGAAGAAAAUAAAAGAAUAGAGUAAGAGAGAUUUAAUAGUAAAAAAAAAAAAGGGAAAGAUGUUAUCUAAACAAUGUGUUGAAUAGAAUAAAAUGAAAAAGAGCAUUGGUUUGGGGUUUAGUAGGUGGGACUCUCUAAUAUAGUAUUGUACGUUAAAGUGAGUGGUUUUUUGGCCCGAGUUUCGUCAACCGGAAAACCUGUUAGCGCCCGCCACGUUCCCACCUAAAACCGCCUUUUCCUUUCUACCACUUUUAUUAUUAUUAUUUCUUUUUCAUAUAUUGAUUUCAAAUUAAACUUGCCAUCUAUAGUAUUAUAUAUAGUGCAAUACUUUUAAUUCAAGAUAAACUCAUUUUGGUUAAUCACACUCCAAAUUUUCAAAUACAUGAAAAUUACUAAAUUCUUUAUCAAUCACAUUAGUAGAAACCAUAAUUAGUAUAAAUUUAAAAUUUUAUCAUUUUUAAAAAUAUUUUCAAUAAUUUUAUUAUUUAUUCUAAAAUUUUAAAUUAUAUUUAUAAUCAUAAUUUUAAAAUUUUAAAAAACAUUGUUUAGGGUUUAUUUAUUGUAUUAUGUGUUGUUUGAAAUGUCUUUCAAUUUAGUUUUAUAAAAAUUGGUAUGUAUAGACAAUAAAUAAAAUUAUUUAUAAACUAUAGUGAAAAAAACUUAAAUUGACCAAAAAGUUUGAUUGAUUUUGCUAUUUUUAAAAAUGUCUCUUUAAUUUUUGUAAGUAUUUUAGCUAAAAUUACCCGUUUGAUCUCUAUAACUUUGAAGAAAAAAAAAGGACAAUUAUAGUUUAAUAAUACCUCAACAAAAGCUUGUUAAGUUCUUAUAAUUCAAAUAAUUCACUCUCAAUAUCGACCAAAUGUAUGGUUUAGCUUUUCUUUUAGCAAUUUGCAAAAUCCACUUAUAAGCAUCAAUUACACCAUGGUACUUUUCUUAACCAUCAUUGAACCCUCUAAACGUUGAAAUGUGCUAAAAUUGGCUUACAAGUUUACAAUUGAACCCACCAAUGAUAAAUAUUGAAACAAAAAAUUUAUAUAAUAGAUACAAUUUAUAGAAUUGGUUAAGUUUAAGAGUCGAAUUUGAAGAUUUUGAUAAGUUUAAAUUUUUUGUUACCGAAGUUAAAAUUUGGAGAGAGAAAUGCAAUUUAAUGCACCUGACCGGCCACCAAAGACGGUGGUUUCGUCGGGAACUGCAAGCCAAUCAAACUCCUCGAUUUUCCGGUAACUGACGUGGCAUCCUAGAUUUGGGAAAAAGUUAUGAAAUUGAUGAAUCAUUUUGCUCCCUCUUCUUUGCUUUGCACACUCAGCAUAUGUGGGUCCAUUUCUAUCUUUUGUUCAUGAAAAGUAUUUCAUUAUUGCUUUUAUUCUAAUCAAAUAUUGCGAUUUCGAAUUCAUUUGUUUUUUAAAUGUAUAUAUGAAUAUUCAAAUUAUAUACUCAAUUAACAUUUUAUUGAUUAAUUAUAUGUCGUUCUCACACAUUACAAAUUCUUUUUGGAAAUCCUUUUUGGAAAGAUUAAGAUGUAAUUAAUUUGAGGUGCUUUUUUCAAAAUAAUGAAAUAAAAUAAAUAACUUGAGACGUGGGGCCUCGGAACGAAAGUUUGAAAAAUGGAGGGAUUAAAAAAACAUAUCUUUAGCGAUGAUGGAUUAAUUAGUCAUUUGUUGCUUUUUAUAAUAAUUUCCUUUUUAAUUAAGUACUUAUUCACAUUUUUUUUAAUAAUGAUAAUAAUGUUGUGAAAAGAGGGUUCAAUCAAAAUGUAGAAAUUAUAAUAAUAUAAUAUAAUAUAAUAUAAAUAAAUAGUAAGAAAAUUAAAUAUUUAUAAACCAUAAAUGUAUUAGACUACCUGACAAGUAAGAGGUGGAUUACAUGACCACUAAAAGACCAUGGUUGCCUGUGAACAUUAAUCGAUAUAAAGUUUUCUUGACAUCUGCUACGACUAAUAAACACACAAUAAUGAACAUUUAUAUACAUAUUAAUAUUAUUUAUAAUAAAUAAUAAAUACUUCCAAUUUUCAUAGUUUUUAUAACCUAACCUUAACUUUUAAAAUAUUUUUGUUUUAUAAUAUAUAUAAAUUAAACUAAAAUAUUUACAAAAUAUAACAAAAGUAACAUCGAUUACGUAUCCUAUCAGGAUAGACUAAUUGGUUUAGGACGAUUUAUCACGAACAAAAUUGUAAUUUUUUGUUAUUUUUAUAUAUUUUUUCAUAAGCCUUUUCAUUUAUUUCAAAUAAUUUCGAAAAAAAUUUGGCAAUUAUAAAAUGAAGUUAGCCACUUAGCUAUAUUAUUUUAUAGGUCAAAGCACCUUCAUCUUAAGCUAUAUUGUAUUUUACCAAAAACAAAUAUUUCUAAAUGAUAUUCACUUUGUAUUUCAACCACACAUUUCAUAUAAUAUUACACUCUUUUAAUUCAUUUAUACAAUAUCCUUUAGUCGUUUAUCAUUUGUAUAUCACAUUAAUUAUUCGUUUAUCAUUUUGAUUCUAGUAUCACCCGUUUGAGGUUAAUAUCUAUUAAAUAUUUUAAACUAAUAAUUAUAUUAUUUUAAUUUAAAAUAUUAAAAAAUGAACAAUCAAUAAUUUCAUUAUUUAUUGAGAUUAAAAUAGCAUUAAUUUAUUAAAAUGUGUGAAAUAUAGUUUUUUUUUUUACCUUGUUUAUGGUUACCUCUUAAUUAAAGAUUGCUUAAAUUAGUAUUUUAAUUCCUAUAUAUUGGAUUUGCUUCAAUUUUCAAUUAUUUAAUAUGGUAUUAAAUUCGUCUACCAUUACUAAUUUAUGGUUUAUGUAUUAAAAUUGUUGAAAAUUUAACGACUAAAAUGGAAAAUAAUGAAAAGAUUUAUGAGGGUGAGUUGUUAAUGGGACAUAGUUGGUCCAAAAUCCAGUGGCUAACCCUGUGGUUUUGAGAGAAUAACCCUAAAUCUUUUUAAUUGAUUAAAAAGUAAGAAUUAAACUUUAUAUUAAUUAAAGUCAAAACAAUAUUGAAUCAUUUCAAACUAAUUUUCUUGAGCAACACGUUUGGUUUUUCAUGGGAUAAUAAUUAAUAAUAAUCCUCACUUUCCCUCAAUGCUGUGGGCUACAAUUUUCCAAUUUUCCACUUCCUUUAGCGGCUCUUUGCACCAUUCUACCCUCCUUAUUAUUUAAUUUUCUUAACUACUAAUUAUAUCUAUCCGAUCCAAGCCAUCUCCAAUACCUUGUCGUGUAUUUAUAUUGUUUGUAUUAAACUCUACCCGUUGUUAUGUGAAAAUUACCUCAUAAUUAGUCGUUCUUUAUUUUCUAACUAUGAAUUUUUUUUCCAUUUUCUGUUUUAGAGUGAUUAUUGGAGUUGUAUUUUAUUUAAUUUUCGAGGUUAGUAUAGUCUCGAGGGAAUUUAUUUUAAAUUUGUCAUUUUUUUUUUUGUUAAUUUCUCAAUUGUUUUCUAUUUAUUCUUGAGGGAAUUUUCCAACACAUAGAACUUCACAUGUCUCACACAUCAAUUCAUCUUCACUAUAGCUUAAUUAUCUCAAUACCAUUGUGGGCAAAGAUAAUGGAAUUUUCAUAUGUGACAAAAAAAAAAGAAACAGUUUCUUAUAUAUGAACCUUUUAACAUGAAAAACUCUCCUUUUUUUUCCAAGUGAUAAAGGUAGAAGACUUGAAUUAUUUGUAAAUAUAAAAAUAAUAUCAUUAUUAUUUAUCAACGAUAGAUUAUAAUUAUAUACAAAUAGACGUCUUUUGUUGUCUAUUUACAUAUACAUCAAAAUUUCAUUGUUUGUUUUGUUAGUCUUCUACUGCUCAUACAUAGCGAUGAUAUUGGACAACAAAAUUGCUCAAACUUAAAUAUUAUAUUGUCAUAUAUGUAAGUUUUCAAAAGGCAAAGAAAAGGCCCAUUUGCUUUUUUUUUUUUUCUAUUAAAAGAAGUAUUGGUUAUUUAUAUUUUAAUUGCUUUUAUCGUAGCAACGUGUACUUUUUGAUGUGUACUCACACAAACAAAAAUGAAUAAAUAAAAUAAAAUAAAAUACUUAAUAAUAUAUACUAUUAAUUUGAAAGACUAAAUUAAAUAAAACUUCCAUGCUUUUACCAAUUAAAUCAAGCCAACAAAUAGGGAGAAGACUAAGAGUAGAUGAGCUGGAAUAAUUAAUCAAUAACAAUAUCAAGAAGACUCAUGCUAUCAAAAGGAUGAGAGAAAAAUGGAUUGAUAUGUUGUUUGAUAGAAAGACUCCAAGUGAUGAAUACUUGUAUUUGAUUUACCUAUUUUAUAUGUUUGAAUUUAAAUUAAACCAGUUCUUAAUCAAAUUUAAGAGAGAUUAAUGCAAAGAAAAUUUAGUAUUAUUUGGUAUAGUGCUCGAUUAAUUAUCUAAUUGAUUUUAUUUUAGGUAUAGCUUUUUUAUAUAUAUUAUAUAUAAAAAUUGGAAAGAGUUUAUCAUAUAGAAUAUAAAAAUAGAAAAACAAUUAGGUGAUUGCCAUAUAUAUUUUAUGUUUGUGGCAUUUCCAACAAAGCAGAAAAUGGGAGAAACGGUGCGUUGGGAUCGAGAAAAUGGUGGAAUAGAGGUGGGUCGGAGAUUAAGGAAAUAAUACUUCCAAACGGUUCGUUUUACCGUAAAAAGGUUAGUCACGUGGUAAGUUUGGUGGUAACUCUUUUCCCUUACCACUGCCAGUGCAUGUUCCCACAAAAUCCAAAUUCUAAAUAUAACAAAAUAACAAAAUAACAACACAACCAAAAAAAACACUCUAUUAUUAUUAGCUUAGUUAAUUAUAAAACUAUUUUUUCAUUUUUCAUUUUGUAAUUCUCUUCGAUAAUAACACUACACUAAUAUUCGAUAAUUUUAAAUAAAUAUCAUGUAAAAAAUGAAAAAUGUCAUCGCUAGUUGACACCACUUUUGAAAAUAUAACGAGGACGAUGUUCAAAUCCAAUUUCUUUCCACAAUCAUAUGCAAAUAUGAAUAGCUUGCAAUAUUAUAAUUUAUAUACUUUUGUGGUGUGAAGAAUGUUUUUUAAUGAACACGUGCUUUUGUCUAUCAAUUAUAGCAUUAAUGAAGGUUUGUAGCUCGUUUUAGAAGUUUGUGGAAAGAUCGAAUGAGUAAUCUAUCUUUAUUUAUAAACGACAAGGCCACGAUUUUAUGGUUAAGAAAAUAUCUUUAAAUGAUAUCAACGGUUCAACUAAUUUUAUUGUGUUCUAAUGAUUUGAUAAAAAAAUAAAAUAUCUCAACUACGAACUAUUCUGUCACCUCUUAAUGUGAUAUCUUUUAUUAGGUAAUAGAUUUAUUAAAAGAUAUCACUCACGUCACGUAAGAUGCAACCUACCAUAUAAUAAUUACCGUAUAUUAAUAACUUUUGGAAAAUUACAUUAGAUGACAAAAAAUAUCGAAAAAACAACUUAUAACACAUUCUUUUACGUAUUGUAAAUUUGACAAAUACGAUGAUAAUCAGACGGUAAUAGAUGAUAAUCUGCUUUUAAAUUUUCUAUUUUUACAAUUUUGAAAAUGUAAGUGACACGAACUCAAUUAUCAUAAUUUUCUUUUAUUACUUUUGCAAACUUCCCCUAGUUUUUUUUUAAAAUUUUAAAGUUAUACAGCAUCUAUUUCAAUUUUGGUUAUUAUAAUUAUUUCAUCAUUAUAAUAUUUUUAUUAUAAAGUUUAUUCUAUAUUUUAAUUUGGGAUAGUUGCAAAUAUAACAACGAGAUUUAAAAUAACUAAGUAUAUAAUAGCAUUUUUAAAAAAUUGCAAAAAAAAAAAGAUCGGUUAAAAUCUAUCAAUGAUAAGAGCUUAUAUUUAUAAUUUUUUAAAAUGUUGAUAUACACUUCAUUGCAAUUCACAAAAUUGCUACUCAUUAUAAUUACCUCCUAAUUUUAGUUAUUAUUCCCAUUUUUCUAAUCAAAAUAAAAAACCUGUCAUUACUACUUUUACAAUAGAAAACAUCAAAGGAAUAAUUUUUUAAUAUAUAAUUUAAAUAUAAAUUAGCUCAAUAUUAUAUUCGGUCAUAGGUUUUUUCUAACUCUCGGGUUAGAAAUGAAAGGUUUGAAUCUUCUAACCCAACCGUUGUAUUAAAACAAUUAUAAAAGUUUUAAAUUGAACUUUAUCUAUCUAGAUUGUUGAUCUUUCAUUAUUACCCAUUAAAAAAGUUCGGACCAAUCAAAAGUAAGAUAAGAUAAGUUUAAAUACUGAUUUGAUCGUCAAGACAACAUAAUUAAUCUUUAAACGUGUUUGAAAUGCUCAAAUUCCCUUAUCAACGAUUGUAUUAAAAUAAAAUAUUAUUUUAAUCUCCACUUUUUUUACUUUUAAAUUUUAAAUUGCAGCACUCAUUCAAAUUUAAGUUAAAAUUUGAGUAUAGUUGGAUGAAGUUGAAAGUUUAGAGUAAAAAAUUAAUGAUAAAUUUUGAUAUUUUAACAAUUAUAAUCGGUGUUUUCUUUUAUAAAAAUAUUUAGGCAAAUAAUUGGUAGAAAGAUGUUUAUGUUGAGUUCAACUUUAAUGGGCCUGGGCCAUCAUCUUUCAUGGGUUUACCAUUUGGGCUCAUAACCAAUGCAAACUUGAUCGGUACUAUGCAUGAACCUAAACUACUACCACCUUCAUUUACUCAUUUAUAAUCAAAGAUUACCAUUUUUUUAGUACAACCACACAAUAUAUAUAAAAUCUAAGAUAUUGACAAAUAAUAAGGCAAGAUAGAAUUUUCCACGCAUAAUGGUCUUCGAGUUAAAUUUUAUAACGUUCAAGAUAAUGGGCAUGAGAAGCUAUGGUAUGAACAACGACUGUUAAUAAAAAGAAAGCCUUGAAUCGAGCAACCUUUAUUUAAGUUUGUAUUCAACUCUAGAGCAUUUUUCCUAUGAAAUUUUUUUUAGUGUAACUCUUAUUCUACCAAAUUAAAAAUUAUCAUCCAAUAAUACAUAUAUGAAUGAAGAGUAUGAAACUUAGGUUGGAUCUAAGUAUUACUCUCUUCUCAUAUUUAUCUCACAAAAGUGUAGGUGAGAUGUCAUUUAUAGUGAUUAUAAGCCAACGGUCACAUCAAAAUCCUACUUCCUUUGUAGAUUAAAAUAUAUUGUAGAGAUUUGAUUUGUUGAACAAUAUGAAAGUUUCAAAUCAUAUUUACCCUAAAGAAAACUAUAACUCAAACCUUGAGCUUCAAGGAGGUAAAACAUUGUGAAAAGUAUAUGAUUUGUUCUUUAUUUUUUUGUUCUUUAACCAUUCUAAUUUGCAACCCAAUCUAAAUGAAGAUGAAAUAUUAAACUACAAUAAUACCCCUCCAAAGUUUAAAGAGACUUCAAUACCAUGCAUUUUGAUCUUAGGAUAAAUGUGUCAUUCUAACAAUACCAACUCUACUUCUAUUAGGAAAACAACGAAACAAGUAUAUAAGUCCUAGUGAAUUUUCCAUAUAGUUUUAUGGAAGGAUAUGCACGAAGGUAGCACCCCAUGAAAUAAUUAAAUUUUCAUUAACAUCUUCAUAUUUUGAUUGAUAUUUUUAAAUUUUCACAUGUUAAAUAUCCAGGUAAAAAUUCAAUUAACUUUUCUAUUAUAAUAGUAAAUUUACAAAAUAUGAUAAUAUAACUAAUAUCGUAUAAUAAUAAAUACGUUAACUAGUUUAAAAAUCCUAAAACGUGCAUUUGUUAAUUUAAAUAUAGAUUUAUAAAUUUAAUUUUAAUAAUUUUACACAAGAAUAUCCGAGUAGAUAAGAGGUUAUUGUCCCCCAACCUAGCCCAAAUGUUGUAUAAGCUAGGGUUAGGCACUCACGGAUAUAAAAGAAAAAAGUUGUUCCAUAAAAUUAGUCAGAUGUGCACAACCAAACCUAAACACUCACUAAUAUACAAAAAAAGUUCAUAACAUUUUUCGUAAAAUUAUUUUAAAUGAUAAAGUCCAUGAAAUUCAAAAUAUCAGAAUCUAUAUAUAUCAUAAUAUAGAUAGAUCAUGGUCCCGAUUGGAUUGACAGUUUGUUUUUUUUAAAAAAAAAUAUUUUAAUCUCUCCAUAAGUUAUCUUGACAAUGUGACAUACAUGUAUGUAUGUAUAUAAAUAUAAUUGAGUUGAGUCGGGUCAAUACGAUCUCUUACUUGCACAAUAUAGCAAUACAACUCAAAUUUUUUCCUCCAAUUUUCUAACCCAACGCAACCUAACACAAAAUUCAAUUCAACCCAACACUUAUAGUUUAGGUUGAUAAUUGGAUUGGUCGGGUUACUGAUUUUUUUUUUAACACCCUUAAUAUUUUGUAAAAUAGCCUUUUUUUUUUUUUUUUUUGUUUAAAAUUAAGACCCUAACAUUGGGGUUAGGGCAAAAUUAAAGUAACGAAAUAUUAUAUUUUCUUAAACUUAAGCAAUUGGAGAAUUUUGGACGAAACCCUAAAAAUAGAAGAUUCAUCGUCAUCCCCAAUCGAGGGUUUCAAGUGUGAAGAACCAUUAGCACGAAGCUUUAUCAUCAUCAUCUCAUUCAGUUCUCUAAAACCCUGUUUUCAAUUUAGCAGUAUAUUCUGCAACCAAGUUGAAAGCCUAUUCCUUUACCUAAUCGACGGCGGAAUCCGGUGGAAUGGGGAGAGAACUCCAAAAGCAACCUCAGCAAGAGAUGGCCUCCGCCGUGGAGCAAUUGCUCGCCGUGAAUCCUUACAAUCCCGACAUUCUCCCCGAUCUCGAAAACUACGUAAACGAGCAGGUCACUUUCCCAUCUCUUCCCUCUAUUUUUCAGCUUAAUUUUUGUUAGUUGUUACCAUCUCCUUGGUAAUUGUAUUUCUGAAUUGAGAGAACUCUUAUCUUAUUUUAGCUGGGAUAAAUGUUUGUGUUCCAGGUCUCGUCAGAAACGUACAGUUUAGAUGCCAAUCUAUGCCUUCUUCGUCUCUACCAGGUAGCUACCCUACUACAAUACUAGCUGUAAAUAGAUAUAGCAUGUAUUUUAGUAAAUUCUUCUGGCAAAAAGAAGUCAGGUUCCAAAUUCCUCCCGUGUGGUUGUUGCUGGAUGGUUUUGUCAUAAUAAUCCUUAAGUUUUAAUUGUUGUUGUGUUUAUAUUUUUAGUUAACUGUCAUUACUUUAAGAUAAAUUAGGAUUUAGAAUGUAUUUUGGUGCUGCCCAUUUAGCGCAUUGGACUUGGACCUUAAGCGUUUUGAAUGUUUAAUCUCUGUGUUUCCCUCAUUCAUAUGGUUUGUCUUCUAGAGAAUUGAUUAUUGUUUGAUUUACAGUUUGAGCCAGAGAGAAUGAGCACCCAAAUUGUGGCUCGCAUUCUGGUCAAGGUAUAUUUUCCUCUUUAUUUUUUUUUGUCACCGCUUAUUGUGAAGAAUUCAAUUCCUAUAUCUUCUUCACUCAGCAUAACUGAAGUUUAUGUCCGAUUUGUGGAUAGGCUCUGAUGGCAAUGCCAGCUCCGGAUUUCAGCCUGUGUCUCUUUUUAAUUCCAGAACGUGUGGUAUGCAUUAAAUCUUUCAUAGUUCAUCAACCCCUUGUUUUAAGAUGUCUGCCAUUUUGAUUCUAGAACAAGUGGUAUACAUUAAUUUUUAUUGUAGUUUACCAUCCCUUAAGUUUUUUUUUCAUUUCUAAUUUUGUUCUUAUAUCUUGUGGUCUUUGUAAAUUUUUUUAUCUGUAAAGUGAGCAAUUAGGUUGCUCAUUUAUUCCUCAAGAGAUCAAAAUGUCCUAUGUAUCCUUUAUUGAGACUUGGGGGGCAAACCACAUUAAACUUAAAGGCCUCAAUCAUUAAUUAUCAUUAAAAUGGGAAUGCUCUGAAACGAAUAGAGGAGGUAACCCAAAGGAAAAUAUUAAAGUAAGCAGAGCAUUUAACCAUCAAUUUUCAAUUUCAUUCUAAGCUAAAACAUUGUUGCCAAACAUUUUCACAUUUUCCGCUUGUUAUUUCUUGUGCUUUCUAUUCCAUCCCCUUAAUGACACAUUUUUAAUGUAUUAAUAUCAGCAAAUGGAGGAUCAAUUCAAGACUUUGAUUAUACUUUCCCACUAUUUGGAGGUAUGCAGGUUCAUUUUUGUUUUUCUUCUUUUAUUCCCUUAACUUGAUCUUUUAGCAGCCAAUUUUAUGUCUUUUUUUUAAAAAAAUUAUUCAUGUCUAGACUGGAAAGUUCCGUCAAUUCUGGGAUGAAGCUGCCAAGAACCGUCACAUAGUUGAAGCUGUGCCAGGUACUUAGGAAUUAUAAGGAACUUGUUCUUUUAUGCAGUAUUUGCUACUACCUUUAUAGGUCUCUAGGAUGCAUCCAUUAGUGUGUAACGUGUGAGUGGCAUAUUCUCUCAAGAGAAUGAAUUUGACUGACCUGAAGAAGAAUUGAGAUGUUUGAAGGAAAGUUUCCCCAUGUGUCCUGAGUUUGAACCUCCGCAUGAAAAACCAUACGAGUAUAUAACUUUUUUUUUUCACUUAUUGUGUUUUCUAUGGUCGGCUGUAUGGUGCAAGAAGUCUUACUUGAGUAGUUGAAUGUGCCACAAUAAAUCUUUAAAAAAAUGUAUAUUUUUAGCUUGCAGAACUAUUUUGUUUGUAUAUAGACCAAGGCGUGUUUUGACUAUUCCUGAUAUGAAAAUACGAUGCAGGUUUUGAGCAAGCAAUUCAAGCUUAUGCUGUCCAUGUUCUUUCCUUAACUUAUCAAAAGGUUCCUAGAUCUGUGCUUGCGGAGGUAUGGAUUUAUAAAGCAUCUAUCUGCCAUUUUAAUAAUCUUGGAGUUGAUUCUUCAACUGUUAUCAUUGUCUUUUUUCAUUGGUGUUUCGAAGUAGAUGUGGCUUGACACGCUACCCUGCUAAUAAUGUUACGGUCCAAAUAUCCUUGUAUUGUUUAUUCUCUUUCUGACAUGCUAUAGAGGAUGUCAACCGAUCAACCCCAACUCAUCUCUUUUUGGAAUUUUUGCUUCAAUCAAUACGUUUCAAUGCAACAUGUUCAAUCUUCUGUGUGUAUUCUAAAUCCUUAUGUGGGAUGUUACAGGCAAUCAAUAUCGAGGGCCUGUCAUUGGACAAAUUUCUCGAGCACCAAGUUGCAAACUCUGGCUGGACUCUUGAGAAAGGUGGGAAGGGCCAACUUAUUGUUAUACCACCCAACGAAUUCAACCAUCCUGAACUGAAGAAGAAAUCCUCUGAUAGCAUUCCCUUGGAUCACAUUACUCGCAUCUUUCCAAUUCUUGGCUAACUAACCCGAUCACCGUAACUAAUGUUGUUACAUCUAUACAUUUCGUAUUUGUUCUCGUUCCUUUCUUUUUGGGACUACUGUGAGGCUGCUGCUAUAUUAUUGUCCAAUUUUCCAUCUAUGCCAUAGAAUGAAGAGAUUACCUCUUUAGGGCAGUCAGUCUGAUGUUUAUAUUUUGUACUUCAAUCAUACCAUUUUAUGAUGGUCAUAAGGUCAUGAAAGGCACACUGAGGUGAUGAGACGAGUCGCUCUGUAUCGUAUCAUGUGGCUCUCCUAAUUUUGAGAAGUGUUUUUGCGUCAAAUUAUUAUCGAUCGUUCUUUUGGGUAUUGCAGACUUGAGUUCCUUUUGGACCAUAAGCUUUUUUAUUUUUUGGGUAGACAUUAGUAAACAUUUUGUUUUAAAAUCAAUUUUUAAGGAAAAAGUUUGUAGGCUAAUGUAGUUUAAGAAUUUCUGAUGUCAGAUUAAAAGGCACUUCAAAGGGAUUUUGGAUGAAAUAUUCACGUUGGUUUUCUUUCAAAAAGUUAUUGUUUCUUCUAAAACAGACUAGGCAUCUUAAAAGUCACCCUUCUACGCCACAACCAUAGUAUUAAAUUCACUUCCACAUGAUAUUUUUGUUUUCAUGGGUUUAUAUUGAUAUAGGUUGAAUUGCUAUUUCUAUUACAUUUUUUAAAAAUAUAUAAAAACACGAAGAAACACAUUGAAAUGUACAUUAGGACAAGGUUCAAGCUCAUAUUCCUUACCCCAUUUUCUACUCAAAAAUUGUUUCAAGCUUUAAAUUACUUUUAACCUUUAUUUUUCAUUAAAUAUUAGCUUUCAAGUUAACGUUAAUGUUAACAAAAUUAUAGUUAAUUAAAAGUAAAAUUAUAAUAUUAUAAAACUUAAAACUAAAUUGAAAACGCUAACCAAAAUGAAAAGAUUAAAAAUAUAAGGUGUAACAUGGAAAGUUUAUGAAUCAAAUAAAAACUAGAUUAAAAAACUUAAGAUUCCUUUUCCACCUAAAAAAGAAAUUUGGAAAAUCGUCCGAAACCAACCUUAAUAGAUAAAGAUUUUGUCUAGUAAAACUAGCAUCCUAUUUAUCUCUUUCUUUCCUAAAACAUUAAAAAAAUUCAUCUUUUCUAAAUUUUAUAUAACUAUUUUUUUUCUCUAAUCUUUUCCAAUCUUAGCUAAUUUUAAAUUAUUUUUAUACAAUUUCUCAAAUCUUAUGUGUUCAUACAUAAGUUAAUAAGAUUAGAAUAGAAAUCUUAUUCACAGACACGACCAUAAUAGAAAAUUUGACAAGACUUAGCUGGUAAAAUAUUUGGUUGAGAUCUCGAUUCAUCUUGGAUAAAAAUGUAUCAAGAAAGUUCAAAUUUUCCAUUUUUUAGAAUUUCUUGAUACAAUUUUGGUUUACACCCAAUUUUUAAUAUUUGAUAGAGAGAUUUGAAAAGACUAGACAUGAAUUGAGAAAAUCCAAACCCAAAACAACCAAAAUAAUUUCACAAAAAAAAAUGGUGAAACUUUUCAGUAGACAAAACCUUUGAAAGCCAUUUCUUACAAUUUUCCAAAAAAAAAAAUAUUUUAAAUAAAAAAAUUUAUUUAAAAUAUUUAUAAACAAAUUGAUUUUAGUUUAUUUAUUUAAAUAAAUAAAAAUAUUGUUUUUUAAAGAAACUGAAAAAUAUAAAAACCAAACCGAGAAAAUCGAAAAGGAAAAAACAAAACGAAACAAAAGAUUGAUUGAAUCCUCGAAAGAGAUUCAUCGGUUCUUUCCCAUUUCAUCCCGCCAUCGUCGUUUAGUUUUCAUCGAUUUCCCUCAACCUCAAACCCUAAACCUAACAAUUCAUUUCCUUCACCUCAAUUCUUCUUCUCACAAAGGUACGCCAAUUCUCUCUGUCUUCCCUUUCGCUUCCCUUUCAGAUUUCUAGCUUCCUAUGCGGUUUUUUUGUUCUCUUUUAUACCGACGACAAAAUUAAAUAAAAAACCCCCUGAAUUUCGAAUUUAGCUGCAUAGACGACUCCGAUAUGUGUAAUUUUUUUGAAAUUCCAAUCCACCCCAUUUUGUCUUUGAUGAUUUUUCUCCCAACAUUUGUAUAUAGGAGUCGAAAGUGAGGAUUCUUUUUUUAAUUCCCUUGAAAGAGAACUUGAAGUUGUUGUUUUUUGUAAUCGGUUUUUGUAAUUUUUUUUACUGACAGUUGGUUUUGAUGUUAGUUAUUGUAGAUCAUGGCUACUUUAAACGGGAAAGUUACAUAUUCUUCGCUUUCUAAUGUUGGGAAGGUGAAUAGAGUUCAUAAUGAUGAUGAAGAUUGUGAUUCUCCAUGGGCCAUGCCUAAUGGUAGUGUGCCCUUUCAGAACUCGAAGUUUUCUGCUGAAUCUGAAGAUUUUAUUGAGGAUGAGUAUGAUUCAAGUGAUGAGUUUGAUAUUCCUAAGCAAAAUAGUAAGCGUCCUGAGGUGAAUUUAAAGAAUGUUUUAAAUGGAAUGUUUGCUAUAUUGACUGGUGUGAAUAAACCUUCGGAUGUGUCGUCAGAUAAACAAAUUCCCAGUUCAAAUAUUUCGUUUCUUGGUUCUGAAAAGAAUGGCGAUACCUAUUUGCACUCCUCAGUGUACAUUCCUAGUGCCCCACCUCUUCUCGAGCCGAAUACGGUUAAUUAUACUGCUUAUAAAGAUGUUUUGGAGGCUGAGCCUCCAGAGUGGCUUCCAGAUAGUUCUUCUUCGAUUUGUAUGCAAUGUACUGCUCCUUUUACUGCAAUCACUCGUGGUAGGCAUCAUUGUCGAUUUUGUGGAGGGAUUUUCUGCCGAGCCUGUUCGAAAGGGAGAUGUUUGAUGCCCGUUAAAUUCAGAGAGAGAAAUCCACAGAGAGUAUGUGAUGCUUGCUAUGACAGGCUUGAUCCUUUACAGGGUGUACUUAUUAACAGCAUUAGCAAUGCUGUGCAAAGGGCGAAGCAUGAUGUGAUGGACUGGACCUGUUCAAGAGGGUGGUUGAAUCUCCCUAUUGGUCUGUCCAUGGAACAUGAGAUAUACAAAGCAUCCCAAACGCUAAGAGGAUACUUCCAGGUGCGCUUACUAUGCAACUUAGUUGUUAAAUCAAAUGAAGUUGGUAUAAUUUGAACUGCUAUAUAUAUUAUUAUACUCUGGCAUCGAUCAUUAUACUGUGAUCUAUUGGACGGUGAUUUGGAUAUUCUUUUGUGACAUGCUAUUUCCUGGCUGUUGAAUUGUACAGGUCUCUAGAUUGAAUCCUGAAAGGUCUAUACCUUUGUCUGUACUGAAGGGGGCCAAAGGUCUUGCCAUUUUGACAGUCGCUAAAGGCGGCGUGUUGGUUGCUUACAAAUUUGGCACUGGUUUGGUAAUUGCCCGAAGGUCGGAUGGUUCAUGGUCUGCUCCUUCAGCUUUAAUGUCUGUUGGAUUAGGAUGGGGUGCCCAGGUAUGACUUCUAAUUCAAAGUUCUUUUACAAUUGUAGAAUUUCUGGAAGAAUUUUCGAUCUUCAGAAAUGGUUAAGCUCAGUUGUAGGAUAGCUUGGCCGUAACUUUUGGGGUUUUGUCUAUUUUAUGAGAUGUAGAGCAAGGCCUUUUGACUCAAAUCACAAGAAUCUUGUGUGCAUAUCGAGUUCUGAAUUACUUAUAUUUUUGUUUACUUUAGAUUGGUGGUGAGCUCAUGGAUUUCAUAAUCGUACUUCAUAAUUCAAAAGCUGUUAAGACAUUCUGUAGCCGAAUGCACUUUUCUCUUGGUGCUGGGUGUAGUGUCGCUGCUGGACCUGUUGGUAGAGUGUUGGAAGCAGAUCUUCGAGCAGGAGAUAGGGGUUCUGGCAUGUGCUAUACAUAUAGCUGUAGCAAAGGUAUCCCGAUUAGAUUGUGCAUUUUCUGUUUUACUUAGAAGGCUUUUGGCAGCUAUGUUAUACCAAAGCCUAAGUAGAUCUCCAUGAAGAUAGAAUUUCAGAUCAUUGAAAUGGCCGCUGCCCACAAACUUUUAGCUUUUUCAAAGUCAAAGGAUUUCGUGGAUCAUGCAGGAUUUAGUCCUUAAACGGCUUGUUCUGGUGCUUAAAAUAUUUCCUUUAUUAUGUAUAUUACAAGUACAAAUGUCUUGAUUUGGGUCGUGGUAGUCAAUAUCAUUACAUCUUCGACUCUUAAUUUGUCUUUAGAGGUGUGUGCUUGGUUGUGGCUUGUGGUCUUCCAGGAUGUGAGCUUUGUUGGGAGUGAAAGGAACAAUAGAGUGAUAGAAAUUUUUGUGUGAUUCCAUGUUUCUCUUUGGGCUUCGCUAUCGAAGUUUUUCUAUAAUUAUUCUCUAGGUAACAUCCUACUUAGCUGAAAACCUUUUCUCUAAUGAAAUUUAUUUUGUUGUAUGCCCUUGAAUUCUUUAAUUUUUUCUAUCACUCGUUUUGACUUCAUAUACCCCCUGAGUAGACCUGGAUUUGUUCUAUAAGUUGUCUUGAAUUCUGAAGAACAGUGUUACCUUUAUUUAACGAUUAUUUCACACUGACAUGCUGGAGAUAGUAACUGAUGCAUUCUCUUAUUUACCGACAGGCGCAUUUGUGGGAGUUUCAUUGGAAGGAAACAUUGUAGCAACAAGGAUGAGCACAAAUCUAUGCUUUUAUGGCGAUCCAUAUCUAACCACCUCUGACAUUCUGUUGGGGACAGUUGAGAGACCAAGAGCUGCAGAGCCAUUGUACUCUGCUCUUGAUGACUUCUACUCCGUUCUGCAAUGACCAAACUCUCCUUGAUGUACAGCAGAUAUCUCCAUGGAAGCUCUGAUCCAAACCUUAUACUUUCAUAGAUUGUAAAUGAACAUACAUCCACAAGUAGAAGCAUUAUUAUUCUUUUCUACUCUCCACCUUACCCAAUAAGAAUUGUAAUGUUGUAUAAAAUUGGCUUGAUUUAUUCUCGUGUAAAUAUAUAUUUUAUUGCAACUGAGUUUGAUUGAAAUGGUUAAAAUCACUUGGUUUUGCAUCAUAAAGGAUUGUGUUCUCCGUGAAGGUGUCUAUCCUAAUACUCACUUGUUACAUUGAAUACUAUUUUGUAUUUUUUACUAGCUACCAUCAAUUGUACUUUAAAAUCUUCGGUGGUUAAAAUAUUUACAAUUUAUUACCGUUUUUACUACCUUACCUUUAUAAUUUUGUUUUUUUAUUUUUUGAUAUUGUGUUUGCUAUUUUAUUCUCAAACUAAAAUAGUUUAAACCUUGAAUAUAUAUUAUUAUAAUUUUAACUAAAAUAAUCUAGGUUCAAAUACAAACUAUUAUAACUUAAUAACUUACGUUGCAAAUAGAUAUUUAUUAAGGAUGAACGUUAUUUAUCCUCUAGGUUAUGCACAUUAUUUAUCCUUUAGGUUUGUUGCUAGUUCUUCUAAAAGAUUACAAUGCAUCAGCGCGUACAUGCUAUGCUUAUUACACACUUUUUUAACCAUGUUCAUAAUACGGACAAAUCAUAAAAUUAUAAUUUUAAAAUAGAAGUGUCAACUAUAAUUUAUUCUCAUAAACUUUAGGAUUUAAGAUUUUAUUUAAACCAUCAACUUUAUUAACUUUUGCAAAUGUAUCAUUUUACCUCUCCGUUAUGUUAUCCAUUUACUCUAUUUGUCUAUUUUGUAAAAUUAAUAUUUGAACAAGUCAAUACAAAUUUAAAACCAAAAUCCAAACUUCUAAUUUGAAUUCUUUUUUAGAAUCAUCUAUUCAUUUACUCUAUUUGUCAAUUUUGAAAAAUCGAUAUUUAAAAAAGUCCACACAUAAAAAAACAUAUGUAAUAAGGUAUAUAUCGAUUGGUUUAUAAAAACUUAGAAGUUUAGAUUAUUUAAAUUAUAAAUUUCACAAAACAAUGGUCGUACAGAAGUGGAGAAUAUAAGUUGAUAUAGUCAUCAAUCCAUAAAUUUAAUUCAUAAAACCAAAGUUGUGAUAUUUGUCAAUAUAUAUAUAUGUACACAUACACAUGACAUACAUAACAAACUAAAUUAUAAUGACAUAAAAAAUAUACGAGUUAAGGAUUUAACAAGAGAUUUGCCUUAACCUACAUUGCAAUGGACACAAUGAUUGAUGAGAAAGGGAAACAAAAGCCAUUUCCUUGCACAUUAAUUGCUUGGGGCAAACAUGUUUGCAAUGAACAAAGCCCCCAAAUGAGCUUUAUACACAUAGAAGCCCAUGUCAAAAAAGGAAAAAUUACACAUCGUCAAUCUUUGACAUCAGUGACCCCUUCAGCUGAAAUUUGGAACCGUGCUUCAGCCUCAGCUAAACAUGGAGAACUUAUCACCUUACAAAUUCUCUCCUCCCCUCGUCCUUUCCGUAGCGCAAGCCUGCAAUAGAAACAUAGUUGGUCGAGGGUAACCACAUUUCGAGUUCAUAAACAUCUAAGGUGAGGAUUCAAUCCUCUAACCUCUAAGUAAAAGGUAUCACUUUUAAGUAGUUGAGUUAUUUAAAAUAUUACUUUUAAAUACUUUUGAUUAAAGAAAAAGAGUAUUUAGUGAAAACUCAAAGUCGAAAGUGGUAAAACAUGAAAGUUAGGGACCAAAUUGAAACAUAACUCAAAUCUCUUGUGUGUAAACAUUUUGAGACCAAGAAACUAAAUUGAAAUCAAACUCAGAACUUAAUGACAAAUCAGUAGCAACUUAGAGACCAAAUAAAAACAAGAUCCAAAACUUAGAGAACAAGAAGGUAUUUUUUGCACAACUUUAUUACAGUGUGACAAACCUUGUUGUAGAGGCAUGUGCCAUGAUGUUUCCACCAAUUGGCUUAAUUUGAGGACCUGCAAAGAUUGCUGAACCAUCUACCUGCGCAACCACUUGAUUUGUAAUGACCACAGCCACACCAAACUACAACCACAACACAUCAGGAGAUAUUACUCUUGUGAAUGGUAAGAACAAUACAAAAUGUAUCAUUCUCGUACUUCAUCUUUUGGCCCUAUAGAGGAAAAGUGUAUUUACCUCAUCUGCCAACUUUUGGAGACUUCUUAAGAACUUUGCUAGAUGCAUUUGCCGGGCUGAAAGUUCUCCUCUUCCUGAGAAAUCUGUUCUGUAGAGAGCAGUAGCGCUAUCGACUAUCAUGAGAGCAAACCUAAAUAUAAUGUGAAUGGAUCUCAAUAAUUUAUUUCAAUCAAGACAAUCAUUGGCAUUAAGUUUAAAAAACAAUAUAUUAGUGUUAAGUUCAAUUAAAUAUAUAUCCUCAUACAAAUGUUAACUACCUUGUUUCCACCAUCAUUGAAGCAGCUUCCAGCAAAAGCCUUGAUUGAUGAUCCGUGUUAUAAGCUCUAGCAUAGGCCACAUUCUCCAAGACAUCUGCACCAUUGAGUCCAAAUCUGUAACAACCAAUAUCACACCAUAAGCUAUUUUGAUAACACACACAGAACAAAGUGACACCUAAUCUCAAAUGUAUCCACAUCGUACCUAUCUGCAAUCUGUAAGAGCCUCUGCGGUCUAAACGUUCCCUCAGCAUCAAUAUACAUCGCCUUUCCCUCUCCACCACCUUGAUCCAAUGGGAGCUGAUCAUCAAGUCAAAAUUCCUCAGAAGUCAGAAACAUGUCCAUUGAUAGAAAUAAACUAAAAGAAUCCAUGGCCAAAAAUAGUUCUAUGAUACAUGUUUAAGCUGAACUCGAUAGCAAACGACAUUUACAGAAAUGGAAUGAGCGACUCACUUGGCAGGUAACGCAAAGUGUGUGACAAAGCUGUGUUUUCCCAGAACGGAACUCCCCAUAGAUUUCAGUUAUGGAUCCUGUCUCGAUUCCCCCUGAAAAAACAGUGUAAAAUCUAAACUAAGAAAACCAUAAAUGGCAAUACAAUGGCAAAGGAAGCUUCAAUCAAACUCAAAAGCUCUACGAGAAAGCAACCUUCCAGAAUCUUGUCAAGUUCCCUUGACCCAGAUGUUAAUUGAAUGAUCUCUAGCCUCUGAGCAUGAAGUUGGCCAGCGCUUGUGAAACCCAAUGGCACAAUCUUGGAAGCUAUUGAGAAUGAAUCAAGUCAAAUAAAGAGGCAGACAAAACAAGCAAAUGGAAAAAUGGAAAAUUAUGAACAGACGAAACAAACAGAACAAAUUACAUGCCUGCUUCAAUAAUUUUAUCAACUUUAGCUUCACUUAUGCCUUUGAUUUGAAGCAGUUCUUUUCUGGGAGAGUAUGCAACAGACUCAACAGUACACAAACCAGCAUCUUUAAGCUUCUUUACGUCCAUUGCAGCAAUUCCCGAUGCCUUUAAUACAUAAAAAAUGCUUAAAACUCUAAAAUCGUUACUGGGAAAUGAUAAAUCCCAAAUCAAAACACGACCCAUGUAACUAAAUUCGAGGACAAAUAACUUAAUCCUACAAUUAGAAACGAAAUCUUGAAUUCAAAAUUCAUUGAACAUUUGGGAACCGAUGAAUACAACAAAAAGAAAAGAAAAUAAACCCUAAUUUUCGUGAUGCAGUAGCAUAAUGGGUACCUGAAGCUGCUCAACGGGAAAAGGGCCGUGCUGAAUUUCAUCGGCUUCCUCUUGUUCUUCAGAGGGCUUCUGGUUUCUUUGGCGCUCCAUGAUCAGAUACUGAGGAAUCGUCCGACAAAUGAAAGAAUCUGUUCAGUACAAUUCCGACCCACUACCCAGAACCAAAAGAACAAUGGAAAUUGUACAGUGGAAGUGAGUUGAAGCAAAAAUGGUGGAGGGAAUUUGGGAAAUUUGAAGAUCUGUAGGGGCGCCAAAAAGAGUGGAGAGUAGAGAAGUGGCUUACCCGGGAAGUUUCGCGAGGAGAGUGAUCAAAAAUUGGGCCGAGACUUGGACUGAAUGGUCCAAUGACUAUUGCUAUUUGAGCCAAUCUUGGAAAACCCAAGAGCCCAAAUAUUACGGCCCGUUUGGUAAUGAUUCGGCUUGAUUAGAUGAUUGUGAAGAAAGUAAAAACAAAAGAUAUUCUUUUGGUUUAAUUAUAUUUGAUCUUUGUAGUUUGAUCAAAGUUAGAGUUUAUUCCUUAUCAUUUUUAAUGUAGAAUUUCGUAUUUGUUGAUUCGUUUGUUUGAUAAUGUUUUCAUUUUCGUUCUCCGUUUUUUGUUUUUUAUCUUUUAAUAACUAAAAAUAUGAAUAAAUUACCUUAUAAUUAUUUUUAAUUAUAAUAAAAAAAAUAUACUUUGAGAACUUUUUAACCUAUUCAUUUGGAGACUAAAAAACUACAUUUUUAAGACUCAAUCCAAGAUGUACCUCUUAAAAUUUUGAUGACUAAAAAGCUAUAUUUUAAAUUUUCAUUGAUCAAAGUCGCAUAGUUUUCAAAAUCCAAAUGGCCAAAAAAUAAUUAUCUCUUUUAGUGAUUUUUUAGUACAACAAAUGUAGGAUGGGGAAGAAUAAAAUUUUGAUCUCUUUAAGGACAAAAAUUAUGUCAAUUACUACUGAAUUAAAAUUCAAUUACUCUUUUAGUGAAUUGAGUAACAAGCAUGAUAUAUAUUUAUUUUUUCAAAGGUAUUGAAAUGUUAAAAUGAGAGAGACAUCACUGUCGAUAUCGAAAUACAAGCAAACCGCAAAAAAUACCACAAAACAAGAAAACAAACAAGUAAAGUAACUUGAUACAUAAGGAGAAAAGUUGGUUGGGCAUAUGUGAUUUCGGGAGGUAGGGACCAUAUAUGACUCAUGUAGACUUGGCUACGAGAUUGAGCAUGUUGAUGGACCAAAAAUGGUUGUUUGGCUAUUUGCUACAUAAACCCAAAUCACACCAUUACUAUUAAAGGUUUUGUCUAAUAUACUCAUUUUACAUGUCAGUUAUCUAGAUUAAUUAAAAGUAUAUUCACUUAAAAAUUUAUGUAGGGAAGAUUUUGAGCAACGUUCAAUACACGUAUUCUCAGGUUAGUUCAUCUUAAAGGAGAAACCAAUGAAAAAUAAUGGUGUGGUUGUUUCAAAAUACUUCAAAAGUUAAAAGGUUUAUAGUAAAAAAGUUUAAACAAUAAAUAUAUAAAUGAGAACUAAGAAUAUAGUUGAAACUUAUUAAUCUUCUUCAUUUUGUACCACCAUUUGAAACAAAGUCAGCUAGGUAACACAACUAAUUUAGUCACGGUAAGUUUAGUUUAAGUUCAAUUUGAUCACAAUGAUAUACAGAUGGUUAGAUCUCUUAAUCAUUCUUAGUGUUGCAUUUUUUUAUAAGUUCAUCAAUAUGUGGAUGAGGAUUCGAACUUAUAGUUUCUUGAUCGAUAAUAUAUACUUAAUGUUGCAAUUGUUACCUUUAUCAAAUACUUGAAUAACUCGUUUGUUAAUUAUGGACAGUAAACUAACAUCUUCACUUUUGCUAUUGGUUAUUGUUAUAGGUAAGAGAAAUAUUGCUUAGUAUUUGGCCUUACUGGGAUGGUCUAAUAAUAGGUUAUUUUCAAAGAGAAAUGAGUUGUUUUGCUAAGUAUGAAUGUGCACCAAUGGACGACCAUGAAGGAGCUAAAAAAACCCCACUUCAUAAGAUCAACAAGAAUCACGAAGAUUAAUAGGGUAGUCGGACGUACUUACUGUAUGUAUAUGUAUGUGUUUGGUCGGCCAUGGAUCUUGAAGAGGUGACAAUCAUUCGAUAAAAUUAUAUCUAAGCCAUUGGUAUACUUGACUCCGCUAGUAAAAUAAUCUGAAUGAUUCAUAAUAGUUUGAUUAAUGAUCUCAAAAUUAAUUAAAGAAUGACGGAUAUGAAACCAUAUUUCUACAUAAUCAAUAAGGAUUCUGCAUUUGAGAUAAAUUGAGAGUACUUUAACUUCUCAAUUUUAUUAGUUAUCUAAUUUAUUAAUUCUCCGUACUAUUAUAAAUUUAUGGUUGAUAUCAAAUUUUAAUAUCAAUAAUUAUAUUAAUUUUUAAAUCGAUAACAAACUUAUACAUAACAUUUUUUUUGAAUCAAAUUAGAAGAAAUCUAAAAUUUACAUUUCAAAUUUGCUAGGAUGAAAAACUUUUACCCUUUUUGUGACUAACUUAUUACCACAUCACAUAUUUUUAUUUAUUAAAUUCCCCUGUACAAAUAAAUUUAAAGUUCAUACUUUCACAUUUUCUACUAAAACUUUUAUCGUUUUUUGUGGCCAACUUAUUGCCACAUCACAUAUUUUCAUUUAUUAGAUUCGUCUCUACAAAGAGUAUGAAAAUGCAUUUCCAUAUUAAGAAUCUAAUGAAAAAAAAAAAGUAGACAAUGCAUUUCCAUGUUAAGAAUCUAAUAAAAAAUACUUUUUGAAAUAAUUUCAAAAGUUAAGUUGAGAAUAAAACUUUUAAAACAAUGAAUACGUAAUUGAAGUCUAUCGUAAACUUUAAGGAUAUAAUUGAAAUCAAUCAAAGUUGUGUGUACUACAAUUUUACAAGUGAUUGCUACGUUAUAUUUUAAUACAAAAUUCAAUAUUUUAUGUUUUAUAAUUUUAUUGAUAAAACUAAUAAUCAAUUCAUUAAAUGUAAAACAAAAGGUUCAUGUAAUUACUUAUUGUUAUCUAAUAUAUGGUUUAAUUAAUUCAUUGACUCAAACAAAUGAAAUAAAUAUAUGUUUACCUUAGUCGUUAAUUAAUUUAAAAUAAUAUCCAUAAUUAAACAAUUGGUGUUUGAGGUACACAACAGUUAAAUUUGAGUUUAAAAAUUAUAUUUAAGAUAUAGAGUUGUUCGUAUAUCAUUUUUAUUUUUUUAUUUUAUAAUAUAUACUAUGUAGUUAGAAAUUAAAAAAAAAAAAGUAGUAAAAGUAGGUCUGAUGGCUAGAAAUUUGAUUAAACCGUCAAAAUUAAUAUAAGAUGGAAUAUGAAUUUAACUCAUUUUGUUAAUUUGAAAUGAACCUAAGUCCAUGUGGAUCCAUUUGGAUUGCAUUUUAAGAAAAAUAUUUUUUAAAAAAUACAUUUUCUAAAAAACUUGAUUUUGUAAAAUGAGUUUAGAAUAUAAAACUUACAUGUUUGCUUUGACCUAUUUAUAAAUGUUUACGGGCAAAAUUGUGUUUGGUUUGUCCUAUACUAAUAAUGUUAUAUAUAUAUAUAUUAAAUUACUAUAAAAGACUAUUAGAUAUUAUCAAUUAAUUUCAUAACGAAAUACACACAUUUAAAAAAAAAAAUCAAAAAUACUUUUAAAAAUUAAUCGUAAAUUAUUAAUUUUUUAAAUACUUGAAACUAAAUAUUAAUUUUAUUAUUAUUAUUAUUAUUUUGGACAAUUCAAUUUUAAAAGAAGUGUAAAUACAUAACUACAUAAAAAAAUUUAAUUGAUUUCCAACAACAAAAUAAAAAUAAGAUAAAUAACAUUCUUAAUUCAUUUUCAUUUCACUAACCGAACGAACAUAUUCUUUAUUAACGUCUUCAUAAUUUCUUUCACAUAUGUUAAAGCGAAGUAUAUUUGGUUGAAAGAGAAGCAUUUGUAAAUCUCUAUAUCUAAAUGUAUACGAACACAUUGAAAAAAUAUGUAAAUUAUUUAAAAAAGAAAAAAAAAACAACCGAGUGAAAAAUAAAUAGUAAAAAGAAUAGAAAAAAUGGAUUAUUUUAAAAAUUAAACACUUAAAAAAUCAAUCCAAUACUUAAAUUUGAAUUUUUCAUUUUUUUAAAAUUUGUUGGGAUAAAUCUUAAAAUAUGUACAAAUUUAAUUAUAGGUAAAAUUCAUAUUAUGUCCAACAUUUAAAUUUGAAAUAUAAUUAUAAAAUAGACUUUGUAAAAUGUGAAAUUUGAUUUGGGAUGAAACUUUGGUCGUACCAAUUUCACAUCGAUUCAAAUUGAAUGGAAUUUUAUCUAGCUUUUUGUUUGGUUUAAUUUCAUAGAGCAUAAAAGAACCAAACUUAUUUGGAAAGAUUUUAAAUUAGAAAGUCUGUCAAAAGAAUAAUUUAGUACUUUUAUCGAAAAUGAGAGAUAUAGCAACGUUUUUAGGAAUUAUUUUGAAAAAUGGCAAAACCAUUUUUUCUUUUGAAUUUUAGUAAAGAAUAUUUUUUUGCACUGUGCAUGAUAUUUUAUAAAAUACCAAAGUACCCAUCAUUCAACUGUAAUUAUUUCGUUUAUACGUUGUAAUUAAUUUUGUCAUGCAUUUAGCAACUCAUAUACAACUUUCUUUUCUUCAAAUAACAUUCAUUCAAUCACAAAAACAACUAAAUUAUUAUUUUGAAUUAAAAUAUUCUCAGGCUCUUUUUAGUUAAGUGAUAACUUGCUUAUUAGUUUGUUUUUCCAUGUUUUUUAUUAAAUUCUAAUUAACUUAUUCUAAAAAUAUAGAAUUAUAUAUAUAUAUAUAUAUAAUUACUUCAAUAUGAUUCAUUUAUACCACGGUCGAAAUGAAUUAAAAUUAGAAAACAAUUAUAUUAAUUGUGUUCAAAAUAACUUUUAAACAAAAACACUGUUCAUUUAACUUAAUAACAUUAAUUAAAUUAAUUUGUAUAUCAACGUUGGUUUAAAAAUGUAGUUGAUGUAAUUAUUUCAAUAUAUUCUGUUAUUAUCAAAAGUGUUGAUUGUGUCAUUAAUUUGUGAUAUACAAUUAUGAAUUUAUCAAGUCUUUCCAAUAUAAUUAAUUUGUGAUAUGCUGUAAGUAUAUAAUUAACUUUGACGUGUUAAUAAGGUAGAAACCCCUAUAACUUCUUCGGGAUUUAAAAGAUAUCAACUUUAUUCAUUUUUUAUUUCAAAAUAAUAAUAUUAUUAAUUUUUAUUGGCUAAAUCUCUAAUUUUUUUUUAAUUUCAAAAUACUAACCUUUUCGUCACCCUUUUUUAUUUCAAAAUAACAUAUUAGAUCUUAAUUUAUUUUUAAAUUUUGAAUUUUGUAUUUGAAAAUCAAAAUUAGUUUUAUAUUAAGAUCUCAACCUUUUUAUUUUUAUUAUAAUUUCAACCAUUUUAUUUCAAAAUAAGUUAGAAUCUUUAAACCUUUAAUAAUUUAGAAAUUAAAAUUAGUUUUCAUAUUAUAUCUUAAUUUAUUUUUUAAUAUUGAUUUUUCCCCAAUAAAAUAGGCUAUGAUAUUGUAUUUUUGGAUAAAAUCUCCAAAAUUUCAUAUACAUUUUAUUAAAUAAAUAAUAUUAAUUUAAAAAAUAAGUUAAAAUUUCCCAAUAGACAAGGAAGAUAAAUUUUGUAUUUUUUUUUAUUUGAGUGAAUGUUUUUAUUUUUCCACCCAAGCUUUACCGGUUGUAAACUUGAAAAUCAAGGAUGGAAGAUGGAAAAAUGAAAAGAUAGUGUUUGCGUGUUUCAAAUGUUUAUAUUAUUCUUCUUGAAAAUACAUGAUGAAGUUGAAGAUGAAAUUUAAACUUCAAAUGGAUGAUGGUGGAGAUCGGAUUCUGCUCCCUCGAAGAAGAUGAGAUAAAAAAAAAGAGAAAUGGAAAGUGGAGACGAAAGAAGAUGAAACUAAAACUUUAAAUGGAAGAGGAUGGAGAUUGGGUUUGCUCGAAGAUGAGAUAAAAAAAGAAAAAUGAAAAGCGGAGACAGAUGAAGGAAGAUGAGAAACAAAAAACAAAAAAGAAAAAUUGUUGCAGCGGGUUAUAACUUUAACUUGACUAGUAUGUAUUAAAUAUUUAUUAAAAUGUAUUUAUUAUAUUUUAGCUCCAAUAAAGUAAUCUACACUUAUUUUGGGUUUUUCAAAUUCUUAUUUACAAUUUUUUUUUUUUCAUGUUACCAUUUCUUUUUAAAAAAAGUGGUUUUGCUGUUUUUCAAAAUGGCAACUUUAAAGUUGCUAUUGUUCUAGUUGACCCUUAUUUUUAAUAUUAAUAUUCUCUAAUUUGUGAAAUUAUUAAAAUAAAAAAUACUAGAGGAUGAAGGUAAAAAAAGAAAUAUAAACUCAUCCAACAUGGUGUAAAGUGAACUAAACAUGAUUCAACUCAAAUUAGUGGAUCAAAUAACAUAUUUUAAAUAAAAAUUUAUAUAAUUACAUUUAUAUUUACCUCCAUUAAAUAUUAUACACAUCAUUUUAUUUAAGAGGUUCAAUCUUCAUUACAUAUUUAUACGAUAAUUUUUGAAAAAUUGUCCGAAAUAAUCUAAAAAAGUUUCCAUUCACAAUAAGUACACUUUUGAACAACCCAUUAAAAGUAAGUUUUUUCUAAUAGAAUAUCGGAAGAACAAUAAAAACUACUUUAAUGAAUUUUUAAAAAGAUUGGAUGAAAAUGUUUGACAUUUAUUUAUUUUUUGACUAUUUUUUAAAUAUAGCAAAAUAAACUAAAAUACUUAUAAAAUAUGUAUAUUUUUUAAAAUAACAAAAUAAAUUAAAAUAUUUAUAUGUUAUAACAAAAUAUUUGGAUUCUAUCAAUGUCACCAAUAGAAAGAUACACUAACUAACAAAAUGUUUGUUAUUGUAAAAUUUCAAUUUUUGCUAUAGUUGAUAAAUAUUCAAUCAAAAUUACUAUUUUUUUUUUAUCAUUCUACUACAAAAUAUCACCAUAAGUUUACAGUAGACUACCGUCUAUAUUGUUGUAUUAAAAAUAGAUUAAGAUAUGGUUAUAAUUAUAAAUAUUUUGAAGAUAUUUGUAAUUUAAAAUAAUUUAUUUAUUACUUUUACCAUUUCCGAAGAAUUUUCAUCGUAGUAGAUAAUUUUUUAUUUCUAAAGACUAGAGUUAAAUGAGUUGGCAAAGCACGUGAUAAAUUUAGUUACAAAACACGCGAUAGGUCGUUUCUAUAUUAAUAUAUACAGACGUGGACAAAUAGAUCACGUAAGCAAGCAAGUGACCUGUCAGCAAAAUCCAAAACCCAAAAGGAAAUAAACAAACAAAAAAGCUUUAAAAUUUGAAUAUUUUAAACAAUACGUUAUUAGCUGGCGGGCUCCACCCACCAACCUCCACGUGUCCAAAAGGCUGAUUUUGCUCAAUUUAUCCUCAUCCAACUUCUUUUGUCCUAUUAAAUUAGAAAGUUUUUUAUACUAACACGUUAAUAAUAAUAUCCGAUUUUAGUCGGUAUAGUUUUUUCAUAAAAUUAGAUCGACUCUAUCUCACUUGUUCCAUGUAAAAAUAUCGCGUGUGGCUUCAAAAAUUAAACGAGCAACAACUACCAACAAACAAACAUAAAUAUCACAUUCGUUUCAUUCUUUCUAUUUCAAAAUAUAUAUUACAUAGUUCAACAACAAAACAUCAUAAGUCAUAGCGAAAAAAGCAUAGAGACAUAAUAGUCCCAAAUUCGAGGUUAACAUUUUAUUUGUGAGCGAAAAGCUUAAAAGAAUAUUAUGAUCCCACUCAUUUUGAUGGUUGAGUGCUUAAAGACAUAGCUUGUGUUGAAUGCUAUAAAAGGCAAGAUUCAACUUUUUUAUAAACUUUUUGUCGUUAAUUAUCGUUUUUUCGAAUAUUGUAUUUUAUCACUUGCAAAUUAUUAUUAAACUUUUUAAAUGAAAAAGGAUAAACUUAAGAUUUAUUGAAAUUAAAAAUAAUUUUAUGGCACGAACACUAACUUUAAAUAUUGAAAAACCAAAACAUAUUUUAAUCAUAUAUAUAUAUUUAUAUUAGCCAUUAGGGAACCAUUCUCUGUGUUUUGCUUACGUGGAAAACGGUAAGUAGAUCAUAGCACUAUGGAGCUUCAAGAUAAUCUGACACGUGGCAAAUUUGAAUCGUACGUGUGCAUAGCCACCUAAUUAUUUCUUAUUUCUUUUAAAUUAAUCACAUCUUCAUUGUUCAUACACAAAAAGAAAUCAAAGUCGCAAAACUCUUCUUUUUCUUCCAUAGCGGACGCAUCCACAAGCGAUUGAAACAUCCGUGCACUGCAAGUAAUCUUCUCCCAACGCAUUUGUCUCAUCACGAAGCCUUAUCUCUCGUCAGUUUCUGAAAUCUCUUCACUCAGCAUUAUUGAAUAUUCAUUUCAUUUCGUUUCGUUUCGUUUCGUUUCGUUUCAUGUGGUUUUCUCUAUGCGAUGCGGUUCUGAUUAUUUACUGUACAGCUCUUUAGAGAUUCAAACGCGAAAAUCUGAUCUGGAUUUGUUGAUUUCGGUGCUUCGAGUUUUGCGCUGUGGAUAGGAUACGAUUGAUUUUACUCAUUUGGUAAUGUGAGCUGUGUUUGUGUUUGUUUGUAUUUUUCUUUCUCCUCUUUUUGUACGUUUUUUUUAUUUUUCGAGGAUAAAGUGGAGUAGGAGACGAAUCGUUUAUUAAGUUUUCAGGAGUUUUGUUUUUCGUUUGCUUAAUUGUGGGAAAAAGUGGUCCGGUUGCUAUGCAUGUAUAUGUGUUUGAAGGGGGGAGUGCAUGUGGAAGAUAGCGUGUUGAAUGUUGUGCAUACUUUUGAAUCGGAAUGAAAAUGACUUUUGGUAAAGUAUUGCAAAGUAAAUUUAAACGUGCAAUGGCAUUAAUUGUAAGAGAAUCUUGAUAAAGAAGAUGAAAAGGAAUUUAUGAGGUUUUUGAUAAGCUGCUAUUUUUGAGCUUUACUUGGUAGCAGUUCAUUAGUAUUGGUGGAAUGUAUAUGAAAGUGAUGAUUGUUGUUUGAUUAUGCCUACUGUAGUUGAUGCCAUGCUCGGGAACGGAGUUGUUGGGAUUCUAUCUGAGUCUUGUAACAAGUGGGAAAGAAGGGUGCCUCUAGCACCGGAACACUGUGCUCGACUUCUGCAUGGAGGAAAGCAGAAAACUGGAAUAUCUCGUAUAAUUAUUCAGCCAUCAACCAAACGCAUCUAUCAUGAUGCACAAUACGAGGAUGUAGGCUGUGAAAUUUCAGAGGAUUUAUCGGAAUGCGGUCUCAUUCUGGGUGUCAAACAACCCAAGGUGUGAUAAGUUCAUUUUAUUUACCUUUGCCCAUUUUGUUGAUUUAUAUUUCGAAGAACAGAUGAUUGAUUCAGGUUUUUUUGGCAGCUGGAGAUGAUUCUUCCUGACAGAGCAUAUGGCUUCUUCUCCCACACUCACAAAGCGCAAAAGGAAAACAUGCCUUUACUAGAUAAGGUACCACACCUGUUGGAUUUUUACUUGACAACUAUGCAUUCCUUUCGACAAAUAGUUGUUGGAUUUUUACUUGACAACUGUGCAUUCCUUUCGACAAAUAGUUGUUGGAUUUUUACUUGACAACUGUGCAUUCCUUUCGAUAAAUAGUUUUCUUCUAAUCUUCUAUUUGGCAUUCAGAUAUUAACAGAAAAGGCAUCAUUAUAUGAUUACGAGCUUAUAGUUGGAGAUCACGGAAAAAGGUUACUUGCAUUUGGAAAAUUUGCUGGCAGAGCUGGAUUUAUAGACAUUUUGCAUGGAUUAGGACAGAGUAUGCUUCAUUUCUGGAAUACUUUUUUAACGUUUGAUUUGUGAUAUUUUCCUGUCUAGUCAAUUCAAUUGAAAUAUACUUAGGGGUGAAGAGGGGAGGGGGUUUGUGAUUUUGAGUAGGCCGAGCCAAUAAAUUUAACUUAAUUCAUAUAUCUAGGCUUUGUUAUCAGUGAAAUUUGUCUUAUAGAAACCACAAGAAUCUAUCUAUGCUUCAAAUUCUCUUCAAUAAUUUGAUUCUGUAUUAGAGUGGUCAUCAACCAAAACUCAAUUUGUUUCUGCAUUUUAUGUCUUCUUCUUGCCCACUUCAAAUCUUUUAAAUUGAGUUUGAUUUUUUCCCUUUUACAUGCAAAACAUGGAGACAGUUGAAUGCUCUGUUAUAAUAAAUAAUGAUAAUAUCCCAAAAAAUGGUUAUCUGUGCAGGAUAUUUGAGCCUUGGAAUUUCCACUCCUUUCCUGUCGCUGGGUAUGUCAUACAUGUAUACAUCCCUGGCUGCUGCAAAGGCUGCAGUGAUAUCUGUGGGUGAGGAGAUUGCAACACAGGGCUUGCCACCGGAGAUUUGUCCAUUGGUCAUUGUGUUUACUGGUUCAGGAAAUGGUAUUAUAUAUUUUAAUUGAUUGACCUUUUCAAAAUUCAUAGUAUUUAGAGCUACAAAUCCACAAGCUGCUCAUGAUUGUUUUCUCCCUAUAAUCCCAACCCAAACUUUUAUGCACGACUAUUCAUAUUGGUUGAUUUUUUUGGUUAUAGAAAUAGAAAUUGUAUUAAUUCAUAAAACGUUUUGAGAAAAAUAAAAAUAUUAGAAAAUCAAGCAUUUAGAGUACUAAGAUAUAAGAAUGGUUCCAAAAUUUAAAUUUUUAUAGUUUUGGUUAAACAAAAAGUGAGAAAUAAAAUUCGUUUCUAGAUAAUUUAUCACUAUGCUUUUUCAUCAUAUGAUAUACAAACCUUCAUUUUCACCCAAAACCAGAGGAAGGGCUGACACUGCCCACAUGAAGAAUAUCCCACCUCCUGCAAACGUUGAGAAUUGAACUACCUCAAAAUCAACCACAGGAAUUAAACUUCGCCAUGUUAAAAUUUUAUCCAUUUUAUAAAACCCCCUUUUCACUGACUGAUACAAACAAAACGAAGUAGACUUACGAGAAUAUCUCCCUAGCCACAGCCAAUACACCUGAUAUAUUCACAUUAAAUAAUGGGAUUACCAUUACCCAGGCACCUUAACUAUUUUGAUUUUAAUACAAUUUUCCAAUCAAAGAAGCUAACUUUGGUGUAUUUUAUAAUCCAUUUUAAUAUUUUAAGACACUUUUCCAAUCAAAGAACUUUUUUGUUUGUUUGUUUGUGGAGAAUCAAAUAAUUGACCUUUGGGCUAGUAAUUGAUGCCUCAUCCACUAAGCUAUACUCAAUUAGCUUUAUAAGAAUAACCUUGUGAUCUUACAUACCAAAGAAGUUAAAAAGAGCAACAGACUGAAAGAAGACAGAUCCCAAAAAGUUUGUUACAGCUUUUUUGGGAAGUUGUAAACUUGUGCUUCAAUGAAAUUACCUUAUAUGGACAACCUGAAAAUAGGUCAAUUAGUUUUGGCAUAUACUAUCGACUGAUGUGAACUCCAAAAAGAAAAGCAAUAUCCUAAUAUGCAAAUACAUUUGUUUUCAAACUAUUGAAUUACUGACAGAUCAACUUUCAAGUUUCUCAUGCAAUUAUCUCAUAAAGAAAGUGACCGUUACAUUGGCUUGAAUAAGUCCUCUAUAUGUUUUUUGAAUUACUGAAUCACAGUUGAUUGACUUUCAAGUUUUUCAUGUAUCAAUUAUGUUAUAAAGAUAGUGACCGUUGCAUUGGUUCGCAUACAUCCUCCACGAAUUUGAUCUCCCUUUGAUUCCUGUGCAGUUUCUCAUGGAGCACAAGAAAUUUUCAAGCUUCUUCCUCACACUUUUGUGGACCCGAGUAAACUUCCAGAAAUUUGUGGGAAGGUGGGUUCCAGGUACCCCUUCAUAUAUCCUAUUCACAAAUAAUUUAACAUAGUUGUCUGUCAUUGAACCAAUUGAUUGUUGUCAAGCAAGUUGAAAAUUCAAAGUUGGUGAUAGGUAAGCCAGCAUCAUUAGAUGAAGGUGUUGGCAGUAUUAUGGGUUCUCCUCCUCAGUCAUAUGCCUAUUAGAAACAUUGGUUACCCAACAUGUUGACUUUUCUUUAAUGGAACUGGGGAAUGCUGUGACUUGAUAAUGUAUUAUAACUUUUCUUAAAAAUCCAUAAUUCACAGUUCUUUCCUUUCUUUACUUGUCUUCACUCUUCCCCAUGCUUGUUGCUUCAUUGUCUAGUAUCUAUAUAAUUUUUCCCUCACAAAUUUUACCCCCAUGAGAAAUAGAUACAAUGAAUAAAUUCUUAAAUAAAAUUGAAAUCAGUUUUAAAAAGACUUGUCAUCUAUUUGUUUGACACGCAUUUGUAGUUCUUAGAAACCUUAAGCUACUUAAAAUUGAAGUUACAUAAAUCAUUGAAAAAAAUGUGAAAUUUGAAUUUCUUAGGACGACAACACCUUAUUUUUAGUGUCUUAAAGAAUUGAACAUCAAAUAUUUAAGAAUUUUAAUUGAUCAUAAUUACUUACUAUAAUUUUUUUGAUAAUUGGAGUAAAUGGCCUAGCUUUACUUUUCAUUAUUAUGUCAUUGGCUAUUUUGACAUAUUGGUUGCAAAAUGAAAAAUAAGGAAUUGAAAUCUACAACUUUUCCAUGUACAUAAUAUGUCUAUAAUCUCCUCUAUGAAUUCAGAUUUGUUUCAGUCUUUGUGGCUAUUCGUUCAUGACGUUAGAUGCUCUCUAUUAUGUUAAACAUCAUAUACCUUCUGCUACAUAGAUGCUUAUUUUCUGAUAUUGACUUUAAUACACUGAUUGGUAAAAUUAGCAUGUAGUGUUUUUAAUGUUUUUAUAAUUUUAUCGAAAAAUAUUCAUCAUUGGAACUUUGAUUUUCUUAGAAAAUAUCUAUCAUCAUUGUCCUCUUCAUUUUAAGGACGUUGAUCAUUUCACCUUUGGCAGUGACACAUUCAGGGAUAAUUUGAAUCAAGCAAGAUUCAAACUGACUUGUGGUUUAUUGCACUGUAUUCCAUGCUAAAGAAAUUUUCAAUGUCACACAAUGUUCAAGCAAUGCUUCUUCAAACUCACUAGCACUUUAACACGUUCUUGUUCUAUCUGGAGGAUGAUUUAUUUUUUUUGAGCUACUUUUAAAUACUUAAUGCUCAACAGUUUUUCUCCUGCUGUUCUUAGAAUGUGGAACUUUGCCAACAUGGAGCAACAAAAAAGAGGGUCUUCCAAGUAUUUGGUUGUGUUGUGAGUUGCCAACACAUGGUUGAGCACAAAGAUUCCACAAAAAAAUAUGAUAGAGUAAGUUUUUGUUCACCUUUUCUUUUGCUUGAGUCAAUUUGUGAUUGGGAUUUUGGAUCUUGAAAUUUUACUAUUUUCUUUUCAAAAUAUAAAAUAUACAAAAUAUCAGUCGCUUUUGCAUGGUAAAAUCAAUUGAUUAGAAAGUGGAUGGAUUGAUCAAAGAAGGGUCAUGUAGUUUCCGGACAAAUUUGCAACACAAAAAUCGUGUACAUACUAUGUAGAAACCACAGGGAUACAGCCACAUCAUUCUUCAAACAUUAGAACAUAAGUGUGGUAUAAUAAAGAAAAUAUGGAAUCGGUUUGUGAAAGUUAUUCAUGAUAUGAUAUGACUCCCCAAUGAUACAUCUGUUACACUUGUUGUAGUUAUAGGCUCUGAUGCUGUGGUAUUAUCAAAAUACCUCUGUUUGAAUCAGAAAGAUGCAAAGUGAGAAGUUUUAUGCCAUGAAUCUACUUUCAGUUGUGGAAAAUUAAUUCUUACGGGUUUUAUGUAGUCUCAUGAUAUAUUGCCAUUUAAAGCCUUUUGGCAUGUCCUUUCCCCAGAUGACUACAUUGCUUUAAGUUCUUACUUCCUGUAUCUAAGUUCAUUUGUGAACAUUCGGGUUUCCUACAAAGUCCCUUGUCUACAAUUGAGUGUUUCAAUGUCUUUGCAUGCCUUUUUCUUUGUAUGGGGUUUUGUGGGAGAAAAUGAACCUAAAUUUCAGUUCUUAUCUUGUUUUUCAGGUUGAUUACUAUGCUCAUCCAGACCAAUAUAGACCUAUAUUCCAUGAAAAGAUAGCUCCGUAUGCUUCUGUUAUUGGUAUGCUUUCUUUUCCUUAUUUCCUUGUUAACUUCAACUGAGACACAUUUACUCACAUCUUUUUGUUUUAACUGUCAUAGUGGAAGUCAGAUAUCUUUACCUUUUCUCAUUUUUUACUUUCUUUUCCAGCUUUCUGGAUCUUACUUGAAUAUAUAACCAUUCACUAUUAAUCUUUAUUCAAGAGACGAUCGGUUAUUUCGUAGCUACAAGCCUGCUGCUUAACUGAAAUUGAAAGGGGUGCAUUUUGCAUUUGCAUUUGCAUUUGCGGGCAACAUCUUUCAUUUCUUUUGUCCUAUAAUAUUUCUAGUCUUGAUGUGGCGUUUGUUUGAAUAUGUGUAUGUGCCCAGGCAUGUAUGCAUGUGAUUUUAUUAUUCCCAUAUCAAGUGUAGGUCGUCCAUUCAUUGUGCAGCCCUAGGUAUAAAAUUUGACGUUAUAUGAUGCAAAUAUUCUCACUUAUAUAAUGAAAAUAAACUUUCAGUGAACAAUUAUAUAAUGCUUCAUUACUGGAUGCUUGUACUGGAAUGAGGCAGGUUUCUGUUGGUUGGAUACAACAGCGCAUACUUAUCUUGCUACAUUUUGCCAAUUUCUUCGCUGUUUUGUAGUAAAUUGCAUGUACUGGGAGGGAAGAUUUCCACGGUUGCUGACCACCGUGCAGUUUCAAGAUCUAAUGAGAAGUGGAUGCCCUCUUGUUGGAAUUUCAGAUAUAACUUGUGAUGUAGGGGGUUCAAUAGAAUUCAUUAAUCAGACAACGUCAAUUGACUCUCCUUUCUUCCGGUACCUAAGAUUAUUAUCCAUGGAUGCAGAGUCUUUAGACAAUCACUCCCUCUCUAUCCCCUCUUAUUGUUAUCGUUAAUUUUAUUUAAUAAAUUCCAUAUUGCUUGAGGGUCCUAGAAAUUUGGUUGGCUUUCUGUUGUGGAUACUUCAGCGUCAUCGUUUUAUGUGCUUGAACGUGUAAAAAAAUGUGCACCUUUCAGAUAUGAUCAUAUUAGUGAUUUGUACCACCAUGAUUUGGAAGGCAAUGGUGUGAUAUGUUCAGCUGUUGACAUUCUUCCAACAGAGUUUGCCAAAGAGGUGAAUGGAACAUUUCUCUUUUCUGGGUAUUUAUUCCAUUGAGUUUUUUGUUUUUGUUUUUUUUGUGGUGGGGUUGGAGGGUGGGGGGAAGUAAAACAUGAAUACUUAAUUUAAUUGAUAAACUACUUUUAGUGUCUGUAACAAAUAUCAUAAUGUGCUCCCCCUCACCCUCUCCUCCUAUCCCCCAAGAGUUAUACCAUUUUAACUCAACUUUUAGAUUUUAACAUACAUAGUAUGUGACUGCAAAGAGGGAUAUUUUACUUUUUUUAUGAAUUUUUAAUACUCUUUGUUUAACAAUUUCUUUUAUUUUUGAAAGGCCUCCCAGCAUUUUGGAGACAUCCUAUCGACAUUUGUUGGCAGUCUUGCCUCUGUGGUUGACAUUUUAGAGUUACCCAUGCAUUUGAGGAGAGCCUGUAUAGCUCAUAGAGGGGCACUAACCUCCUUGUUUGAGUAUAUUCCACGUAUGCGGAAGUCUGAAUCUGAGUAUGCUUCUGUAUUCACCACCUUGCUAUUUCAUUUUGAGUUUUGUGUGUGCUCAUCUUCAGUUCACUCUAUAGUUGUGUGGUUCCUAGAUGACCAUGUGGAUUCUCUUGAAGUUGAUGUUGAAACUCAGUAUUUAAUGAACUUGACCAUACACAUGUCUAGAAAAAUUGUCCAAGAGCCUGAGAAGGCAUUUGACAUAUAAGUAUAACAGUGCAUCUUGAGCGCUUGUUUUCCCUUUUACAUAGGCAUCUAAAGAUUGUACUUGGCUACUAACGUAUAACUACUUUUUAAGAUCAUGUUUUAAUGGCUAAUGCUAUGCUUUAUCCUUUCCUUUAAUAACUGAAACUAUUUGAUGUAGAACUCGGGUAUUGUGGUCAAAUCCUUAAUUUAUUAUGAUUAGGAUUAGGAUUAGUUUAUUUGAUUUAUUAGGAUUAGAAUUAGUUUCUUUUAUUAUUUAGGAUUAGGAUUAAGUUUCUUUUAUUAUUUAGGAUUAGGUAGGAUUAGUUGACUUCUGCUAAGUUUCAUUUAUUAAUUAGGAUAAGGAUUAGGAUUAGUUUGCUUUUGCUAUAAGUAGUGUAGUUGUCUUCUUGUAUUCACAACUUGAAAACAUUAAUAAAAUUCUCUCAUUUGAGUUACAUCACUAUUAUUCUUAACCUUCAGAGAAUCUUCUGUGGAUAUUGCCAAUGGCCACUCCAACAAAAUGUUCAAUAUACAGGUAGGUUGCUGAAGAGUGUAUAUUAGAUAUUGUUUCUCAGGUUUGCCCAUAACCCACAAAUUUAAAUUCUAACUUUAUUUGUUCUUCUAGGUGUCUCUGAGUGGCCAUUUGUUUGAUCAAUUUCUAAUAAAUGAGGCCUUAGAUAUUAUUGAAUCAGCUGGUGGCUCAUUUCACUUGGUUCACUGUCAAGUGGGCCAAAAUGCAAAUGCUAUGUCACACUCAGACCUUGAAGUAAGCAGGCUCCCAACCCAGUUUAGUGUGUCAUAUUUAAUUUUUUUUCCUUUCGAAAUCCUCAUUUGAGGUCAAGCAGUACUAAUGCCUGUAUCUCUUUUUUUUUUAACUAACUGUAUCUCAUUUCUUAGAGUUCUUUGAUUGAAUUGAACUGGAUGUUUUCUCCUUAUUUCGAUAAAAAGGGGUUUAUACUUGCUGGAAUCAAAUUCUUGUAAAGUAUGUAUCAAUUAAAGAUCCAGGAUAUGCUGCAUUUGGAUUAUAUUGGUGUCUCUGUUAGUAGUUCUUAAUGUUUUUUUCAGGUGCUCAGGGAAAAAACAUUGUUUUGAAAGUAUACAAUUGCAAUUUAUUCAUCAAUUUGUAUUCUUACUCUUAAAGCCCUCGUUUGCCAUUCAAAUUUAUUAUUUUGUGUGAUCUUCCAGUCUGAUAAACCAUUUUUCCCCUUUGGAACUGUAAUCAGUUGGAUAAGUUUCCUCCAUGCCUAUGCAGACGUUAAUUUGAUUCAUGUUUCCUUAAGUGAUCAUCCUACUUUUGGCAGAUUGGUGCUGAUGAUGUAGUGAUUUUGGAUAAUAUCAUUCAGUCUCUAAGUCGGAUGGCUAAUCCACAAGAAAAUCUUGAUCUCGUAAAUAAUGAGACAAACAAGAUUUUUCUUAAGGUUGGUAAGAUUCAAGAGAGUGGCUUUAAAAGUGAAGAUGUAAAAAGGAAGACUGCUGUUCUACUUCUUGGAGCUGGCCGGGUUUGUUAUCCAGCUGUUGACCUCCUAGCAUCAAGUGGGAAUUCAUGUUGUCAGUUCUGGCGAACUUUUCUUGAACAGUAUGCUGAAGACUGGAAUGAUAUUGAAGUAAUCGUUGCUUCUCUCUACCUAAAGGAUGCAAAAGAGGUAAAAACUUCUAUAAUUGCAUUUAACCAAUGUUACUACUAGAAUAUUAUGGCUUGACACUGCAUGGUAAGAGUAACAGGAUCGGACAAAUGGGCUUUGUGAAAAAUGUGCACGCUCCCCUACUUUGAUAGGGCACUGUUCAUUUCAUGCAUAUCAUACAAUUUAGCUUACGUGCAUUUGAUCUGUCUUUGAAUACUAUUCUAGAUAACUGAAGGCAUCGCUAAUGCAACAGCAGUUCAGCUUGAUAUUUCGGAUUCUGAGAAACUUUUUAUGUAUAUCUCACAGGUACGCACUUUCACAUUUUCUCUUAAAAAUAUGCUUUACCGUGAGAAAUAUUUUCAACGAAUAAAAAAUAAAAAAUAAAAAAUGCAUACAUGUUGAUUUAUGCUAUAAGCAGUGAGUUGCAGCAACUUGCCAUUCAUCAGUUUUUGUUUGUCUGACUCGUUUUCAGGUUGAAGUUGUUAUAAGUCUGCUUCCACCAAGUUGCCAUCUUACUGUAGCAAAUGCAUGUAUUGAGGUACUAUAUAGUGUUAAAGCAUAUGAUUUUUUAUAUAAUAUACUUCUUUCUUUUCAUCCAGGAACCUUUUUUUUGCUACAUAGCGUUAAAUGAUAUAGUUUUCAGCUCAUAUCUUUGAGUUUAUUAUAUUUGAUGAGCAUUGGAGAAGAAGGUUGAGUUCAACAAUAUCAUGUGGGUGGGGGGAUUUGAACUUGUCAUCUUUUGACCGAUAAUAUAUGUCUUAAUCAGUUAAGCUAUACAUGACAAUGUUUGAUGAAGUUAAGGAAUUAAAUUAUGUAAAAAUGUCAACCUAGAUUUUUUUUCUUUGAAUAUUUAUUUUAUUAUUUUGUUUUUUUUACGUAAUUUAAGAAAUUCAAAGAUGUUUCAAUCUUUUUGUGGAUAAUAAGUUCAGAUUUUUGUACUUUUGAAGUUUGCACCACAUGAAAUUAGAAAAAAUAAAAUUAUUUAAAAAUGUUUGUGCAAGACAUCAAUAAGGAAAGAGUAUAUCCUUUACAAGGAUCAUUGGCAGUAGGGAGUUGAACCCAAGGAAGGGAGAGUUUAUGUUACAAGAAACUACUAGAAAGUGUAAUGCAUACGACAACAAUUGUUGGAUUAAGGGUCAUGGAUUAAAUGCUUCAAUUGUAAGUGGGGGAUUUGGGUGUGGAAUUGUCUGGGAUUUUCUAACCUCUCUAUUUAAUCAAUGGAAAGCCUGAGGUUCUUUUUUUUUUUUUUUUUUUUAAAAUGAAUAGUGUCACUAGUGUAACUCAAAUGAGAGAAUUUUAUUAAUAUUUUGGAGUUGUGAAUACAAGAAGUAUUUAUAGCAAAAUUAAACUAAUCUUAAUCCUAAUUAAUAAAAGAAACUAAUCCUAAUCCUAAUUAAUAAAAAAAACUUAAUCCUAAUGCUAAAUAAUAAAAGAAACUAAUUCUAAUCCUAAUAAAUCAAAGAAAUUAUUCCUAAUCCUAAUCCUAAUAAAUUUUAGGAUUUUACCAUAAUACCAAUACCCUAUUCCUACUACAUCAGUCAUUCAGGCAAACAAUCCUUCUCUUCAACUCAUUUUAUUUUGUAAUGAUUGGUGUUUUUGAGAUGGAUAGAGGUUUUUGGGUUUUAGGGUGAGGAAGGAGAGAGUUCACAAUCACAUCAACUGUAAUUGGCUAUCUAUGCUGUUUUCUCGUGCUUCAGAGUCCAAGAAUCUGAAUAUUGGGUAAAAUGUCAAGAGAGUUCUAUUUGUAAGGAUAAUUGCUAGUUGUUAUUAUUUAACUUUAAAUUUGAUCUUGUCUUAUAAGGAAGAAUUGUGCUUUUGUUUCUGAUCUUAGACAUGAAGAAACUAUUCAUUGUACUCUUUUUUUUCUUUUUUUUUUUUUCUGUAUUCUAAUUUAGACAUAAUUUCUUUUGUUUGCAGCUUAGGAAGCAUCUAGUCACUGCUAGCUACAUUAAUGAUACCAUGACAUUGCUCGAUGAAAAGGCAAGGAAUGCUGGUAUAACAAUUCUUGGGGAGAUGGGUCUGGAUCCUGGAAUAGGUAGUCUAAACCUUUUCUUCUAGAUUAUCUUAACGGCCAAUGCUAUUGAAACAUGGCCUCGCCAUGUAAUCUUUGGAAUUGGACUAAGUUUUGCUGGCUAAUCUAGAUUUUAAAAUUACAUACUUCUAUGGUUAUAGAACAGUUAGAGUAGAUAGAAUUCUGGUACAAUAUCAUUCUUCUUUCAUUGACUGACAAUUUUCUUUCAUGUACCCUUUAACAUUUGGUUAUAGAAGAUUCUGCGGCAUAUGAAUCAUUAAACAUAGAUAACAAUACAUCCCUGACAACCAUGCUUACUUUUGCAGCAGCUCUUGACUUCUACCUUCCAAAGAGUAACAUCUCUUAGACUUUAAUGUGGAGGCCCUCCAAUAACAAUACUAUUUGUCCUACAAAGAACCGUGGAAAAUGGAUUUCCAAGAAAAUUAACUUUCAUUCAAAUUGCUUAUUACAUUACUUGUAUACCUUCUUCAUUAAUCUUUUCUUAUUGCAUUAAAUUUCUUUGAUAUGUAAACUUCUCUACUUGAUACACAUGAUGAUGUAAUCAGCAUGCAUCUGUUAAUUAACUAUAAUUUUUAUAAGUAGAACUUCAUAAUGCAGAUUAGAGAAGAUAAAAAAGAAAAGAAACAUCUAGUCUAAAUCAGUUAUUGCGUAAGCUGGGUACUAGUUUUUUUUUUAAAACGAAACCCCUCUUUUUUUCUUUUUCUUCUUUUUUUUAAAGAAAGACCAGAAAAACCAUGCAAGUGUUGACUUUUCAAAAGGUGAAGCGUGGAAAGGGAUAUGUCUCUGAUAAAAUCACAUCUGAAUCAUAGUUUGUGUAAAAUUAAGUAGGCAGACUACUAAGAUAGAAAAAGACUUCUAUUCUGUAGUUCACUAUGUCAGUAGUCCACAAGUUUAAAAAAAUCAGUGGGGCAGAGCUGCAAAAUGAGUAGCAGAUUUAUUAAUUUCUUAAAGGCCUUUGACUUCGUGAUAUGAGAUAAUAUUUUUAUGUAACUUUUUUUUUAAAUUUAUUUGUCCCUCACAAUUUGUGCUUUUAUGGACCGGGCUUCAGAUCAUAUGUUAGCAAUGAAGAUGAUCAAUGAGUCACAUCUCCAAAAUAGGAUAGUGAAGUCCUUUAUAUCAUACUGUGGGGGAAUUCCGUCUCCAGAAUCAGCAAACAAUCCAUUAGCAUAUAAAUUCAGGUACUUCUUUGAACGAUCUGUCCUAAUUAAUUAUGAACUUUGAUGACAUUUUUCCAGAAUUAAAUUUUAAACAGUGUUGAUAUUUUUAAGAAACUCUCCAAUACCAAAUAUUCUACGACUAAUCGUUGUGAAAAUGGGUCAUUUCUCAGUGUCACUUAUUUUAUAUCUAUUCAAUGCAUCAUCAAAUCUUAUGGAACUUCAGUAACAUAUCUUACUUUUUGAAAUAUGUCAGUUGGAAUCCUGCUGGGGCUAUUCGAGCUGGAAGCAAUCCAGCUACAUACAGAUACGAAGGAAAAACAGUAAAAGUUGAAGGUAAGCUGUCGACACUUCGCAAAAAUUGAGUCAACGAGCAUAUGUUGACUCUCACUGUAUUUAUCAUUUUCUUGCUUUCAAGAAAAUAUGCCUUGUGUUAAUGGAGUAUACAACUUACGAGCUUUGAAUACUUUAGUUUAGAUAUUUAACAGUCUAACUCGUGAAAUUUUUUGUAUUCUGUUCAAAGUUAUAGUGUUAAGAAGAUAUAUUAGCAGUAAACCUAACAUUUUUCUUAUUAAUACUUCUUGAUAAAAUAAUUUACUCGACCUUUUCAAACUGGCAGGAAAGGAUCUUUAUGACUCUGCUGUGAGACUACGCUUACCUGACCUUCCAGCUUUUGCUUUGGAGUGCAUUCCAAAUAGAAAUUCCUUAAUUUAUGGGGACGUAUAUGGCAUUGGGCAGGAGGCAUCAACCAUAUUUCGUGGAACCCUACGCUACGAAGGCAUGUUCUCUCAUAGCUUUUAAACAUGUUUUCUUGAAGAGACUAAAAACCUAGAUUGACAUAUCUUGAGGAAAUCUGGUUAACUAUGAAAGCUAAGCUGAGUGUAACCAUAAAUCUUGAGAAAAUCUGGUUAAGUAUGAGACACAGGUCUAUAUGAAAAACAGCUGUUACAUUUUCCAUGCUUUUGAGGACAGUGGAGGAGAAAGUUGCAAUCAGUAGCUUUACUUAGUUUUGUGUGAUAAGCUCUUUAUUAGCAAGUCACACUUAGGUUUUUCUUGUUUUCAACUUCAGAAAUUAUGUUUUUGUAACUCAUUUAUUGUUAAUAUGUAUAGGUUUUAGCAAAGUGAUGGGAACCCUGGCAAGAAUUGGAUUUCUAGACACGGAAGUUCAUUCCUUUCUUAGGAAUGGGAGACCACUGUUUCGAGAUUUCUUGCUUGAGCUUCUCAAAAUUAAGGGAGUCUCAAGUGGCUCCACGAUUGGAGAGAAGGCCAUCAGCGAGAGCAUUAUUUCUAGUGGACUGUGUAAGGAGCAAGAAACUGCUGUAAGAGUAGCCAAAACAAUCAUGUACGCAGCUCUUGUGAUUCCUUUUCUAUUCAGAUUCUAUUUUCUGCAUUAGGGGCUAACAAUGAAAAUGGAUCUACCCUUUGCAUGGAUCAGAUUCUUAGGAUUUCAUGAGCCAACAGAGAUUCCUUCAUCUUGCCAAAGUGCAUUUGAUGUUACCUGUUACAGAAUGGAAGAAAGGUUAGCCUACUCAAAAAAUGAGCAGGUACACUUUUCUCUUUUCCCUGUUAAUCUUCAUUUGUUACUAUGUGAAUUUUUCAUCACAAAGUAUAAUAACAACACAUUUACCAAUAUUUAGUUCAUUUCUUACGAUGAUCAGGAUAUGGUACUUCUACAUCAUGAAAUACAAGUAGCAACACCAGAUGGUCAACAUACUGAAAGUCGCAAGGCCACGUUACUAGAUUUCGGGACGACUAAGAAUGGAAAGAGCACCAGUGCAAUGGCUCUUACUGUUGGUAUUCCAGCAGCUAUUGGAGCUUUGGUAAUGAGACCUAUACUUGUUUUUGUACCACAAUCUUGAUUAAAGCUUCAACUUUGAUUAAUGUUGCUACAAUUUGUCAAUGCAGCUUUUACUGACAAACAAAAUCAAGACUCGUGGUGUUUUAAGGCCCAUUGAAUCUGAAGUUUAUAUUCCAGGUUAGAGCUACCAUAUCACUUUCUAAUAUUUUGGGUUUAAAUUUCUUAAAUCGUUAAUCAUGAAAUGCAUGGAAAAUAAGCAUUUUGAGUCUUUUACAAUGUAAAAUAUGGUUAGGUUGAUGCAACUUCAACAUAACACAAUACUAACGUCCCACUAUUUGGUUUUUAAAAGUUUGAUCCAUCUUCUUUCUACUAUAGAGUUAGAAUUCUUGUCAAACUCUAAAAAUAAAAACAAGUAUUUAAAAACUAUUUUUUUUCAAUUUUCAAAACACAGUUGACAUUUUAAAAUGUUGCUAAAAAGCAUAAAUACUUCAUAAGAAUUUAGAGGUGAAAGAUUUGUUUGUAAGCUUAACCUUCAAAAGCUAAAAGUACAAAAACCAAAUGAUUAUCAAACGAAAUAAGUAUUUAAUAGGAGAUUUUCCAAGGCCAAUAGGGCCAGUCAAGGUCAGCAACCCAUGAAGUUGACUAAGAAAUUCGCUUUUUGUCAAUCGAGCUGACUCGAUCUAUGGUGAAGGGUUGUAUCCAAAUUAUCCAAAUUAAGUUCCUUGUUCAAUUACUUUAAAUCAAACUUACAAUUCAUAGAAAUUAUUGAACUUUCUAACCUAUUUUUUCCUUUUUUUUUCUUUUGGUGUUGCUGCAGCCUUGGAUCUUUUACAAGCAUAUGGUUUCAAACUAACAGAGAAGGUUGAAUCCUAGCUUUGGUUCUUUCCCACAUUAAUAAAGGGUACAAUCAACUAGGAAAGUGAUAUAGUAAUAAAUAACUAAAGUUCUACUAUGGUAACAUGUAAAUCUAUAAUCAUCUUUAUCUAAUACUCAAAAAACAACCCUUAAAAAUUAUUUAUAUAUGGCCGUUACACUAGAAUCUCAUUGGAAAAUUUUGAUCUCUAGCAAUUGUAACGAUAAAAUCCAUUAAUAGAGUCCUCUGUAGUUGGAACUCAUUUCAUGUAAUCUCUUCAAACUAAAGCUUUAGAGGAAUUUCUAUGAUGGGGUUGGAGUUUUGGAGUCGUGGAUUUUCAUGACGAGGCAGAAUUUUACAUUCUAUAUAAAUUUAGCACAAAAAGAACAAUGAGUGGCAAGUAAUUAUCUCCUUUUCACUUUGCUUAUCCAGUUGAUUGACUCCUUUUAUUGCACUCGUGUUUCACAUUAAAAACUUGAAAAAUAAGUGUUAAAGGAUAUGCAAUCUUUUAAGAAAUAUCUGUGGGCAGUAGUUUCGAACCAUUAGAUCUUUGUACCGUAACUGAGUAUACUUUUUCGAUAUCUUUCAAAUUAUCAUUGAUGCAUUAUAUUUUCAAAUACACAUGAUGAUGCAUAAUAUAUUUAACCAACAAAAUUCCAAAGAGGAAAGGUUAAAUACCAUAUGAAAUCAAACUGCUGUAUUUUGGUAAAUACUUUUAAAAAUAACAAUAGUUUAAUUACUAAUCCGCUCAAAAUCCUAUAUACUUAAUUAACACAUCUAAUGAGCAACUUACUAUCUUUAUGAAGGCAUUAAGAAAACAUUGAUUCUUCUCUUUGCAAGUUGGGCAUGUGGGGAUCCCAUACUCCAACUUGAGGGGAAAAUGUCUAUUUUCAUUUUCUAUAUAUUCUCUUUAUUUAUCUUCGACUGUACUUCAGGUUUUCAAAAAUAAUAAGUUGUAUAUAUUUACAUAUCAUGCUUAAUGAUAAAUAAAAAGAUUUCUCCACCUCGUGAAUUUUAUAUAAUAGAAGACACUCAAACUGCUUAAUCUAAAUAUGAAUUACAUUUAUAUUACAUUAUAAAUUCAACCCUUUACGGGUCAUCAAACACUCCCCAAGUGUUUAAAGGUAUGUAAUGAUAUGUUCCAUAACUUUGGGUCCUAGCUCAAAAGAAGGAAUGAUUUCUUAUUUAUCAUAUUUUACUUGUCUCCACCCGUACAGUUUAUUUAUGUGAUAAGUUACUAUUUUACUAUAUUUAUAAAUAAAUAGCUUUGUACACAAAAUAAUAAUAACAAUCAUAAACUUUGAGCUGAUCGAGACAAAAUGAGAGAGAGAUUAUGUUAUUUUGUUAGAAAAUUAAGGAAAUUAAAUUAUGGGAUAAUGAAAGUUGGGUUUAAUGCUAACCCCAUAAACAAUUACAUCAAUAUUCCUACAACCUCCACCAACCACCAAAAUCCCACAUUUCAUGUUUUUAAAUAAAGCAGCCACUUGUUAAAAUAUAUAUUCAACUUCUAUUUGCUAAACCCUAAGAGGGAAGAACACAUGAGGCUAAUUGUUUCUCUACUUCUUCCCAAUUAUGAACUUUAGUUACCAAAGGAGGCAGAUCCCCACACUCAGUCUUGCACCAUGGAUAUGAAUUCUCAUAGUCAAAAAGUAGAACUCGAAUCCCCGCUUCAGCGCAUUCGAUUGCGUAUCUUGGGUUGUCGUCAAUUAGCACACUUGCUCCAAAGGACCUGCCGGUGUGAUCGUCCAUGACAACCAAAAAAAUUGAAAACCAACACAUCAGUGAAUGUUGUUUUACUUAAACAGAAUAUUCGAUUACAGCGUGUGCUUAAAUGAGAAAAUAAAUUAUAGAUGUGUAGGAUUCGUUGCCAUACUUGCAUAUUUCUGCCUUUGAUCUGGAUUCUCCAUCUAGAGCAAAGUGAUUUCCAAAGUGAAUCUCCUGAAACAGCCCUUGGUAGUGCUUCUCGAUCCACUCUAGCGUGUGUUCUUUAAUUGCAUUUUGUCGAGACCUAAAAUUAGUUCAAAUGAGAUCAGUUCAUCUAUUGGAAGGCAGCUUCUACCGUAUACAAUUGAUCCAAUGUAGUUAUACAUACGUUACAACUGAUAGGUGACAAAAUCUCGAUAACUUGAGGAGCGUGCUCUGUGCUCCGGGUAUAGGCCAGAUUCCUGUCUUGAAAUAUGGUGUCUUGAAGAACUCAUGAACUCGAAUAUUGGCUGGAAAGAAGAGAAACAAGAGCGUAAAGAUAAAUCAAUCCUGAGUUCUCCAAGCAUAAAAACCACAUAGCUUAUUUCAGAGACUAUAAGGUUUGCUCAAGAAGUGAAAAUCUACAAAAGAAGUAUCAGCUGGGAAAUACGUUAAAAUUAGAAGUGUACAAUUUGGAGGCUGAAAUUUUGUAGAUCCCAAGAUUAACUAACAAACAUAAGAUCAAAAACCUUUCCCAUCAACACACAAUGGGAGACUUCGUACCAUUGUUUUCAAAGAGCAAGGCGCACCCCAAGGCGGGUCCCUUGUAUCGCUUAAAAACAAAAGGCUUUGAGCUCCCCAUAACAAACAAAAUUCAUUUCCAUCAACCUUCGAAAGUGUAUCAUUUAAACAGUUUCAGAUUCCUUUUCGAACUGCAAAUCAUUCAUUUCAUACCUUCAGUCAAAGAGACCGCAAUAGAGAAAAUGUUUUGAGACAAUUUCUCAAAACAUUAGAUUGUAGUGUUUUCUAAAAGCACAAAUUCAAUAGACAAGAUUAGAAAAAAGAGCACUCAUACUUCGAACAUAAUGAUAACAUGAUCCCAAACCAUUUUGCUUUCAAAAUUGUUACUAAAAAAAUCAGUAAUUUUCCUAUGAAUGUUCUUUCAAGAUCAAGAACAAAUUACAAUAUAUUAUUUUGGAACACAUACGCGCACACACACAAAUUCUUAGUAAGAAAGUGCACACAAACUGGCCUUAAUACUCAAAUACAUUAUAAAAAUGCUGGAAUCAAGUAUUCAACUAAGAAAAGAUCAUAAAAUCGACCAUUUCACCAUUAUGCUUCCUAUUACAAAAUCUGGUGUCAGCAAACCUACAAUUUCAGACUCAUUCAACAUGCAAAGCUUGGAAAUAGUAAAAAGAAAUAUUUUUAAAAAGAGAAUAAAUAUCUCCACAUGCAACCAUCAAUGAGUCAACUCAGGAAAAAUAAUAUAUAACUAAAAAGCCAUCUUGAUUCUUAUCAAAAAGAAAAAAAGAAAGAAAAAAAGCCAUCUUGAUACAGAUGACAAGUGACUAAAAGUCAAUCCCAAAAAAUUGUACCUUCAUCACGAGAGCACUUCCAUAUCUGAAACAGAAACGAAAGUCUAAGUCAAACUGAUGCAAACUAGAUGUUUCCCAGACAUCAAUCUAUAAUCAAAAGGAAAUCCCAAAAAUUAAGACAAAGAAACAUAACCAUACCCUGAAGAAUUCAUAGACAUGAUACUCUGAAACUGAAUGAUUUGAAGAAUAACGAUCAGCAACAAACUUGUUAAGAGCCGAGACAAAGUUUCCCAAAACUACACAACAAAAAGAAACAAGCAUUCGAUCAGAGUACAAGAGACAAAACAUGAGCGACAGUUAAUUAGCAUAAACCAAAAUUUCAUCUCAAAUCAAGUACAGUCUAGAAAUAAGUAGCCAUUUUAUUCCUAGCACAUGGAAUGAUCAUGCAAAGUCAUUAGCUAAUGUUAGUGUUACUCAAAUCUAAUUAUCUAAGUCGUCAAUGAAUAAAUAUAUUAAUUAAUUAAUCUAAGUCAACAGUUCCCAUGGAUUUAGUAAUUAUAUAAGUUUCAGUUGGAUUUUUCCUCUCUGUCACAUGACAUCAAACCCACUUGUAAACAGAGAAUUCGGAGGACGAAGAAGGAGGAGGAGGAGGAGGAGAAGAAGAAACAGCUCUACAGUAGAGAAAGCCAGAGAAACAAGAAAUCAAAAUCCAAGGAAGGAGAUGAAAGAAAAGCACAAACCCUCAUCGAUGUCAACAGCAACAACAAGUUUAUCCCUGGAAGAUAUUUCAUGGAACGUUAAAGGAUUUCCCCAUUUGGGCUCCUCAUGAACAGAAGAAGAAAAUCUACGAUCAAUUCCAUCAACUAAAUUAUCAACACUGUUAAGCAGCUGUGGACGACGAGCAAGUGUUGGACCCUUAGCAUUGAACCCAAACGAGCCGUUACUGUAAUUAUCUUGGGGAGAUUGAGCACAAGCUUUAAGACUAAAUCCAGUGCAUCUAUUUCCUGAAAACCCACGAAGAACAAGCUCUCCAGUAAUGGGUAAUCCACAACAUCGUUCAAAUAGCAAUUGUUGAGGAGCACGAUGCGGUUGCAUAUCAAAAUGAGAUAAUCGAAGAUUUUGCGUCAUGGAGUAAGCUGCCAUUAAAGGAAAUCGAGCAUAGUACAGUAUUUGAUUGAAGGAGCGUCGACAAUUUAACAUAAAUUUCUUCAAUGACGAAUCGAAUGGAAUGGAAUCGAAUCUCACAUUUCUCCACCGCCACAAUAACAAUAAACAAUUAGAAACAUAUGGUAAACCCUAAAACAACAAAAACAAAAUAAUAAUAAUAAUUAACAAUUUAAACUAUAACAAAAAAAAUAAACGACAAAUCACCAAUGAAAUUAAACGACGACAAUCACUCAGCCUGGAAAUCACGCGCAGAAAUCCACAUACAGCUCAAUCAAAAUCAAGCAAAAGAAUCAAAACAAUAACUAAUGAUUCGAUAUGCAAAAGGUAAAAACGAACCUGAAUCGAGUAGCAAUGAAGCUGGAGAAAGUGUUGAAUGACAAUAAUCAAUCAAAAACUAAGAACCCCGAUUGGGGAAUGAAGCUGAAAUCGGAAAAAUCCGGGGUUGAGAUUGUUGAGCAGAAACAGUGAAUUGUUUCCCUUAUAUAAAAAAAGGUGGUGAAUGAAGAAACCGAAUAGGAAAAGGAAUAGAAUUUGAAGAAAUUCAAAAUCAAGGCGUGGGUUCAGUCCCCACAACCAAAAAGUUGAUGAAUUUAUUGAAAGUUCCAUUCGAAAAAUCGGGGAUUUUGAUCCUUUGUUCUUUCUGCUCAAUGAUUUGAAAUCUCAUUUUUCAUGAACAAAACGAAGGAAAUCCCAAAUAUAAAAAAUUAAAAAUAAAAAUAAAAAUAAAAUAAAAUGUAUAAAUUUAUACAAAAAGAAUGUAAGGUUUGUUUAUGUUUUCUAAAUUCUAACAAUAUCUAAAUUUCAAAUUGUCUAAUAUAUUAGUAGAUAAUACAAUAUGUUUUAGUUCAUCAACCUCGAUAUUUUAUUAUAGAUUUUGUAUCAUAAAACUAGUUUUCUCCUUUUUCAAAUUUUCCUAAAAUGUUAAAAUUUUCUCGAGUUUUGCCAUACACACAUUAAAUUUUCCUUAGUUAAAUUAAAUCUAAUUUUCCUUAGUUAAAUUAAAUCUAUACUAUCAAGUACUAAAAAUAUAAUUGGUAAACUAUGUAACUUUAUCGAACAUCAAUCAAAUGUUUUAAAAACCGCUAAUUCUACUCAAAUUUAAUUUGUAUUAUAGUCUUAUCAACUUAACUUAAUUAUGGAACAUAUAAAUUAGAAUGAAAUAUUAUAGAAGAAACAUUAAUUGAAAAAUAGGCGUAAAUCUCACUUUUCAAUUUUCUCAUAAAAAAGAUUAGUUACAAUCUAGUAGAUGUGGAUCUAAUAUUUACAAACAGAAAAAACCCAAAACAAUCCAUACCAUCUAUUUUUUUUUUUUUUUUAGUUUUUUUUUUUUAAAAAUUUUUUAAUUAAUUCAAUAAUUUUAGAAAAAUAUUGUUUUUAAUUUAUUUUAAAAAUUAAUUUUAAUUAAAUAUUAAUUGUGAUUAGAAAAAUAUUGUUUUUAAUUUAUUUUAAAUAUUAAUUCUUCUUUUAUUAGUUUUCACCUUUUCAAAUAUUUUAUUUUAAAACUAAUGUACCUAUAUCUAAAAUAUUUAUGAUAAAAUCGAGUUAAAUAAAUCUCUAAAAAAUCUAAUUUUAUUAAAUUUAUAAAAAAAAAUCAAAUCAAAUCAUUUAAUAUUAAAUUAAAUAAUUUUAAAUCUUUAAAUAACCUAAAAAAAAUGUAUAAUAUUUUUUUUAAGUAUUUAAUGUUUGAGUGUAUAAGAAUUUUCUUUAAAAAAAUCAAUUUAAUGACGAUAUUUAAUUUUUUCUCUUUUUCUUUUUUAUUUUUAUAUCUUUGAUUGAUCCAUUAUAAUUUUUAUCAUUUUUGUUGCUCUAUAAAACAACAAUUCUCUAAUUUAGAAAGAGGAAAAAAAAACAUAAUGUUUAAGAAAACUGAGAAUGUUGAUGAAAAACAGUAAUGUAUUUUUUGAAUUAUAUCAAUGAUAGUCUUCUAUUAUGAUGGUAGCAUAUAUUAAUGACUAUCAGAAUUUGUUAUAGGUUGUAAGUAUUUUGUAAAAUUUGUUAUUUUUAAAAAAUUUCCUACUCUAAAAACAAGCAUGAAAAUUUAUUGAGAUUUAUAAAUUUGAAAGUAUAAGGACUAAAGUAGAUACCAAAAAUUUAAAGACUAAAUAGUUACAAACUUGAAAGUACAAAAACUAAAUUGUUACAUCAAACAUCAUACUAAAUCUACUAAAUCGUUACAAAUAAAAAACUAAACUAAAUUGUUAUUUUAGAAAAGUUUAGGGACCAAAAAGUGUUGUUCAAAUUAAAAUUAAUUUUUAAAAUAUAUAUUAUUUAUUUUUAAAGUUUGCACUGUUUUCCUAUCUUGAUUUUGUUCCAAAAGUUCUAUCUAAAACCAUAUUUGAAUUAUUUAUAAAAGUUUAAGGUAUUAUGGUUACUUUUGAAAGUACGCGCAUGUUUUAAAAAUGUCCAACUAUAUAUUUUAUAAUUUAAUUAUAAAAUUUAGAGAAAAAUAUAACGAUCGAGAUGAAUAUAUUAUACAACUUAGUGUAGUUCAUCUAUUAACAUAAAUGUUAUUUAUCGAUAUGAAAUAUGUCUUUUUUAUUUCAAAAUUAAAAGUUGGAGUUUUCACCUAAAAGCAUCUACCCAUGAAAUGCUCCAGGAAAAGCACUCAAUUGUAAUAAUAUAAAACUAAAAAUUUGUUAUGUCAUUUCAAAUUGAUCACCAUAUAAAUAUUCUCCAUGUUUUUGUAGUGCAUGAAUUUGUUUUACAUUGUAAUAGCAUAUUACAUUGAUAACUCGCAUGAUGCCGAUUUGUAUUUGAUAAGACCUUAAAAAAAGCUCGCAAUCACUUAGAGGUUCAAAUUUCUAUAUGUUUCAAGAAAAUUGUAAUUUAUUCUAAAUUUUAAAAAAAAUUAUAAUUUCACUUGAGUGGUAAAUAGGAGUAUCUGAUUCUUUGGUUGAGAAUGUUAAGAUCUAUUUCGAUUGAUUAAUAAAAAAAUGUUUUUUAAUCAAACUAUUACAUAAGGGAAAUUAUAAAAAAUGGCAAAUUCAAUAAAAUAUUUUCAGGAGUAAAAUUUCAGAUUUUAUUAAUAAUAAACAUUAAUAGACACUGAUAUGCUUCUAUAAAUGGUAUUGAUAGAUAGUGGUAGAAGUCUCACAGUUUCUAUCACUAAUAAAAUCCAAAAUUUUACUAUAACUUGUAAAUAUUUUAAUUAUUUUUGCUAUUUUUAAAAAUGUUCAAAUUUAUAAUUUUUUUAAAAGUGUUUCAAAACAUAUUUUCGAGUGAUUGUCAAACAUUUUAAUAUUUUCGAAAAAUUAGAGCAAAUGUAUUAUUGCUAUAUGUCAAUUGGGGUAAGUUUCAACAAAUAACCUCACAUGAUUAAAGUAGUUGAACAUUGUGUGUGAUGUAAUGUUAUAUAUAUAUAGAUAUAUAUAUGAAAAUUCAACCCCAUGCAAUUUAACAUUGACCAUCCAAAAGAAAUGCUUUAGUUUAUGAGAAUUUAUUCUACGGUAACAAAUGGAUGAAGAUGAAAAGAGAGGGACAAUCGAAGUGGAUUACUCACACACCGACUUAGUUUUGAUGCACCAUCUACUUUGUAAUUGCCUUUGAAAGAUUGUUAGAGAAUAUUAGAAUGUGUUAUUUGAUUGUAUGUACAAAAAUAUUUUAUCUACUUUAUCAUUUUUAACUAUUCUCUCAAAAUUACCAAACACUAUUUUAUUUCAACUCUCGUAAUUACGACUACUUUUUUAUAAGAUAUUGUAACUAAAGUGUGGAAGGAGAAUUGAGUCUAUUUGGUCGAGAAGAUAGUACAAACACUACAUCAAUAUUAGUUGAACUACGAUCACGUCUGAUGGAUGGAUAAAUACAACUUGUUCAAAUUAUGAUCCAAUUUUUGAGUGUGGUACUAAGCACAUGGAAAGGUACAAAGUAAAACUAUGCUUCCAAUUUUGGAUACAAACCCAAAAACAACUUUAUAAGUGGUUAACCAAUGGGGGAAUUGGUGAGAGAUCAUGUCAACACAAAAAUGGGAAAAGUUACAACUUCUUUAAUUAGCAACAAUAUCCAUUGAAUCUGAGGAUAGAACUUUCAGCUUAUCUUUGCUUCAUUCAUUCAUUAAUUCAUUCAUUAUCAUUCCAUCAACAAACUUUUUAACUUUCAUGGGAAGUGCCAAAGUGUAAUCCAUUCAACUUCAUGAUUUCUUUCUUUCUUUUGGAUAAGAUGGUUUAGGUUUAUCUAUUCAAUUCAAUCCAUCUUUUUUUUAUUAGUAAUAUUUGAAAAUAUUGUUGUUGUUUUCUUUACGUGGAUAAGAAAUACGAGAAUGUCGAACUAAUAAAUUGUUGUACCAUGACGAACCACUAUCUAAAAGCAAUUACGACCGACCUUGAUGUUAAUUAACACAACUUCAUUAUUCUGACAUUCACUCGUCAGAACAAGGAAUAGGAAACAAAAAUGAAAGACUGAGGUUACCCAAACUUGUCCAACCAAUCAGAUGCGCAACGCAAGUGUAUGGUGAUAGAGUUAUGCUGUCACCACCAACAUAUUUUAUAUCUCACGCAUACAUUUCUUUGGUAUCUGUACUCACUCAUCUCUUCUAAAACUAUCAGUGUGGGACAAGGAAAAUUAACUUUGUUGAUGGGCCUUAAAGGACAGUUGCAAUGCAAGUAUAAAAUUUAGAUUGAAUGUAUUAGCAAAUAUAGCAACAUUUAAAAAAAAAAUUAUAACUAUAUAGCAAAAUUUGUCAAAGUCUAUCAAUGUUAUCAUAUUGAUCUAUAGUCAAUAUAACUCUUCAAUGAUCAAUAUAUAUGCACCUUUUUGUAAUUUUACUUUUGAUUAUUGUUAAUAGAAUUUUACUAGAUAAAAGUUUUAAAUCUAAAACCUAAUAAUAAUAAUAAAAAAAUGUGUAAAAAAGAGCAAAUUUGACCAAAUAUUUACAAGCUAUAGCAAGUGACAUUUUGUUAUUUUUAAUUUGCUAUCACUUAUAGAUAUUUUAAUUUAUUUUAUUCUCUAUAAAAAAAAGUUAUUCUUCAACUGUUAGAUUUUUUUUUACAAAUAUGAAAAUAGUCUUAUUUUUAUUUAAAAAAACGUGAAAUAUCUUCCUCAUCUUUAGAAUCAUUUAUCAAUAUCUUUUAAUAAGGAGUCAAAAGAUCUUUUUUAAAUAUCUCAUAUUUAGGAAUAUUUGAUUAUAAGUUUAUAAGUUCAUCUUUGACUCUUUAAAAAGAUGAAGUUCUAUGAAAGUAAAAUUAUUCUUCACAACUGUGUUCAACCGUUUAUAUUUUUGUAAAAGUUGUAUCAACACUCUCAUCACUUCCACUCCAUUCUUUCUCCCAUUCAAAUCCAAAUAUAUCCUCCCUUCUUCCACUCUCCACCCCACCUAUUUGUUGGGCUCCGCCAUCAUGAUGCACUUUGGCGAGACACUCUUCCUGGCCAUCCAUUUGCUUCUCUGAGUAGUAAACUUGGAUGAUUUUUAAGAAUAUGGUUUAAGAGUAGAUAACAAAACAAAGAAAAAGAAAGUCAAUCAUGUCAAGAACUCCACCAUCAAACCAAUGUUGCAGAAAGAUCAAAGAGCAAAAGCCCCGUCUCUGUGGUUACCUCAGAAACCCUUUUCUUAAUUAAGAACUUUGUUAACUCCCCAAAUGCAAGAAAAGUAGCUAAUGAUUGUGGAACUUCUUUUCCAAAUUGCUGAACAACCAUCCAUUUCAUAAUUGCUUGCUUGGUUGUGUGUGUGUUUCUUAUCAUCAGUCCUUUUAUGUUCUAUGUUCUUCUUGUGUGUAAACUGCUAUGUUUUCUGUUUGUGUUUUGUUGAAUAAUAAUAUGGUAGUCAUUCACGUGUAAAUUUAAAUUUGAGAAAAAGUGAACCUGCAAAGCAAAAAAAAGGGACUCCCAUGCCUAAGUCAGUAAGAGAAUUAUAGAAUAAAUUCGAAACUCUUAGCGACCUUAUGUAGAACCAUAAUGGUGUAUUUAUACCUGCAAAACAAGGAAAAAGGUUCUGAUGCCUAAGUCAGUACAAGAAUUAUAUAACAGAGAAUAGUUUAGAAGUUCUCAUGUACCUUGUAUGUAACGGGAAUGGUGUAUUUAUAAGAGAUUUAAUAUAAAAUUUAUGUUUGUCCAACUAGAAUAUAUGUGAACCAGCGAUGAUAGUGAUCUUGAUUCUUGUAGAGAUACAACCAGCGAUGGAAGCAUUGGCUACGAUUUAGGAAAAAAGUUUUACUUUUCUAGAGAACAGUGGGAUCAUCAACCAUUUAACUUGUGGAAACAUGCUGGAAAACGUCUUUAAUGGAUUAAUGUAAAAGAUUUUUCCUAAAUCAUAGUCAAUGCUUCCAUCACUGUGCUCACAAGUCAGCCUACCAAAUAAAAAGAAACAAAGAAUGAGCCAACUUCUGGGGAAAACCAAUGUUCUCGUACGUUAAGAAUGGUAGGAAAAGUUCUUGAUCAUCACAUCUAAAAAGAAACCCACAGUAGAGUAGAAGAUAAGUCUUGGUAAAAUGACUCUCACACUCACAGUUCAUUAAACACAUAUAUAUUCCACUCAACCUGGAAAUCACGCACAGAAAUCCACAUACAAAAAGAAUUCAUACUCAUGAGGGUUAACAUAUUCCACUCGAAGGUCAAGUACCUGCAUGGCGUGAGAAUCUGAUGUCAAUGUAGCAGCUUCCCCAUAUAUUUGGAUACCAGACAAAUAUGGAACGUAAUAUUGAACACAACAGUCACCUUCAUGAGUACCAAAGGAACUCCAGCGCCAUAUGCACUCCACUCCUUGAAAGAUUCCCACAGAUCAUGCAGAAUGAAAUAAAGUUGAAACUCGAUAUCACAAGUCCUCCUAUCCCUCAUAGUUCUCUGGAAACAAAGAAAAUAUCAUCGUCAAAAAUUAAGAUUUCCCAAGAAAAACAGAAACAAAUAACUCUCAGACGGGAUUAUUUACUUAGAGGUCAAAGACUUGUAGAUGCAGAAAAGGCCAUGCAGACCAUUAAAGGGCCACAAGAAACGGAACCAUUCAAGGUUGUACGUAAUCAACUUUCUUUGAUUCUAAGCAUUGACCUCAAAGAAGUACUGUGCUGGAACUGAAGGCCUUGUGUGUUCCAAGAAUCAACUUUACUCAAUGGGCUCUCGAUUUCAUCGGUCUUGGUAGGAUUCCUUGACGGGUUUUGGUGAUUAUAAUUCUUUGCCCCUUACCGGAAUAUAAAACCAGUCUUCACCUUUGAUUCCCCCAAACUGCAACGGAAUUCCCAACAUUUCUAUAUGCCAAAAGGAAGAACUCUCCGUUCAGUAUCAAUGGAAAAACAGAGAGGAAAGGAAAUCUCAAAGAUUAUAAAGGAAAACGGUAAAAAGAAUUCAAGAAGAUUACUCGGUGCAAUGCAGAGGAAAAUGGGGAUUUAAACAUAAUUUUUCUUUUUUUUUUAUAUCAAUAUAUAUUUGAAAUUUCUUAUUUUUAUUUUAUAUUUAUAUUAUAUAAUGGGAUAUAGAAUAUUUGGUUAAUGGUGUGACAUUGUAACGAACAAAAGUUUCUUUCUCGGUUCUAUAAGAAUUUUCUUUACGAGAGACUGAAGUGUAUCUUUUGAAACUUCGUAAACCAAAUAGACAUAACUUCAAAUCAUAAAGUGUAUUGUAGGCUUAAAUAAAUAUUCCAUAAAAAGUGAGUUGAGUUUAUAUUGAAUUGUUUAUAAGUUUUUAAUAAACAUUGAGAUAUAUCCCUUAAUCUUACGAACUUGUUUUGAUAUUUAGGUUUAAAAUUUCAAUGAUGUUAUUUAAAGUAUUUGGAAACAUUUCGCAAUUUCAUCACAUAUUUUAUGGAUUCGUUAAGUCGGUUUAAGGGAUAGUGGACAAUGUUUUUCGCUACCAAUUUUGUGUUAGGACGUUGUACAAAGGUCACGACUAUGUUUUAUAGAUCAAAGAGUUAUCAAUAAAUGAGUGUAGCUAUAUACUCUUUGGUAUAUUCACUAUAUUACACCGUGUAUAACUCACAUGUUAUUAUAGAUGUUAGUAUAUUUAAAUUGGAUGUUGCUAGUCUUAGUUUUUAUAUACUCAAUCGAAUACUAAGAUAUAUUUACAACAUUACAACAUAUUUUUAUUAUAUUACAAUUACAACAUAUAAUAUACGUGUAGUUUAAGUAUUAUUCUAUACUUUAUUUUUAUAUUCCAUAAUUUUCAAUAUAUGAAGUUUAGAUGUUAUUAUUCGUGUCAUUAUGUAUAUUUAAUAGAUACUACGGUAUAAUUUAUAAUAUAUGUAAUCAUACCUAGUAUAUAUUUAAACAAUGGUUUGUGAUUUUUCAACAUAUUUUAUGUAUAUUUUAAUAUUUAAGACAAUCUUACAUAAUCAUAAGUACAAAAUUUGAAAGGGACUGAUAUAUUUGGUUGAAUGUUCGUCGUUUAGGACAAAAAAUAGUUAUGAGAUUUUGGUGAAUAUUGUCUUCAAUAUCUUUCACGUCGUUUUAAUUAUCCUUCAAAAAAACAAAAAUUGGUCAAUCCAAUAUAGAGAUCCAUAUGACAUUUGGAUCAAACUUUUUAAAAAUAUUAGCUUAGUGGAAUUGGACCUAUUAAAAUAAGUUAAUAGGGUAACCUCCCUCCGAAAAACAAACCACUCUAAGUAUGAAGAAAUAAAAAUAAAAGAAGUCCAACAUGAUUAUAAUGAACAAUUUACAAUUUUAGGUGUGUUCAAAAAAAAUUGAUGGCUCCAAAAAUCUAAUCAACCCAACCAAACUCUUACAUUUUAGACGAGUUAUCAACUCAACUCCUUAUAAUUAUAUGUACAUAUAUUUGUUUUAAUUUCAUUCUCCAACUACCCUUAAAAACAAAAAAUUUCACCAUUUGGAAAGAGAGUCAAAAUUGGAUAAUUAAUCAUACAUAAAAAUAAUUAAAUAAAAUUUUACCUAUUAUUAACAUUUGUUAAAGAAAAUUGGGUUUAUUCUUAUUUAAUAUUUUCCAUAUUUGUAUGUUUCCAUUAUUAGUAUUUUUGUCUAUAUUUAUGUAGUUUAUUAUGUACAUUUUUUUAUAUUUAUUCAAUAUAGUAUAUAAAAUAACGAACAUUAAACUCAUUUUUAAAACAAAAGGUUAAAUAAACUACCCAAAUAACUUGAAUCAACCCAAUCGCUAUUCAAUAAAUUCGAAACUUACCAUUCGUCCGAUGUAAAAAGAUGUUCAACCCAACCACACUGGCACCCUAGACUAACCAACUCAAAGAUAAAAUAAAAUAAGAUCACAUAUCACAAACUUACACAGAUCAAACUUUGCAACUCAGUUCUCAAAAGUCAAAGGAAGCACAAAAACAAAUAUAAAAGCUAAAGAGACAAAGUGACAUUCAAAUAUCUCUCUGCCUAUUUUGUUUUAGAAAGUAAAUACAGCUUUUCAACUAAGCUUCCAUCCAGCCUCUCAAACACCGCUCACUACAGAGAGCAUCUAAAAGGAUAAAUUAAUUUAAAGAUUUAUGGUUUAUAUAAUUACUUAGAAGUAAAGCCACCAGUGCAGAGAUUAUGGAAGUAUUUACUGGAAAAAGAUGGUUAAGUCAUCUCUUCAUUUGUUCAUUGUCCUUCCAUCUUCUCUCGUAUUUUAUAUUGCAAAGAAGCUGGAGCACAAUCCAUUGGUGUCUCUCCUGUGGCAAUGGCAACAAUGAAUCAUUAUGCAAGGUGUAAGAAACCAAACUGAAUUGGUUCGAUUUUCUGUUAUAAUUCGAAUUGAUUCGAGCUGAACUAGGUUUUCUUAAAAACUAACCCUCACCCCUAGUCUCAGCUUUUUUUCUUAGGUAAUCACAAAAUGUUGUACCCUAAUUUAGUCCUCCUCUCUUGUACUUGUGUAAGUCUACAAAUCGCAAAAAACUCUAAAUAAGAGAGAUCCUCUCCUUUUCAUAGCUCUCUAAUUGUGCUCACUUCUAAGUGAAAGUCCACUGUUUGGUUUUGUAAGUUUUGAAAUUUGUGUUUGUUUUCUCACCGUUCUUUACACUGAAAUUUUCUUUCAUCUCUUUUAAGGUAAGAUUUGAUUUCUAGAUUCCAAAAAACAAAAAUAUGUUCUCAAAAACUACUUUUUCUCAGUUUUCAAACUUUGCAUGAAUUUAAAAAAAACAACCGAUAGAACAGAUAUUGUUGAAGGUUAUACAUGAUUUUAGAAGAAAAAUAUGGUUAGAAAGUGGAUAACAAAACAAAGAAACUCACAGACUAUUUGUAAGCUUAGUUUUUCAAAAGCCAAAGGGAAAAUAUAGGAGAGUUCUUAGAUAUUUCACAUCCCUAAACUUAAAAUUCUAGCAAACUUAUUGCCUGAUCUUAUCUUUAAGAAUCUUACAUCCAAGCUUUAACUCAGUCACAAACAUCGGCCAAAGGUUUUUUUUCUUUUUUUCAAGAUGGUGAAUGAAUAAUACCUUAGUAAUAUAAAAAGUUAAUCGUGAGUUAAGAUCUUUAAUUUCUAGAGAGAAGCUAACCAUAAUUUAACAGCUUUCACACACCACCAGAACAUUAUACUCACUGUAGUCACACGGAAACUAGCUAUGCUUAUUCCUAUUCUUUGGUUUUUAAUCGCCUAGCUUGAAGAAAGAGAAAAUGAUAACUGAUAACUGAUGAGCAAGGGUUGUUUGAAAUUUGUUUCUUGGAACAGCCUCUGCCUUUUAGAAUGAAACUUUGCAGAAGAAACAUUUGAAUAAUUGAAUGAGACAUUCCUUUUUUGAAAAAUAAAAACAGUAAUUUCAAUGCACAUAAUAAUAUUAUGAAGAAGAAAAACAAUAAAAUACAAAAACAAAAGCUGUUAUCAAGACAGUUUUUUUAAACACUCAAAAUUCUCAAAGACCCACCUUAAGUAUAAAUGGAUAGAAAAGUUAAAACACUCAGUUUAUGCUCGAUACUAUUAUCAAGAUCCAGUAACAUUGAUAAGUAGUUACCUUGAGCAUUUUUGUAGUCCAGGCUAGCCCCGCCUUCAAUGAGGGCAAAAACAAUAUCGGUCUGAUUAAAGACCGCCGCCUACAUCCAAAUAAAUAUUAAUCCUGAUGUUAUACCUCUAAACUGAAAUGAAUGCCAUGUUUUCCUGGGUGGGGUGAAGAAAGAGAGAUUUUAUACCACAUGCAGCAAAGACAGUCCUUGUUUAUCGUGAUAAUUUGCAUCUACACCCUGCCAACAUGAGAAGAGUCAAUAAUUCCAUUACAUAUUUUGAUUUUUAUAAAAGCAUUUAGUAAGUACCUCGCUCAAAAGUUUCUUAACAGCAAUCGUGUCACCAUUCUUGACUGCUUCCCUUAGCCCCUGCAAGAACAUGAAAUUCUAAAGAUGAAGCGGAACUUCAAAGCCUUUGACAGUCAUCAAAGGAAUAUUAAGAUGAUACAGACUAUAUACCUCGCCACUUGCUUCAUAAUUAAUUCUCGAUUCAUCAGCAAGAUUCCUGUUUAAUGAUAUGAGUUACAACUGCAGAUUAAAAUCGGACUUAUCCUUCAAAUUCAAUAAUACUAACAGUGAUAAAGAGGGUAAUAAAAUAUCUAAACAGGCUCAAUCCUAUCAGAAAAAAACAAACUCCAGAUAACAGACCGAAGCUUGCUGUUGGAGGUAGAUGCUCUAUUCCUUAGAUUGGAGUCAGUUUUCUUUGGUUUUGAAUUGUACUGAGUAGAGGUAGAAGCUGUUUUUUUCUGCCAUGAGAACAAUCAAGUUUCAUCAGGGGAGGGCUGAUGCAUGAGGAGCACUAGAAAUUACUGAAUAUUAAAACCUGCGAAGAUACUGCUUCUGUUUCCAUAGGCUGGGCUGGAGUUUCACAAAUGCAUAAUGGCAUUCCACACUUGCAAUCUGGAAUUCCCAACGCAGGUUGAUGCUCCACAGCUGGUUUAGGCUCAGAAGUUAGAUCCCCAUCAAGGUUCAAUUGAGAAACUGCAUCUCCUACUUGAUCAACUACAGCUAACGAUGGCGGUUGACCAACUCCUUUAGAUCUGUAAUAAAGUAGAUUCAAUAAAUUUACACUAGUUUUUGUUUAUAUGAUGAAGAUAAUUUUUACAUUAAAGUUUAAAUACUGAAAGAUAAUUUUUUAAAAAGCUGAACUCUAUAGAUGUAAUCCUAUAUGGCAUAGAUGCUAAAUACUAGGUUCAAUCUUUGCCUAAAAUUGAGAGCUCAAAAGGAUGCCUCAGAGACCAAGUAUUAGGAGGAAACAAGGGAAGGCAAGAGCUUCCAAAAUCUGUAUAUGAUUUUUUAUAAUUAAAUCCAAGAAGAAUGUGCUGAAAGCUGAUGUAAGAAAUUUAAUGCUUCAUCCCACACAAGCAUCAGCCUUCAGAUCACUCAUCAAUAUCCAACUACCUCAACAUUGGUGGUUUUGAAUGACGUUAAGCUUUAAAGACUGUUCAAAGAAGGUUUUAGAAUGUUGGUUCCAGUCACACUAAUUCACACAGGAGCAGAAAAUUCUCAUUGUCAAUGAGAUUGGAAACCCACUAAAAAUUUCAAUGGUUUCUUCACAUGAAAGCUAAAAAUAAGAAAUGGAAUAAAAAACAAAGGUGCAAACUUCAUGAACAAGCACGCACUAGUGUAAGCCCCUUCUUCAACAGAAACAAGGACCACAGAUUCUAACUUGUCCUGAAUAUCUAUUAACAAGCUCCAAAUUUUCAAAAGUUCGAAACUAUCUCGCUGAUGAUUCUAACCGUCUUCUUUCAAGUAUCUUUAUAGGAAAAAUAAUAUAGAACUUGAAACUAAUAACAUGAAAUUUCAUGUUCGAAGCUGCAAAAGACUUCGCAUAAGGAAAGAAAAAUGUGACAGAGCGUAUGAUCAAAUUUAAACAUGACUUACUGUGAGGAGUUAUUAAAACAGUCAGCACAAACUCUAACAGAGGAAUGAAUACCAAACUGCGGCAAGGCCUGAAUUUCACACAAACAAGAACACACAAUAUACCAAUCAGAUCACAAUAAAUUCCCCAUUAAACCAAUCAAUCAACGAGAAAGAGAAAGAGAAAAAGAAAAAGAAGAAUACCAUUUGAAAAGAAGAAUGCUCAUUACACAACGUCCUUCCACAGCAUCGGCAAUGAUGCUGCAAACAAAGAUUCCAACAAAAAAAAAAAAAAACGCAGAACAAAUCUAAUCUCAGCUCAAAAGUCAAAAGACUCAAAACAGAAUCAAAAUCGAUCAUAUACGCAGUAGCUCAAUCUGAAUCAUCUGAAAGAAGUUGAUUAUAUUAUAGAGGAAACAGAAAUUCGGUACCCGUCGCCGGAAGGUAUUGAAACUACAUUUGCAGACAUCGCAGCGUGCUGCUUCUUGGAAAGGAGGCGGGUCCACCGACAUUAUUGUGAAAAUCCGCCGAUUGCACGAUUGUCCGAUUGGUUUAAUUGAUGGUUUCAGAUAAUUUUGAGGGAGAGGAACCACCGUGGUGGGCAGAGGAGGUGCGGGGAUCUCCUCCGAGUUCCGAGCUGAGGAAGAAAGUGGCAGCGGAACUUGGGAACUCCGACUGCGAAAUAUUACAAUAAAUAAAAAGAAAAAGGAAAUAGACGUCUUAUCCAAAUUAACAAUAAUUCCAAAGGAUUCUUUUAUUAAAGAAGAAAAAAACUACCAUUCUAUCUAUAUCGAUACACUAUCUCAUACAAAUACACAUACUCUAUAUCGGUUAUGGUAUUUUAUUAUAUUUGUAAAAUUUGUCUUUCUUUUGCUAUAUACAUUGUGUACAUAUAUUUGUACUUUUUAAUUUAAAUUCUGAAUUUUGAGUUUGUAUUAAUUUAUUAAAUUAAUAAAUUUAUUGAUUUAAAUUGAUUUUUUUUAAUUUUUAUUUAAAAGUUUAAAUGGAUGAAUUUAUAAUUUAAGAGUCUAGUUAGUACUUGUAAAAAAAGAGUUUAAUUCAUAUAGAUUGGUACUCUUUGUGAAUAGUUUCAAAUUUAAAAAUAUUCAUUUAUCUAUGGAUAGGAUGAAGGAUGUCAAAAUUGUAGUGUUAGUUAAUCCAAUAAGUAUUGUUCAUAUUUUCUUUAUGAAAAAAAAGGAGAUUAUAUAUAUAUAUACUUACCAUCCCCCUCUUAUCUCAACAGAUAUUACGACCAUGUUUAGCUUCACCCUAUUUUGAAAAGCAACCAAAAUUUUAAAGAAAAAAUAGUGUUCAAAUUUCCCUAGAAUUUCAAAGAAAAAAUAGUGUUCAAAUUUCCCUAGAAUUUCAAGGAUUUAUUUAAUAAAUCAUGAUUAGAAAUUUGAAAAUAACAAAACAAAAUUAAAGUAUUUAUAAGAUUCUAUAGUUGAUAACUCAAUUAUAAAAAAAUAUUAGUGACAAAAUUUGUUGUGGCGUGUAAAUAUUUUGUCAAAUUUGCUAUUGUUGACAAUUAAUUUAUAAUUAAAAUAAAUUCUUCAUUGACUUAAAAUUUUGAAAACAUUUGUAAAAGUAAAUAAUAAAACAAAGAAAGUAGAGAUGCUUUUAAGAGUGAUUUUAAAAUCGUUAAUCUAUUUUACCAAAUAUAAAAUUACUUUAAAAAAAAACUUUCUAAUCACUCAAAAUCAAUUCAUGUUCUAAUAGUAUGUUUUUAUGUUUUUAAACAUGACUUUCGAUUUUUGAAUGAUUAAAGAAAACCUCCAAGACUACUAUCACCCACCAAAAAGAAAAUUUUCAAGGGCUAACACAAACCUUUUUAACAUUCAACAUCUAAUAAUCUACCCACCUGAAUAGUGAAGAACAAAGUUGAAGGUACACCUAAAACUCCAACCAAAAUACAAAAAGAGUUAUACAAAGACAAGAACAUAUCCGAAUGACUAUCACAAGAAAUGGCUCCAGUAAGCCGCCAACAGUUUUUCAAACAUCAUACAUUCUAAGAGUGAGGAGCCAAAAACGUUUAUUUUUAAAAACUUCAACGUAUUACAUUCAGUGUGAGCUUCGCAAAAUUCCAUGCAUGUAACCUCCAGUCAUUAUAAAGGACACGAGAGAUACGAUACCGGCUGGAAAUAUCUUGCCCGAAUUCUUGAAACGAGAUCCCAUUACUACCAAUAGUGAAGCAGAAAGGCCUGUAGAUUAAGAAUAUAAUCAAGCUUAUGUUUUGAUUAAAUUAGGAAACUAAUUUAACUGGCACUUCUUUUUCUCCCUAGAUUUGGACGGAUCAUAUGAUAUGCUCUUCUUGAGACUUCUUAAAACGAUGACCAUUCUAAUAUAUUAGUGUGCAAAAGGAAAUAUUAUAGCGAAACUAAACUUUUUUUUUUUUUUGUAUAAACUACGCUUUACAAAAAAAUUCCAUCCACUGCUUCGAUCCAAAAUCCUACAAAAUGGCUAAAAACUGAAAAGCAGAGCAAAAUGUAUAACCAAAGUCCUACUCCCAAAGAAUGUAAUCCGUAACCUCCGUCAUUCUCUUAUUCAAGAUACAACAUAAGGAAAGGAGCCCAUCAAUGGACCUCAAAAUGUUUAUAAGAUACAUGAGCUACUACUCUCAUUACCAUUUGAUUUAUUGAUGAACCUAAUGUUAUCUAAUUGAAUGUCAUAGCCCAUGAAGCCGAAACGGACAUUCAGUCCAAACACAUACAUUGGGAUUUGAUCCAAGAAUGAUUAACCCUCAAAUAGGGCACCAUCUUAAAGGGUAUGUUGAGGAUCCCACAUUAGAAAAAUCAAGAGAUCUUACAAUGUUUAUAAAAUACAUGAGCUACUCUCUCAUUUCCAAUUGGUUUGGAGAUGGAAUUUCAUGUUAUCUAAUAGUUAAACAAGAAAAAAUAAAACAAACUUAAAGAAAACCUUCAAAAUGAUGAGGACUCCAAAUAUAAAUAAUGCUUCUCCCUAGCCAACAUACCACAUACGAACUUCCAAAGCAUCAAUAGAAGAUUAAUAUAUUCAAUGUUUUCUAUCAAACAAACAACACUCAAACAAAGAGUACAGUUCACAACUCCUAUUUCCAUACUCCUCUUCCAAACUUAUUGGUGUUCCUUCGGGAACAUCCGGAUGUUAAAAUUGGAAUGAUACCUUGAAGGAAUAAGAAGAAGAUGAGUCUAUUCUCCCAGAAAAAUGCUCUCCCAUCUCCAAUGGGGCUACAAACAACAAAAGAAGAGAACAAAAACUACUUUGCAACACUUCCCAAGGGUUUCUGGAUGUGCCUUUGACUUGAGCUCCACUUAAAAUGGGAUAGCCCAAAUUUAUUUACUCCACAAGAAACUGGACCCCAUAUGGAACCACAACAACCGUUGGCCAACAGGGCCUUGUUGAGGAGUAACUUGGUUAUAAAAAAGAAAUGUUAGGGACACAAGGAAAAGAGGUACCAUAUUGGUGGAUUGUUCAAUCGGAGGGAGAGAUAUGGACCCUCAAAAGGCUAUUUAUACUGUAAUUUCUCAAUAUAAUGCAAUAUAUUUCUUUCUAUCUUUGUGAUACUUGUGUUUUCUUUAUCUUUGGUUUCCGUAUCCAAACAGUUCACUAAUUUGAGAGCCAAGCAAUUGUGUUUCUUCCCCAAAAAAAUGCCAACAGCACAACUUUUAAUAUAAAAACAGUAGAUAAGAAGAGUGAACUGCGAACACAAUCAGCAUCAAGUGUACGCUGAAAACCUCAGAAUUUAGAAAUAGCUUGGACCAUAUAUCCAUCAUGUAGAUCCACAUUCAAGACUUACAAAAGGAAGUUAGUGAGUAGUGCAAGGCUUUUUAAUGAAGAAAAAUUGAAAAAUAAUUAGAUUUCCAAGACAACUCUGCUAUAUCCAGCUUUGAUUAUGUCAGUUCUGGUUCCAAUCCCACUCGAUAAUAAAUUGAUGCCAAAAGAAAACACCAUAGUAUCCACUUGUGCAGUUAGUUUCCAAUAAUUAUUUUCUAAAUUCUGAAUCCCUUUUCAAGAAUGAAUGCUCUGCUACCAGUUUGCUGGGAAUCAGAGUAUUGUAUAGGAUAACUAAAAUAAGUUGAUACAAAAUGUCAGUACAAUCAGAUGUGACUCAAGAAAACUGGACUACAACCUAAGGGAAGACUAACACGGAUCUCUCAAUAUUCUCCUUAUGUUUCAAUGUUUCAUCCCCACUGCUUUCCCUUGGGUUCACAGUCACUGCCACUAACAAAUCCCACAACUAACGCUUAGAAAACUAUAGCAAAUGCAUAUAACUAGUCUUUAUACUUACUAACCUAGACGUUUAACCAAAUCUAAUCCAAAGGAGAGGGAAGAAAGUGCUAUUUCAUAGCUAGAAAUAGCGUAUACAUCCUAAAAUGAUGUGUAUCAUCCCAUUGUUCCUAAUCAGGAUUCAAAAUUUUGAAGUUCCAGAUAAGACGGUGUGUAUCUACUAAGUAACAACAAGAGUUAAUAGCAAUUCAACUAUAUGAUUAGGAAACCUAUGCUAAUUAAAGUAAUUGAAGUCCUUCGAUAUUCAUUUGGCUUUUGUUCUUGGAUUUUUAAAGUUAUGUUUGUUUUCUCGCAAUUUAUUACGUUAUUCUUCAUCUAACAUCUGAAUUUUUAGCCAAAUGUCAAAAUUCGUCAUGCAUUUUGAAAACAUGGCUAAAAGGUAGAUAACAAAGCAAAGAAACUCAAACAUGAAGCACUAUUUAUGAGCUUAAUUUUCCAAAUCCAAAUGGUUGUAAGACGAAACUAGUUAAAAAAUACACAGUCGAUUCCUUACCAAGACCCAAGGACGAUGCAAGAACGGGGUUGUUGGGGAGAAGUUUAAAGACAACAAGCAACAGUGAGGCUGAGACUCCCCCUGCCAUUAGUGACUUUUGGCUACCACCUUUCAAAUAUCCCAUUAAGCCACCAACUGCAAGUGAAAAAAAAAAAGGAUUGAAUCAACAUUGCAAUCAAAAACAUAAUUACAAUUACAUUUCGCAUAAACUAAUAAUUCGAAUCUUCGUUAAGGACCUCCUACUAGUGCAGCAUAUCCCAGAGUUAACUUCUGCGACAUUGACAAAGCUUUCUUCCGGCUGUCAGCAUUAGAUUCCUCUCCCUCCCCACUAUUCCCACCAUUAUCGCCUCUACCACCGUUACCUCCACCGCUACCACCUCCUCCAAUCCCUUUAUCGGAAGAAUCACCGCCAGUGGUGUCUGGAUAAAUGUCAAUGUCUUCAUUUUUGGAGUCGGUUGCACGGAUAGCAGAUACUACCGUCUUACAAUCAAAGGAAAUUCCUAUAGAAAACGUGAAAUAUAACAUUAAACCUAGAUUACUAUCCAAAAAGUAUAAAACGGGAAUCGAAUGAUGCUGUUAGAAACUCGAUUGUUUACCUCUACCGAUUGUGGAUUGAAAUUGAAGGCGUUUAACGGAAAAAUUGUUGGUCCUGAGAGCUCCACCAAGUCGUGGCCGGAAAACUAAAGACGCCUGAGAUACUCCGGCUAAAACCUCCGCCAUAUUGCUUCUUGCUCCCGAAUCCUUUUUGUAAACCUCCAAAUGGGUUAUUGAUUGUCGAAUGUGUAUUGUUGAGUCAAAAUUAAAAGUUCGUAUACCAUUUUAGAUAUUUUAAAUGUUAAAAAAAUAUACUUCUACCUUUACCUCUCAUUACUCGUUUCAAACGUCGAGUCAUCAAAUGUCAAGUUAUCGAGAGUGAGAUCGAGUAUAGAGACAAGCAAGAAACAUGUCGAGAUGAUGUAAUUAGAAGCUAAACUUCGAGGUUUAUAGUAGAAAUGGUGCUAUAAUCAUAUUGUAUUCAUACAUAUUCUAAUUAUUUUAAAUUUUAUAAUAGAUUCAUGUAAAUUAGGUAUGAGUGAUUUGUAUGGAUGGUCUUUAUUUGAAGAUCUAAAUGAAAAAUGACUCAUAUUUAAAGAGAAUGAAAAAUGACAUUUUUCUUGUGUAAGUAUUUUUCUUGUGCUUCUAGUUGAGAAGGCUAAUCGAUAGUUGAUGCACGACACUCGAUGUUGCUCAAUACUUGAUGUUCUAUUUUGUGUCUUAUGUUACAUGUUCUAUGUUAUAUACUAGAUUCUUGAACAUCGAUACUUAAGACUUGUUCCUUGUUACUCGAUACUCAAUACUAAAUACUAGGUACUAGAUAUUAGAUACACGUUGCUCGAUGUUCAAUGCUCAAGACUUGAUUCUCUACACUUUAUUUAUGUUACAUGCUUGAUCCUUGAUGCUCGAUACUUAGAGAAACACUAAGGAGAAAAAAAAGUAGAAAUGUAGAAGAGAAAAAAUGCAAACAACAAUCUAGAAAAGGGACCUAAAAGAGAAAAAAGAAGAAGAAGAAUACACUUAGAAGAAAAUGAAGAAAAAAAGUUGGAAAAUGAAGAAAAAAAAGAGGAAGAAUGCAUUUAAGGUUAAAAUUAUAAUUUUAUGCCGUGACGACAUAAGCAUAAAAUCAUCUUUUAUUGGUUUAAAAAAGUACAGUUUUAUUUUUUUCAUUUUGAACUUUUAUUUUAGAUCAUCGGUGCAAAUUUUCUCUUGUGGAUAUAAUUAUAUAAUUAGAGAGAUAUUCAUUUCAAUAAUUUCAAAUAUGAAAAAAUCACUUUUUUCAGUUAAACUAUUAUUAAGUAUGGAAUGAAACCGUGAACUUUUGAAUGUUAUUAAUGUCUUAUCUCAUGACUUAUGCUUAAAAUGAUACAAAGACUUACCUUAUUUCAAUCACCUUUUGCAAAGUGGUUGUAUUACUAUUUUAAGAUUCCAUGUUUGUUUACCAAUUGUGAUAUCGAAAAGAAUUUGAUCCUUAGACGUUUUCUCUCUAGUUUUCUAUUAAAGUACUUCCUUCCUUUUGUUUCUAUGUAAUAUGUGUGAGCUUUGGUUGUUCUCACAUUUGUUCUACACUCAUCAAAAGACUUGGGGUGUUAAGUCUAAUUAUCUUUAACAAAAAAAGUAGAGUUGAUUGAGGAAAAAAGACAACGAAAACCUCACGACUUAGUUUGUCGUUUUAAAGUUUUAGUUUUUUAUUAUAAUUUUAUUUAAUGUUAUACCUCGUGGCUUGCUUUUAUUAAAUGUAUUUCAAUUAUUAAUCUAGAUUGAUCAUCUAGAAUAUUAUAUGAAAGUUGAGUAUACCACCAAACAGUUUAAGUAGAAAUCGAUUUUCAUAAAAAAAAAACAAUCUAAUAAAUGUUAAAUGGAUUGUUUUUUAAUAUUUAAAAAUUAAUCUAUAACAAACAAAUUUUAUCACCAAACAAUAAUUUUAAAUUCGAUAUAAAAAUUGUGUUCUUAGUUCCCAUUGCAUGAAAGGUCACAUUUAACAUAUAAGCAUUUUUUAAUCUCUUUUUUUUUUAAUUAAAAACAAUCAUUUACGUUGUUACAUUCAAUUUUAUACUUGCAUUGAAGACUAAAAGUUUUUUUUUUUCACCUAUUCAUCAAUCAAUUCAAAAGUUCGAUUCUCCAUCUCAAUUUGAUCGCUCUAGUACAACAUCUUGUAUCUCUUUUUUUUUCUUUUGAGGGAGACUUGUGCAUGGUAGCAGCUUCAUCUAAAGAAGCAAAUAUUUGUGAAUUUAUAACCAAUAUAUAUUGUGAAAACACUCUUCAACUUGCAACCAAAAUAGAUAUACCAUAACAAUUUCAACAACUCAUACAAUCAAUGACAAACACUUUACUAACAUAACUAAAUAAGACAUACAUACCCAUACGAAAGGUAAGUGGUUCGAAGUUUCAUCUCCAUAAAUUGUUGAACUCAAUCCAAAAAUAAUUAUUGGGAUGAAAGCAGAAAGGCUGGAAAUGGAAGUGAAAAUCGUUAGUAACUACAGGAAAUGAAAUGAACAAAACACACCUGAACUCACCAUUAUUAUAAAGUGACAAUUACAAGCCAUAUCUCUCUUUCCCCUCUAUCUUUUUAUAUCUUGUUAUUCAUGGAAGAAGAAUAAUUAAGCUUCUCAAGCAUUUUCCAUACCCUCUGCUAAUCUCUAGCAGGAUGGAUUAUUCAGACUUGAACUAGAAAAUCAAGACAGGAAAAUAUCAAACAACCACACUGACCACAAAUUUGAACCCUACUUGAACACCUGCGUGCGUGUAGCUCUGCACAAACACUAAAAGGAAUAAACACAAACCCCUGGAGCCCAUAUCGUUCAUCUCUGAGGUGGAUCCACAGUUCGGACAUUCACACCUGUCAUUCCUUCAAUCCUGUCUUUGGUGAUCUCCACAAAAUGUCCUACUAUUUCAUAGAACUGCUUAAGACCUGACAAUGGGAGAAUGAUUGAAGAACGAUCUGCCCCUGCAACCUGUAACCAAUAUCGUUCGGGUGAAUUUCAUACCAAGAAAUUGAAGAAAUGAACCAUGGGGUUCAAGACAGACAAACAGAUUAAAUAGGGAUAAAAAAAUCCAUGGCUCUUAAGAUUAGUUUUCUUGAUCGAUACCUCAGAAAUCCUCAAGAAAUGACCCCGGUUGUUACUUCCAAGAUCGAAAAAGAAUCUCUUUUGAUCAGCUCGGAUAACCUUUGAAACACCCAGAUUCCCCAUUUCAUCUUGAGCUGACAAGUCUACUUGUCUAUCUACAUUCAAGUCAGAGGUUGGCCCAGAUUGACUACUAUGACCUGAUAUGAAGCCUGCUCCUACAUCAUCCGAAAGUCCGGCGAGACGUUCUGAAUGUUCAGAAUUUUCCUGGUUUGGGCAAAUAGAAAACGGUGUGAAUUGUGUUAAAAGAAAAUCAAUGGAAGUAAGCCUACGAAAGGCGUGAUUGAGAAGCUAGACAUAAGCAGCAGAAACCUGAUUGGGCAGUAUGAAAAGCCUAGAUGCUUCAUUGAUCUCUGCCAAGAUGUUUCUAAAUGCAGACCAUCCCUCAUCCCGGUUGCUUCCGGCAGGAACAAUAAUGGUGCUGCGGUUUCUACUAACUGAAGCUUCAGAUACCUGCCCAGUUGACACAAUUUGAAAUUCCAAAAGCCAGCUCUAUUUAGAACUCAAGGACACAGAUGUACAACCUAUAGAACAGAUCCUGUUGAAGUAAGGUCGUAAAAGCCAGCUCUAUUUACAACCUCACAAACCAGAUUUUUUUUAUAUAAAAAAAAUUGAGGCACCAGAAGAAAAGGGGGAAAAGAGUUCAGCCAAAACACCAAUAUUUGUUAAACGAAAGAAGAAGAAUAAGAGUAGAGGAAAGAGUUCCCUAAUUCACAAAAUCCUAAUCUUAAGCCUUACAAUCGAGAAGAUGGCAAAAGUACACACAAUAGUGUCUAUAGCUGAAGAGAUCAAAUUACCAACCCUCAAAUCCCAGAAUUAAUGGUAUUUACUGGUAACAGAAUUUUAAGUUGGGAAUGAAUAAGAAUAAAUGAGAGCUGAUAUAAGGUCAAAGUAGUCAAUGGUUGACGGUUCAGAUCCACACUGGUAUUUAAAAGAAAAAAAAUGAAAUCAGUUACAAACUUGACGAUAAUAUGCAGCCAUUUAUAAGCAUCAUAUGAAAAAUACAGAGAGUUGAUUUAUACUCAUAAAACUACACAACACAUUCACAUCUCUGAUUAAAGACACUUCAAACAAAUUAAAAAGCUAAAGUAGAAAGAAAAACGGGAGCCUUGGAGAUCUGUAGUACACGUGGAAGCUUAUUGUAGAUUUAACAAGCAAUAGUCAAGGGACAGAACAUGAGUAGACUGGGAAUAAGUGAACUGCAGAUUUGGCUUAUGUGAACUGAUGCACAAUGGCAGCCUGGUAUGGAACCGAAGGCGGAUGGGAUCUACUGCCACACAAUGGCAGCCUGUGCGGUAUUUUGCAAAGUAAGUCAACUCCUUUACAGGGGAGAAAAUGGUAAUGGCUGGCUAAAGACGGUGGUGGAAAAAAUGAACAACUAUAAAGCUGGUCACAGCAGACAUAGAGAGAAUAAACUAUUCUACUUCAGCACUUCCUUCUUUCUUCACUUCCAACACUCAAUAGUCAAUACAAGCCUUGCCCUAAUGUAGUAGCACGUCCAGUUUCAAGGUCUGAUCCUCAGAAUUGGAAAAUACUUUUGAUAACUAGGGCCAAAUGAAGGGUCAGCCAUGUCUAUAGUUUCAGUGUCUGGUCACAUUACUUUGUUCCAGUAAUCCAUUCCAAGAACAAUUGUUAUAAACAAAAAUUAGGGAGUUAUGAGCAAGAGGGAGAACUUAAAGUGUGCAGAAAAUGCAUACAUCCUCCAUACAAAAAAUAAUUAAUGACUAGAGUGGAAAAUAAAUUUAUCAUCAGAUUCAGAGUGAAAAGCUAAACAAGGUGGCUCAACCUCGAUUUAUGCAAUUUCCUAGUUGCAAGUUCUAAAGUUUACCUUUAAACCACUUUGCUCAAGACUACGCUAAUGCCUGACAUGCAUCAUCUAGUCUCAAACCAAAUAAUCAAGGAGAAGGCGCACUAGACUACUAGCUUAAAUCAAGUUGCAGAGAACCACACAUGACUGAACAAUUAAUAAUAUAUUAAUGGCACAAAGUUGGCUCUAGAGGAAGCACAAGAACCAUGGAUGACAUACUUCUUGGGUAAUAUAUCUACAUCUAUAACCUUUAAUGCAUCCAACAUCCAGACGGGAAAAACCAUUAGUGGUAGUUGCAAUUACACCCUCAAACUUUCAAUAAUAACAAUUGAGCCCCUGAACUUCUAAAAGUGUUAAAAUUGAACCCUCAAACUUAUAAUAAUUGUAAAAAUCGAACCCACAAAUAUAAGAAUUGAAUCCUCAAACUUAUAUAGUCAAUAAAAUUUAUACAACUAAGUAAGUUUGAGGAUCAAAUUUUAAAAUUUGGAUAAGUUUGAGAACUCAAUUUUUUAUUUUGAAAGCUUAAGGGUAUAAUUGCAACUACCACCAUACACUAGGUGGUUUUGCAAUUAUCCUUAUAUUAUAUUAAAAUAUAUACACUAAGAAGACAUUUCCUACAUUCUAUGUCCUUCACAUGUCCAUGCUGAUGAUUAGAAAAGUCAUGUGCCAACAUAUUAGUGUCUUUUCUUUUUUACUAGGCUCUUCCGGUUUCAUAAACCUAAUUAUUUUGCAAAGAACUUUUGGCUUGCCAUAAAUCUUCAUACUACGGCAGAUGACUAAGUGAAAGAGAAAGAUGAAUGAAAAACAUUUUUUAGGGAAAAAAAUAAGAACAAAGAAAAAAGUAAAGAACAAAGGAAAAGUCAAGUCAAACUGUUAGGGAAUCUCCAUAAAUCAUAGUAUAAUUCAUAUUUGGAAAGAUGCAUUUGGAAGUAUUGUCAAACGGAGGCUAUAAAAGUCAUCAAGAAAAUAAAGAGUGGUCUUUUUCUUUAAAAGGACACAGGACAUGGAAUAUGACUGGAUAACAAACUCAAAGUUCAAGUAAUUUCAUUACUUUUCUUCUCUCUCUGAUAAGAGCUAAUUUCUUGGGCAACAGAAGCUGAAAGAACUUAGCAGAAGUAGAACUUCAACAAAAGAAAAUUUUCAGAAAAAAAUCAUCAACAGAAAAAACAUGAGGAUACGUCAGCUUUUUCUAAAGCACUGUGCAAAUUUUAAGCGAAACUCUAGAUCAACAAGACCAAUCCCGUUCUCAAAUCUAUGCAGAUCCAUCCAACACUAAUUUGGCAGAAUCAAACAAAUGAACUGCAGAGCGUAAUUUCAAGGAAAAAAUGGAUAUUCCAGAAAGUUGGAAUCUAGAGAAAAAAAAACAAACAACAAUAGGGGUAGCAGGAAAAGCAAUUUACCUUCAAGAAACGACCCCUCCUAUUCUCGCCAAUGUCAAAGUAAAACACCUGAAAGGCACGAUGAGUACACAAAAAAGGCAAAAGUUGACCAACAAGAACAAAGAGAUAAACUAAAAGGCAAAAGAGAAAGAAGAGAAACAAAGAUGCCUUUGUGUCCAGCUGCAAUUCCUUGCUAAAAACUUCCGGAUCAUCAGAAUUGAUAUAGUAAUUGAAGAGAUCUAAGAACCAUGGAAUCCCAGAGAAAGGAACAAUGAUCGUUGACCUUGUAGCCGAUGUUUUCUCUGAAAUCUUCAGAUAUCGACCUCUGGGAUUCUCCUUCAGAUCGAAGUAAAACAGCUUGUGUUCCACCUGCAGUGUUUUGCACAUCAACUCCACGUCAUUCCCUCCGCCACCACCAGCCCCUCCUCCCGCCGCCACGCCACCCGCCGUCGUUCCCCCAAUUCCCACUCCACCCCCGCCGGAAUUUCCCUCCAUCUUCCACUCCCAGCUCUGACUCGGUUUCUACUUAUAAUUCCCCACGAUUUAAGCGAUUAUCUAAAUUUGUACAAGAAUCUCAAUUCAAUAAAUCAGCAUCUUUUUCCUCCAAUUGGGUUUACAAAAAAAAGACAAAAUUACACAGAAAUUAAAACGAACAAGCCCCGAUUCGAAUAGAAAUCGAUGCAAAAAGCCAAAAACCCGCCAAAUGCCUUGAAUACAAAAAAAUCCAAGAAAAAUAAUCAGAAACCUAGAAAUGGGAGAUCUAAUAAGUGACCCCCAUGAGAUAAAAAUUUAAAAACAAAAAAAAAAAAAAAACGAACGGGAUUUUGACAAAAGAGUUCUGGAAAAUUAGGGUUAGAAAUUACAUGGACGAUUUAUGAUGGGGUUUUGAAGAGUUGGAAAAUGACAAUGAAAUAUGAUGAAGAAGAAGAAACAUAUUUCGAAGAUGAUUUUCAUAGAGUACCUGUGAAACCCACUGUAGGGUAAUAUUUGACAAAUCUUCCAAAGUCAACUUGGGUCAAAAGCUGAGCUUUUUGAUAACAAUGGCCAAUGCCCAGUGGCACCAUCCUAUCAAUCUCUUCCUUCUAAGAAGAUGAACCACAAUAUUAUUUUUUUCUUUUUCUUUUUCAUUUCUAUUUAUAUUUUUUAAAAAUUCCUUUCAAUCAAUUUGAUUUUUACAACAAACAUGUGACUUCCAAAUUAGUUUCCCUUUCUUUAUUUUAUUCUUCUUCGUUUAAUUCUCAUAAAAACUCAUUUUAAACCUCAGUAUAACAAACGAUUCAAUCUCUUAUUAAGAAACGUCAAGGUUUCUUUUGAUCAUGUCAAUUCUCAUAAAAUUACACAAUUACCUUCAAUAUUGAUUCUACAUAUUCUUCUUAGUUACGCAAUUUUUUCCCAUCUUCGACUAUCUUAUUUUCUUACGACUUCUUCUUCUUUGAGACAUGCACUUUUUCACAUUGCCUCUCAAGUCUCAAUUUCUAUGAAACUUGAGUCUUGUGUGGGCCAACCCUCGACAAUAUCCAUGUCUAGUUUUGUGGGUUUGUUAUACAUUGUUGUAACAACCAUGGUCGAGUUUUUCUUUGAAUUAAGAUAUACAUUGUAAUUUAUUUAUGAGAUAAAAGUUUCACGGUGCAUAUUUAUGUACCGGAUGAUAUUUCACUUGUAUGACGCCCUAGUUGCUUAAAGGUACAGUUAAUUUCUUAUUGACCAAAUAAAUAUAGAAUACUCUACGUAAUAAGAGCUCAACCUGGACAAUAAUUUGAUCAAUAUAAUUCUCAAAUGAUAAUUUAAAGCAUUGCUACAUUCUUGGUGGAUUAAGCUAACAUCCAAUUAGUUGUACGCUUAAACAUACAUCAAGUUUGAAUUGGAAUUUUGACUUUCUCACCUUGCCCAUCUUAGAAAAUGAAUUUAUUAUCUUGAUCCUUUCAUCUUCAACUAUUAUCCAUGAAUUAUAAUCAUUGUGAGUUGUUAUGUAAAUGAGUAUAUGAUCGAACCAAACUUUAUUUAGAGUCAUGUAGAGAUUUGAUAUUUGUUUUGAGCGUAAAUCUUGAAACUUGAAAAAUAAGAUUAGUAUUUUAAAGAGACGUUUUUAAAAAUAGCAAAAUAAAUUAAAAUAUUUACAAGUUUUAGCAAAAUUUUGGAUUCGAUUAAUGAUAGAAACCGAUAAACUUUUAUCCCUAUCUAUCAAUAUUUUCAUUUUGUUUAUCAAUGUCUAGUAUUGAUAAAAUUUAAAAAAUCUACUAUGUGUUGUAAAUAAUCAAUCAAAUUUGCUAUUUUUUUUAUAAUUCUCAUAUUAUAUUAGAAAUUAGACUUAAAAAUGCCAAAAAAAAAAAGUAACUUUCUCAAUUAUGAUUACUAUUUUAGAUAACCAUUAAAAAACUUGUUUUAAAUUACGAAACUAUUGAAAAUAUUUACAAAUAUAACAACAUUUCAUAACCUAUCAACGUAGAUAUUGCUAAAUUACAUAGUUUACUAGUGUUUAUCGACAUCUGUCCGUAAUAUUAUGUUAUAUUUGUAAAUAGUUUAAUUUAUUUUGUUAUAUUUGAAAAUAAUAAUAAUUUUAAUAUUUGAAAGGAGCAGUAAAAAAUAACAAAUUUGAUAAAAAAAAAUAUUUACAAAAAAAUUUCAAAUUAGAGACCAAUGAUAGAAUCCAAAAUUUUGGUAUAUAUUUUAAUUUAAUUUUUUAUUUUAAAAAAUAUGUAAUAAUUAAUAAACCUUAAAUCAAAUAUUAAAAUGAAUAUUUAGUUUUUUUAAAAAAAAUCAAACUGAAAACAAACUCAAAUGAAAUAAUAAUUCGAAGAAGAGAGCAUUUUGGUGAACAUAGCAAUGGAGUUCACUCUCCAAUGGAGAUUUUGAAAUGUGUUGGUCUUUCUCCCUCCUCUCCAAAUCGUCUUCUUCCUUUUUCAAACCCGCUAUUUUCACAUCCUCUCUUCAGUUCACUUCCCUUCUUAGCAACUGCCGCCACCAUCUUCACCUUUAUCAAAUCCAUGGCUUCAUGUUGCACAGAGCUCUUGAUCAAGACAAUCUCUUUCUCUCCCAAUUCAUCGACGCUUGUACCUCGCUUGGCCUCUCUUCAUAUGCCUUUUCCAUCUUCUCAAACAAAACCCACCCCGAUCUUCGUCUCUACAACACCGCCAUUAAAGCUCUUUCUAAGACAUCUUCUCCCAUUAACGCCAUUUGGCUUUACACCAGGAUUCGGAUUGAUGGGCUUCGUCCGGAUUCCUACUCUAUUCCAUCUGUUUUGAAGGCUGUUGUUAAGUUAUCCGCUGUUGAAGUUGGGCGGCAGAUUCAUACCCAGACGGUUUCUUCAGCUUUGGAUAUGGAUGUGAAUGUUGCCACUUCUUUGAUUCAAAUGUAUUCUUCUUGUGGGUUUGUUUCUGAUGCUCGUAAGCUAUUUGAUUUUGUUGGUUUUAAGGAUGUGGCUUUGUGGAAUGCUAUGGUUGCUGGGUAUGUUAAAGUUGGUGAACUAAAGAGUGCACGUAAGGUGUUCAAUGAAAUGCCUCAAAGGAAUGUGAUAUCUUGGACUACUUUGAUUGCUGGAUAUGCACAGACCAAUAGGCCCCAUGAAGCGAUUGAGCUGUUUAGGAAGAUGCAGCUUGAGGAAGUGGAGCCUGAUGAAAUUGCAAUGUUGGCUGUGCUCUCUGCUUGUGCUGAUCUAGGGGCUCUUGAACUUGGGGAGUGGAUCCAUAACUAUAUUGAAAAGCAUGGUUUGUGUAGGAUUGUUUCACUGUACAAUGCUCUUAUAGAUAUGUAUGCAAAGUCAGGCAAUAUAAGAAGAGCACUGGAAGUUUUUGAGAAUAUGAAGCAGAAAAGUGUCAUAACUUGGUCCACCGUGAUUGCUGCCUUGGCUCUUCACGGGCUUGGAGGAGAAGCUAUUGAUAUGUUUCUUAGAAUGGAGAAGGCAAAAGUUAGACCGAAUGAAGUAACUUUCGUUGCAAUUCUAUCUGCCUGCAGCCAUGUUGGGAUGGUCGAUGUGGGUCGUUAUUAUUUUGAUCAAAUGCAAUCAAUGUACAAAAUUGAGCCAAAAAUUGAGCACUAUGGCUGUAUGAUUGAUCUGUUGGCUCGUGCUGGUUAUCUACAAGAAGCACAGAAACUGCUUCAUGAUAUGCCAUUUGAAGCAAAUGCCAUGAUAUGGGGGUCUCUUCUUGCUGCUUCCAAUACACAUAGAGAUGCCGAGCUUGCACAGCUGGCUUUGAAGCAUCUUGCUAAGCUGGAGCCUGGAAAUAGUGGGAAUUAUGUGCUUUUGUCUAAUACAUAUGCUGCUCUUGGUAAGUGGAAUGAAUCUGGUACGGUGAGGAAGCUGAUGAGAAAUGCAGGUGUAAAGAAGGCUCCAGGUGGAAGCGUUAUCGAAAUCAAUAACAUAGUGUAUGAAUUCCUCGCUGGAGAUAUGUCAGAUUCCCAGGUACAUGAGAUUUAUCAUGUAUUAUGCAAGAUAAUUCUGCAGUUAAAAAUGGCUGGAUCGUAUCAGGAGGAAUGGAGUAAGUUUCUUGACUACCAUGAAUGAUAUGAAUUGGCUUCAAUAUUAUUCUUCUUUAAAGAUAUGAAAGAAUUUUCACCUUUCGUCUAUUUAGACUUCUUGGACUUUUUGAAAAACUCAAGAUUUUAACAGUAACUUUUGAAUCAAAAUUGAAAAUUCAGGCUUUAAGAUAUAAUUUUUAUUCAAAAUACUUUGGAUGGGGAAUUCAGAGAAAAUGACCUCGUACGAAGAGUCAACAUGGCAAUACUGCCCAAGUUGGAGAAGGGCAAGCAAGAUUGAAGCUUCAUAAUCCAGCCAUGGUAAUCAAACUUCUUGAUCCGACCCAAGUUUUCCCGCAUUGUCAAACGAAGCAGUAACUAUUUUAUCUAUAUGUUAUUUGUUAGACUAGCUUAGCCGAAAUAAUUUGGUAUCAACAAUUAUCAUUUCAAAAGUUGAUGGUUCAAUUCUACCCCUAAUUGUUAUAAAAAAAUUCAAAAGAUCCCAUGUUUUAGACACUUGCGGGGUCAAGGAUCUCUUUUGUCAAUGCAUUAUGCAAAGGAUAUGUCGUGUGUGAGCGAGAGACUUCGUUCAUCAUUUCAUAUUUGGACAAAAUUCUUCAACCUUAAGGUACAAGUUAUAGUUCAAGAUCCAACCAGUGUGCUAAUGUGGAAGUUAAAGUCAGAUGGUUAGGGGAAUUGGGAUGUUAGUAAACUAAUUUUGAUUCGAAAUUUAACCUAAUAGAAAUAUUCAAAUUGCUAAAAGAAAAAAUGACUCCAAAUUUAUUCAUUUAAAUAAAAACUUCGUCAUUAUAUACAAAUAAAGAAAAUUUGUGGUAAAAAAUAGGUUCGAAUGUCAUUUUAAUUCUGAUCAAAGUUUAAUUUUAAUCUAUAUAUUUCAAAUGGCCUGAUUUUAGUUUAUAUAUUUGUAAUAAAUCUUAAAAUUUAAAAAAAUUACAUUGAUAACAUGAACAUUUUAAAAAAAGUAGUUCAUGACAUCAUAGAGUUACGAGAGAGUCAUCUUUUCUAAAUUUGCUACUUUUACAAAUUUAAAAAUGUUAUGAUAUGGGUUCUAUUAUCAUAAUUUUUUUUAUUAUUUUUGGUAAAGCCCAUGAAUUUAGUAUCUCAAAGCUAAUUUUUAAUUACAAAAACGGAAAGUAUGAUAUGUCGAAAAAAAUUGAAUUGACCAAAUAAACCAAAGUUGUAAAAGUACGAGAGAGAUGAAUCAAUUAAACCUACUAAUUGAUUGACUCUUAUUCGUGGAUAUUGAUUCAAACAUGUACUAAUAUUAAAAAUAUAGGAACAAAAUUCACAUUAUUAACCUCCAUAAAAUAACAACAAAACAGCAACUUAGUGUUUGUUUUGGUGCUUUUUCAAAUCUUUUUUUAAAAAACACUUAUUUUUGUAUUUUGUAUAAAUAAUUUAUCAAUUUUUCUAUUUUAAAAAAUAUAUACUUUUUUCUCUUAAUUAUUUAAAAACGAUUGUUCUCUUAAAAAAGAAAAAAACUAUUUCUUAAAUGGGCCUGAUCCUCCGUCAUUUUUUUUCACAAUUUUUAGGGUUAGGGUUCCUUCUCACCACUCUAUAAAAACCUCCAUAUCCAACAGUUUUCAUAUUCUAAUCUUCGGCAAACUCUUCAAACCUUCUCUCCUCGAUUUUCAUUAUUCUUAUGUUUAUUUCUUUUCUCAGUGUUAGAUCUCUUAUGCUUUGAACAUUUGUCUCUUGAUUUGAUUUUUUGUUUGUUGGAUUUUCGUAACGGAGAAACAAGCCUAAUAUUGCAAUUCUCUGAUCUGCCGAUAUGGAAAUCGAUCAGAGAAUCUAUCAUUAGGCGAUACGGAAGGUCGGUAUGCAUACAUCUUCUAUGUAUAUUUCUCCCUUUAGCUCCGAAUCUCCUCGUUCCUCUUCUUGGAACAGUAGGAUGUUUUGGUGACAAGGUAGAUACAUUCUGUUAUUCCUUCUGAUUUCUUCGUUCUGAUUUCCGAUUUUGUUCAUUUUUCUAUCAAUAGUUUCGUUGAUGCAUUCCAUUUUUCUUUUGAAUCUUCCGUGCUUGAUAUUGAUUUCUGAUUUUAUUAAUAUUUCUAAAAUUAGUUUCGUAUGCCUUCCAUUUUUUUAAAAAUCUUUCGUGACUGGUAUUGAUAUUGUCAUUCCUUCUCAUUUCUUUGUUUUCCUUGCUUAAUUGGAACUGGUUUUUGCUGUUGAGGUUUAUGAUGUGAAAUGAUGAAAAAAAUCAGACGGAUUCCCAAUGAUAAUUCAUGAUAUUACAACCAGCUACUUCUGAUCACAUCAAAACUAUUUUCUAGUUUCUCUUUGUUUCACUUUUGAUUUUCCGCCCUUUUUAUUUGAAUGUAGGAAGGAUUUGCUUGUUUUUUUCCCCACUUUAGUUUGGAAUGACAAGGCCGGUGAUGUGAUUAUAAAUAUUUGCUACUCUUGAUGGAUUUAUCCUGUAUGAUGAUCAUCUAACCACCAAGAUCUCUGAGGCCUUUCUAAUUGAUCUCCAUUUUCCUCAGAUGUUUCUUAUAAAAUUUUCUUCAAUUUAUUCUCAAGUCUUUGUAAAACUGAAUUCAGUUCGUAAGAUUUAUGUUUGAAAUCUUUUUCAUAUUUAACGCAAAAUUUCAAAUCAGGUUCCAUUAGUCAUUGCGACCAUAGAAGUUAAAGAAAUCAGAGAGAAACAUAAUAAUAAACUCAAGCCCAAUGACUAUCAUCACCUUUACACCUUUGAACUCAAAUGAAACCAUAGUCCAUUGUUAUGUUGAGAAUAGAAGUUUGAAAAUGUGUGUAGUUAAUGUUCUUUAAGCUGAGAGCUAGAAGAUUAUGGGCAUUGAGGAUAUCUUUGAAUAGUAUAGAAGAUUAGGGACAUUUUUGAUGUGAAGAAAGUUUCAGUACGAAUAGGGAACGACGGGGCCAACCCUUGAAAGGAGGGUAGAAGUGAAAGUGCCUCUUGGAGCAUCAAUAAACCUUAAGACAUUUCAAAUUGAAAAAACGUAAUUGUAGAUAUUAGAAAUUGGCUAGAAAUUCCUGCCAAUAAUGAAAAAACGUAAUUGCCAAUAUUAGAAAUUGGUGGAAAAAUGGGUUAGUUUUUGAAAAAUGAGGACAAACGUAUUUUUUUAAAAUUAUUUGAAUGAAAAUGGUGAAAAUUUUGGUAUUUUAUUAGAAUGUCACUAAUUCAUCUCUCGUUAUUUAUCAACAAUAGUUUUGAAAGCACUUGUUUUUACAAUCUUUUUUAAACUUACUCAUUUUUUGAAAUCAACUCAAUAAAUGUAUUCAAAUAAAUGUUAGGAGUUGUUUGGCAUAGUAUUCAAAAUUCAAAUUACGGAUCUUAUUAAUAUAUUUCUUUUACUAAAUUAAAUUAAAUAAAAAAAUGAAUUAAUAAGAAAAAUUAGAUAUGCAGAUAUUUAAUAUUUAUAUAUUUUAAUUUUUUUUAUUCAAUGUAACGAUUUAUUAUUAUUAUUAUUUUUAUUUUACUAAAUUAUUAUUAUUAAUAUUUUUAUUUGUUUAAUAUAUUUUUUAGUAACAUAUUUUGUUAAUAUAUAGAUUUUUUUAAAAUAUAGAAAAAAUGCAUAAUUUUGAUUAAGUAAUAAUUAAAUUGAAUUAGAGAAAAGUAUUUAAAUAAAAAAUUGAAGAUUGUUAUAUUUAAAUAUAUAUAUAAAAGAAAGAAUAAAAUAAUUUAAUAAAGAAAGGUAUUUUUACCAUUUGAAUGUUUAAUAUAUAUAUUGUAUUAUAUGUGGAUAUGUAUAUAUAUAAAGAAAUAGUUAAAUGUGGGAUCUAUAUAUAUAAAUAAUGAAAAAAUAUAAAAAUGUGAGACCUAUAUAAAAAUAAGAAAAAUGAGAAGUGGAAUUCAUCAACUUACCUAUUUUUAGAAAUACUUUUACACUCAACCUAUUUUUAAUAUAUCUUUUAAAUUUUACAUUAUUUUUAAAAAAGAUUAUUACGAAGGAUUGAUUUAUUUUUCCGACUCUUUUUUCACUAUUUAUUACUCUUCCUCUCCACUAUUUCUCACUCUGAUUAUGUCAUAAUAUAAUAAUUCAGUAAUAAUCAGUAUCUCAUACACUAAGUAUAAGUACUUUUAAGUACUGUCGUACACUGAAGAACCAUCAAAUAAUAUAUUUUCAAUUUUGAAUUUUUUAAAAAAUCUCCAUUUUAAGAAUAUUUUUUUGUUAUUUGGUAUUUUUGCUUUGUUUUUUGUUUACCAUUCAACUAUGUAUGUAUAAACCAAUUUCGUGUAUAUACUAAAAGCAUUGUUAUAGUGAUAUUGUUAAGAAACAAUCAAUUUUAUGAAUAUUUAUGAUAAACAAAUCUAUAAAAAUGACCUAACCAUCCUUAGCCAACUUCUCAAUAUUAAAUUACUAUAAAAUACGACUAUUAAACAUUAUAAAUUAGUAAUUUUAAUUUUGUAUUUAGCACUUUUGUCAACAAAGUUAUUUUUCUAGUACAUAAAAGCACUUACCAUUUGUAGUGUUGUCAAAGAUGGUUUAUUGUAAAGAGGUAGUUGUUGGAGUUCAAAGUUAAAGGUGAUUGUUGAAGUUGAUUACCAAAUGUGAUUUUUGCCAAAAGUUUUGUCAUUGUAGGUUGGUGUCGGAGACAUAAGCUUAACUUCAUCGAGCGAAUGUGCUCAUCGAAGAUAGAUCGUCAGUGUUAGAUGUGAGAAUUGUGGAGUUGGUAUAAUAACACUCAAACUACCAUGUAAAGUCAGCAGAAAUUAAUAUAUUAUACAAGCUUAACUCAUCUCACAUUGGUGUGCCAAACAUCUCCAUCAAAUAUUAUUAUUUGUUUAAAACUCAAAAGACGUGAAAAGAUGAAUUCAAGGCAUAUGAAGAGAGGCAAAGAGUUGUCAAUCCAAACACAUCCUCUAAAUUUAAACGUUCAAAUGAAGAAAAUUGUGCAAAAUAUUCUUUAUUGUUAUUGAAAUAGGAUAACAAAUCAUUCAUGAAAUCUUUUGCCACAAUAUAAAUUCAUAUAACAUAACAGAUUGUUUUAGUAUUGAGAGUUUGUGCUCAAAAAACAUAUAUCAAUCAUUCUUGUUGCAAUACUUUUGAAUAACUUACCCACUUUUUUUUUGUAAAAAUCAUGGUGGUGGUGGUAGCCUCUUGAUAACUACCACUCUAGUUAUAUAUUUAUUUAUGUGCAACAUUAUAGACUUAGAUAAUUGAUUGCUUUUAUGUAGCUCAAAACAUGAAGCUUUCUUAAUUCAAAUAGUUAUGUUGUGCACGUUGAAUGGAGAAUAACGUAAUCUAAAAUGUUACAUCUAUACAAAGUCGGUGAAACAAUUUUUUUCUCAAAAAUAUUAUAUUUAAGGUACUAAUAGUUGUAUAAUAAUAUAAUACAAAACCAAAAAACCCUAAAUCAAUAAAGCAUUCCUAUGUUAAACAAAUCAACAAUACAAAUGUAUAAACUCUAACGUGGGUUAAAAUAAUUUAUACCCUAAACACGAAAAAGUUUUUGUACCCAAAUUGAAUUAUAGUAUACACUCCCAAAACAUACUAAAAGCUUUUGAAUAGGUUCAAGCGGUUCGAGAAAAUCUAAAAUAGAUUUUUUGUACCAAGUGUUUUUCCCCUUAAAAUCUAGUUCGAAAGAAAUGUCAAAGGCAUUCUAAACCUAACUCUACCACGUACAAUUUAAGGGUGGGGGUGUGCUGUGUACAUUGAUAUCUUUUAACCACAACAUAACAAAAGGGUUUUUGAGUCACAUGAACAAAUCAUAUUCAGUCAAAGUAAUCCAACAGUACAAAACACAGAUAAAUGAAAUGUAAAUGUAAAAUUUUUCCAAGUAAAAAAGGAUUUUCCAACAGGGAUUUCAUCACUCUAGUGUUACUGUUAGACUUAAUCCAGAUGGAAGGGAAAGCCCCAAAUUUGGAAAUUAUUUAAGAUCAAAAUUGCCAGAAUAGGCAUCCGCUAGCAGGGAAUAAGUUACAUACUCCAUACCCCAAUCUCCAGUUUAUCAUAGAGGAAUCCCCAUG